rnacentral:lncRNA from 1 species
CCAAAAGAGGGUCACAUGUAGCUUUAAUAUUUUUUUGAAUAAAUUUGUAGUGCUAAAUACCUUUAUAGUCCAUAAAAUAUUUAACAAAUAAAGACUAUUAUCAAGAAAUAUUGUGUUACAUAUUUUGAUGGUUAAUUUUUUUUUACAUAUUUUAUUUUUUCUAUCUUUUUGGAUUCUAAAAAAAAUUUACCAGUCUUUUAUGUAUCUUAUUUUUAUCCAUCAAAAUAAACUUUUGUUGACUUAAAUCUACUGUAUAUUUCACUUUUUUUAUUCUUUUUUCAUGUUUAUUUCUUCUACGGUUUUAUCCUCCAUCCAACUAUGACUAUUUAUAUGAUUAUUAUGGACUCAUUAUUAUUGGGUUGGAUUAGCGUUUAGAUCAUAAAUAAUAACACAUUACCUAUUGUUUAUUCAUUGGUUAGGCUUUUUAAUCUUCUUCUGAUCUUUAAUACAUUUUUAACAAGUUGGUCGACACAAAUCGAGUACCGAAGCCUCUAGUAUUCGUUUGGUUUUGAUCGAUACACUUGCUCCCCAAGCUCAAGAGGUUUAACCUGAAAAGUCUAGAUGUAACCAUUGCGCUUUUCGAGGUGGGAUGUGACGUUGGCUAGUGGUGAACUACAUUCCAAACUUAGUCAACAAAGUUUUGAAGCAGUCAAUAGAGUGUGGUGGGGGAGUCUUGUAAGCCAACUCAAGGCUCCUAUCUUCAACGAUGUUGGGAACACUCGGCAAAAAACAACGUCGUCUGAGGUAUACAAACUCAUCUGAGUUGUGUAGACGUCCAUAAGCUCAUCAAGGUCGGUUGUCCCAUCGUAAUUAUCGAUGUUCAGCCUUUCCACAUGCGUGGAAGUUGUGCUCCCAUUAUAUAAUUGGUAAAAGGAUGUCUUCUGGUGACCUCUUGAGUCCCGGUCGUGUAAAAGGACUUGUUGAAUCGAGACUCCUCCACUCUCUCUUGGGACGAGUGGAUGAAGGAUCCACCAAAGUCUUAACAUAAGGAGGACUAGCACGAGAUGUUCCAGCCUGAUGGUCAGGCUUUAAGGAUGGGGUAACCUCGGUCAGUUGCUUCUUCAUUUCUUCAUUCUUCUUUCGGAAAGCUUGAAUCUCUUCUUCAUUCUUGCGUUUCAUCUCCACCAUCUCUCUGUGCAAAGACAUCAACAAUGUCAUCUUUUCAGCAUCUGACAUCUUCUCACUGACCAUGUUCCUUAUUGACACCAUUUGUUCUUCUCUUCUUUCAAAUUCUCUCGGCCCGGCUAUGGGUGCCAAUUGUUCUCCUCUAAAAGGAGAUUGAGAGAACUAUUACCUUCUACCUUUGAUCGGUCGGUCACUCUUUCUCCUUCACUCAACUCACCAAUUUCUCCUCCACCUGGUCAACCUUUGAUCCUUCACUUCAGUCAACUCCUUCCUUUGUGUAGGCUCUCAGUCAAGAUGACACCUGCAAAAGGUGCUCCAAAGAUCAAGAAAGUAUUUACUAUUCAAUGUUCGGUAUAAUUAAUGUGCGAUAAUGACGUACCUCUUCUCGAAACUUGUGACUAUUUAUAUGAUUAUUACGGAACCAUUAUUAUUGGAUCAGAUUAGCAUUUGGAUCAUAAUUAAUAACACAUUACUUAAUAUUUAUUCAUUAUUUAGGCUUGUUAAUCUUCUUCUGAUCUUUAAUACAUUUUUAACAUUUCGGUCAACACAAACUAGGUACUAAAGCCUUUGAUAUUCGUCCGGUUUUAACCAGUAUAGUUUCCAGUUCUAUAAUCUGAAGAAAAAAAAAACACUAAAGUCUAAUUUCUAGUAAGGGAAGCAAACAUUCCAAAUUUCAAAAAUUUUAAAUUUUACUGUUUUAAUGAUUUUAGGUUUUGCCUUUAGCCACAUCAGUUCCUCCCUACCAUAUCACGGUUGUCAAGUGGUGUAUAUUAUUGUACAUGUUGGUUUCAAGAUACAAGGACAAAAUCAUAAAAUGUUACAAAUUUACCAAUAACAAACAAACAAGAAAAAAAAAGUACAAUACAUAGACAUUGUUAGUUGUCUCUAUUGAUUUUGGCUUAAUCCCAAGUCCCACAUCGGUGAGAAUUAUUUGAGGAGGGAGUUUGAGGGUUAUAAAUUAACUUCUCCUCCUUCAUUGUUAAUAUCCCAAAUUUGUAAUAUCUUUUCCCACGUUAGUAAAAGCGGUUUGUUUCAGGUGUGUUCGAAGAUUAGGCUAAAUUGGCCGAAAGAUGUAUCCAGAGUUUCGGGCUCCUCGUCAUCAGGUCGAGGUUCCUGGUAUCCAUUUUGAAAUUGGCGGUGGAAAUAUUUGAUGGCACUGGACAUUUCAGCAUGUGGCAAGGAGAGGUCUUGGACUCUCUUUUUCAGCAGGGACUUGAUAUUGCUAUUGAAGAAGAGAAACCAGAAGAGGUAGAGGAGAAAGACUGGAGCAUCAUAAACCGGUUGGCAUGCGAAACUAUUCGAUCCUGUCUGUCCAGAGAGCAGAAGUAUGCUGUAAAAAACGAGACUUCUGCACACAAACUGUGGAAGGCAUUGGAGGACAAGUUUCUGAAGAAGAGUGGUCAGAACAAGCUUUUGAUGAAGAAAAGGUUGUUCCGAUUUGACUACCAACAAGGUAGUACUAUGAAUGCACACAUCAUUAUGUUUAAUCAAUUAGUAGCAGACCUGUUGAAUUUAGAUGUGAAGUUUGAGGAUGAGAAUUUAGCUUUGAUGUUGUUAUCAUCUCUUCCUGAUGAAUUUGAACAUUUGGAGACUACGCUCCUUCACAGGAAGGAAAAUGUGUCAUUAGAUGUUGUUUGUUCUGCUUUAUAUAGUCAUGAAUUGAGAAAGCAGGAUAAGAUGAAAACCAAAUCAACGACAUCAGAAGAAGCAUUGGUGGCAAGAGGUCAUCAGCAAAGCCAAACAAAGGGGAUAAGAGGGAGGUCUAAGUCUAAAGGUUGAGCCGUUGCCAAAGAUGAGUGUGCUUUCUGUCAUGAGAAAGGACACUGGAAGAAAGACUGUCCAAAACUGAAGAAGAAAGGGAAGGCUCCGCAAGAUGCAAAUGUUGCAAAAUGAAAAAGUGAUAUGGAAUCAGAUAUCUCUUUAAUUGUCUCACUUUCAGCAUCAUCGUAUCUAGAUGAGUGGAUAUUAGACUCAGGUUGUACCUAUCAUAUGUGUCCCAUUCGGGAAUAGUUCUCUGAAUUUCAAGAACUUGAUGACGAGGUUGUUUACAUGGGUAAUGAUAAUCCAUGUAAGACAGCUGGGAUAGGUUCAAUCAAGCUGCGGAAUCAUGAUGGAUCCACCAGAAUUUUGCGGGAUGUACGGUACGUGCCAAAGUUGAAGAAGAAUCUCAUCUCAUUGGGGGAUUUAGAAUCUAAAGGCCUAGUUGUGACAAUGCGAGAUGGAAUUCUUAAAGCAACUUCAGGAGCACUGGUGAUGUUGAAAGGCGUGAGGAAGAACAAUUUGUAUUACUAUCAAGGUAGUACAAUGGUGGUGAUGGAAACCAAGUAGAGGAUGCUCAAGCCCAUGAAUCCCAAGCCCAACAAGGGGCCCAAGCCCAUCAAGGGGUCCAAACCCAACAAGGGGCCCAAGCCCAACGAAUUACUAGGAGCAUGGCAAGAACUUUGGGUCAAUUAUUGAGAUGCUUUAUUUCCGGAAAUCCAAGGGCUUGGGAGGAUUUACUACCUCAUGUUGAAUUUGCCUAUAAUAGAGUAGUAAAUUCCACCACUAACCAUUCUCCUUUUGAGGUUGUUUAUGGGUUUAAUCCCCUCACACCUCUAGAUCUUCUUCCCAUUCCUGUACUUGAUGAGGUGCUAUGCAAAGACGGUUUUGAAAAGGCAUCUUUUAUUAAAGAUUUGCAUAACCGCAUCAAGUUACAAAUUGAGAAGAAAGUUGGUAAGUAUGCUGACACUGCCAACCAAAGGAGAAAGGCUUUAAUCUUUGAGCCCGGUGAUUGGGUUUGGCUUCAUUUGAGAAAGGAUAGAUUUCCUUCUCUAAGGAAGUCCAAACUUAUGCUUCAUGGUGAUGGCCCUUUCCAAGUCAUCAAGAGGAUUAAUGAUAAUGCCUAUGAGUUAGAUAUGCCCUCUACUUAUCUUGGUAGUAAUUCUUUCAAUGUUACUGAUCUCACUCCUUUUGCUGCAGGUUUCCCAAAUUCGUGGACGAAUUCUCUCCAACCCGGGGAGUAUGAUGGAAACCAAGUAGAGGAUGCUCAAGCCCAUGAAGCCCAAACCCAACAAGGGGCCCAAGCCCAACGAAUUACUAGGAGCAUGGCAAGAGCUUUGGGACAAGAGUAUAAUAAGAUGGCUCUUCUUAUUUCUUUUGUAGAAUAGGGGUGUGAAUGUAAUAAAAAGGUGUAAGUAGUAAGGGAGUAUAGGGGGGAGUGUAGAUAGGAGAUUAGGAGGUGCCAAACUAGGAAGGAAAGUCACACUUCCUUCAUUGUCUAGAUUNNNNNNNNNNNNNNNNNNNNNNNNNNNNNNNNNNNNNNNNNNNNNNNNNNNNNNNNNNNNNNNNNNNNNNNNNNNNNNNNNNNNNNNNNNNNNNNNNNNNAUUUGUGUGUCAUUUAGCUUGCAUUUUCAGCACCUCUUAGGCUAUAAAUAAGGUGCUUCUCUUUGUAUUUUUCAGAUUGGAAUUUUAUAGUAGAGAGACUAUACUCAAAUUUGGAGAGAAAUUGUGAGUCUUGAGUCUUCUUCUUCCUUUGCCUUAUCUUGUGAGCUAUGGUGAGCUUCAAGUGGCGGCACUCCAUCACUUAUCUUGGAUCAAGGAACCAAGUGGCGUGAAGUGUUCUUCCAAUUCUCAAAAUCCAGCAAACUCCUUCUAUAAGUGUUCUUCCUUCAUGUUCUUUCAAUUCCAUUCGGUAGAUUAGCUUUGUUUGUUGUUUCUUUUCAUUUCUACCGUUUGUUUUUCUGUUUUCCAGCUUUGUUUCUAGUUUCUGUUCGGUGCAGUAGUUUAUUAUUUCAUUUCUGUCCAGCUUGCAAUUCUUGUUCUUUAUUUCUUGUGUUUUGAUUCCAUUUGACAAUAUAUGGACUUCCAUAUGAGUCUUGGUUGGUGCUAAGUCUUGGUGAGUUCUUGAAUUAGAACAUUGAUCCAAUUCUAAAGUAAGGUGCCAUUUAUGACCAGCUCAAGUUGCUCCUAAGAAUGUCAAAGAAUCAUGUAUUCUUGUAGUUACAUUCACAUCAGGUGGGGACAGUAGCGACAACAACUUCUAGCACUAAGAAGGAUGCCGAGGCUACGAAGUUGUGGCAUAUGAGGUUGGGACAUGCUGAAGAGAAAUCCUUGCAAAUUCUUACCAAGCAGGGAUUGUUGAAAGGUACAAAGGCUUGCAAACUUGAAUUUUGUGAGCAUUGUGUUCUGGGAAAACAACGAAGAGUGAAGUUUAGCACUGCAAUUCACAAUACCAAGGGUAUUCUGGAUUAUGUGCAUUCAAAUGUGUGGGGACCUGUCAAGACUCCGUCAAUCGGAGGUAGGCAUUAUUUUGUCACUUUUGUGGAUGAUUUUUCCAGGAGAGUUUGGGUGUUUACUAUGAAGAACAAAAAUGAUGUGCUUGGAAUUUUCCUUAAGUGGAAAGCUCAAGUUGAAAACCAGGUAGGAAGGAAGAUUAAGGUUCUCCGAACAGACAAUGGAGGAGAAUACAAGAGUAAUUUGUUCCUUAAGGUAUGCCAAGAUUGUGGCAUAGUUCGACAUUUCACUGUUAGAAAAACACCACAGCAAAAUGGGGUGUCGGAGUGUAUGAACAAGACACUUGUGGAGAAAGUUCGUUGUAUGUUGUCUAAUGCUGAGUUAGGCAAAGAGUUUUUGGUUGAGGCUGUGACAUACGCUCAACAUCUCGUCAAUCGUUUUCCAUCAUCUGCUAUAGAUGGCAAAACCCCGUUAGAGUUAUGGUCUGGAAAACCUGCAACUGAUUAUGAUUCUCUGCAUGUUUUUGGUUCUAUUGCAUAUUAUCAUGUGAUUGAAUCUAAGUUGGAUCCACGGGCAAAGAAAACUCUUUUCAUGGGCUUUAGUCCUAGAGUGAAGGGAUAUCGUUUGUGGUGUCUAGAGGCAAAAAAGACGAUUAUCAGCAAGGAUGUUACCUUUGAUGAAUUUGCCAUGUUAAAGAAGGUAAAUCCAGAAGGAGCUGAUAGUACUUCGCAACAAGUGGAGUUUGAGUAGACAGUGGUGAUCCCAGCACGAAAUACCACAAGUGACUCUCCUAUGGCAGAAGAAGAUUCAGAUGAGGAAGAGGUUCCUACCCAAGAAUCUUAACAACAAUCAGCGCCAAUUGAAGUUAGAAGACAGAGAUGAGAUAUUCAGAAGCCUGCUCGUUUCAUGGAUAUGGUUGCCUAUGCACUUUCAAUUGUUGAUGACAUUCCAUCCACUUACCCAUAAUCCAUCUGAGUUCAGAGAGUGGUAAUUGGGCAGGUGCGAUGGAAGAGGAGAUGCAGUCUUUGAAGAAGAACAAGACGUGGAAGCUGACACAAUUACCAAAAGGUAAGAAGGCAAUUGGGUGCAAAUGGGUAUUUGCAAAGAAAGAAGGAUUUCCUAAUAAAGAAGAUGUUCGCUACAAGGCAAGGUUGGUUGCUAAAGGCUUUGCUCAAAGGGAGGGAAUUGAUUAUACUGAGGUAUUUUCUCUAGUUGUUAAACAUUCCUCCAUUCGAAUUUUGUUGGCCUUGGUAGCAAAGUUGAAUUUGGAGCUAGCUCAACUUGAUGUAAAGACUGCAUUCCUACAUGGUGAUUUGAAGGAGGAAAUCUAUAUGACCCAACCAAAAGGAUAUAAGGUUGCUGGUAAAGAAGAUUGGGUUUGUAAACUUAGCAAAUCGUUGUACGGACUGAAACAAUCUCCGAGACAGUGGUACAAACGAUUUGAUAAGUUCAUGAAGGGUUAGAAGUAUAAGAGAAGCAAAUACGAUCACUCAAAGAGCGAAGUUGAGAUUGACAGGUUAAAGGCUGAGUUGAGUAAAGAGUUCGAGAUGAAGGAUUUAGGGGAAGCCAAUAAGAUUCUCGGCAUGGAGAUAAACAGGGACAUAGAGAGGGGGAAACUUUGGUUGUCACAGAAGCAGUAUUUGUAUAAGGUACUACAACGUUUUGGUAUACACAAAGAUACAAAACCUGUAAGUACCCCACUUGCUCCUCAUUUGAAAUGGAGUAGCUGUUUAUCUCCGAUGACUGAUGAAGAACGAGAAUACAUGGCGAAAGUCUCAUAUGCAAAUGCAGUUGGAAGCUUGAUGUAUGCAAUGGUGUGUAUGAGAUCAGGUAUUUCACAGGCUGUGAGUGUUGUUAGCAGGUACAUGCAUGAUCCGGGCAAGGGUCAUUGGCAAGCUGUGAGAUGGAUUCUACUGUACCUCCAAAAUACCUUAGAUGUUGGAUUGGCAUUUGAGCAAAAUGAAUCACUUGACUAAUGCAUAGUUGAAUAUUGUGAUUCUGAUUAUGCAGGUGAUUUGGAUAAGCGAUGGUUUACAACUGGCUAUUUGUUUACUUUAGCAAAAGCGCCAGUUAGUUAGUUAGAAGUCUACCUUGUAGUCUAUGGUGGCUUUGUCUACGACAAAGGCAAAGUAUAUGGCGAUUACAGAGGCUGUGAAGGAAGCAAUUUGGCUUCAUGGGUUGCUUAAAGACUUGGGAGUUGGUCAGAAACAACUUGAGUUAUAUUCUAACAGUCAGAGUGUUAUUCAUUUAGCAAAGAACCAAGUAUUUCAUGCACGGACGAAGCACAUUGAUGUUCGCUAUCACUUUGUGCAUGAGAUUCUCGAAGAAGAGGAGAUUAUUCUCCAGAAGAUUCACACUACGAAGAAUCCUGCAGAUAUGCUCACCAAGGUGGUUACAAGGGUCAAGUUUGAACACUGUUUAGACUUGGUUAAUAUCUUGCACAUUUGAAGUUGGCGCUCGGAGGCGCAAAUUUGAAGCACCACAUUUUUGUUAUGUUUUGAGAAUAUUUGUAUUAGGUGGGACUUGAGAUUAAACCAAGGUGGAGAUUUGUUGAUUUUGGCUUAAUCCCAAGUCCCACAUCGGUGAGAAUUAUUUGAGGAGGGAGUUUGAAGGUUAUAAAUUAACCUUUCCUCCUUCAUUGUUAAUAUCCCAAAUUUGUAAUAUCUUCUCCCGCAUUAGUAAAAGCGGGUUGUUUGAGCUGUGUUCGGAGAUUAGGCUAAAUUGGCUGAACUCCGUUAACAAGUUUCGGGUGUAUUUUUUUCUCUUUAUCUCUUUUAUUAUUCCGCUCUAUUUAUUAGUAUUAUGUUGAUUUCUCUUUUGUUAUAGUAUUCAAUAUUAUUUGUCAGGUAGCUCUGUUAGUGUUCUGUUUUAGUGGGAAAAUUACCUGUUUUUCCCAAUAGUCUCUACUUAUGAAUCAGUAAUAACAGACACCUUUUCAUAUACCUUAGACACUUUGAAUCUCUGAAGCAAAAUAUAAUGAGCAACAAAACAUUGUUGCAAUAUGAAGUUUGGACACGUCCCUUAAAUGGUGUGUUCAUGUCGAACACGUGUAUCGGACAAUGACAGGCGUACAACACUCGUAUGACACGUAUCAGUGAAGUGUCCAAUUCAAAAAAUAUUUUUUGGUCUUUAACAAUUCUAGCACAAUUCCAACACAAUUUUAAAAAAGACAAAUAUAUUAAUUUUUAAAAAACUAAAACUUAUUGUAUAAUUUUUAUUAUGAUUAUAAAAAUAAGGAACAAACCAACCAUGGAAAACAUCUUUCUAGCAAAAAAAAAAAACUCAGAAAUACUUAUUCACAUAAUUUUAAUUGUCAAAUUAUAUAAGUCAUAAUUAUAUAAUAUAUAGAUUUAUAUUUCAUGUUCUACCGUUUAAAGAUUACACAUAUCUAAGUGUUUGUGUCUCUUUCGUCUCCGGUGUUCCUAUCAAUGUUGGUGAUUCAUAUUGUAAGUAGAUAAUAAUGGCAAAAAGGAUACCUCUCGAUGGAAUGACAAUAUCCUAAGCGAUUGAGUAAAAGUCUUCACUUGGAUUUGCAUAGUAGUAUGGACCAUUAUCUAGGGGAGCAUCAGAAUGAGUCGUGUAAAGAUCAUAGGCAUGGGGCAACAGUCUCACAAAAGUAGUUCCAAAGUAAAAGGAACAUAAAAGAACAUUGGCUCUUUGAAAAUUAUUUUGAGUUUUUCAAGACACAUAGUUACUUGCUAUAAUCUUUGUUGUGAUAUUAAAUUAAUAAUAAACAAUUCUUUUUUUUAAGUUGAUUAUAAAAAUCAGUUUCAUUUAACAUUUUUAAAAAUUAAUGUCAAUUUCUUUAUUUAUUGUUGAGAUAUUAGUAAUGUUUUAAUUCCAUAUGUGUUCAUUAGGAAUGAGAGCAAAGGCCACUAUAUCAUCUUGAAAGAAGAGCAUCUUGAAACAAGAAUAUAAGAUACUUAUUUUAAGUAUUUUUUUAUAAAAAUUCUCAUGUUAAGCAUCACUAUGAAACUGGAUAUUUCAGUCAGGCUGACACUCUUAAGUAUCAACAAUCAUCUAUCACCGCAUGAAAAAAGUAUUAUUAAAAAAAUUAAGAAAGGAAAUACAAACAAAUAUGGAGGGAUUAGAGUAAGACCCAUAUAUAAAAAACCUAAGAAAAGCCAUACUUAGGUAAUUUAUACCUAUUAAUAAAUAAUUCUAAGAAAAAACUAGAUGGACGCCUAUUAUAUUAAUGAAAUUGUUCUCCAUUAAUAAACCCUAAAUUAACAAGUUAUUCAGGAAAUGCAAUACCUUCACGAAAAAUGCAAGAAAUCCUAAACCUGAUUUUUCACAAUAAUCAAGACAAGUGUUCCACCUAUUACGAAGAAUCCAAUGAACUUUAGUCUUAGUAGUAAAUGCAGCACAAACUAAGACAAAAUCACAUUCAAGCCAUAAACUAGUAAGACCCAUCUUUUUAGCUUCUUCAAUGACAUGUAUAACUCCAUAAAACUCAAUAACCAAAGUAAUUUGAAUAUCAAAGAAAGAAGAUAAGCUACCAAUAAACUCUCUCAUACUCACACGGAUAAACCACAAUACUUAUUUGAAGUGAAAUGUUUAAAUAAAGUAAUUAUUUGUUUGGAGAAACUUUUCAUUAUCGGAGAGAUAUGAGUUGAUAUUGCAAUUUGUUUAAGAAAAAGAGUAAUAAUAUUUUGAAACCUCAAUAAAUUUAUACAAUAAGUUGAUAUUUACUAUUUUGUCCUUUAAAAUUUCCUUUAUUGGAAUAUAAUUAAAUAUAGUUAUUUGAAGAUGAUAUCAAGUUAAAACCCACAUUUUACAUUUUUAAUAUUGAAAACAACAUCAGAGAUGCCCUUAUAUGGGUUAAAGCUUAAAUGAAACACUUUGAAGUAAUCUAUUUAAUAUUUUUCUAGGCUUUUGUAACAAGUUUGGAGCUAAUGUAAGGGUGUAUUCCUUUAUCCAUGAAAGUUUUUCCUGCACCCCAUUAUGGUAAAAUAAUCAAAUGUCUCAUUUAAUUUAUCUUCAUUCUGAAAUAAUUUUUCCAGAACACACUUCGAAAAAAACUAUUCUAUAAAACACAUUCCAUAAUGUAUUAUAUAUAUUUUCAGAAAGUUUAUUCCAAAAAUCAUGUUCCAGAAAACGUUUUUGAAAUUUCUAAAAAAGGUUUUCCAGACUACAUGAAAAUGUUAUGGAAAAAGCUUCUGCAAAAAAUAAUCUGUGGAAGUCAUUAAAAAAAACGAAGAUAAAACAAACUUUUAAAAAAAAUUGAUGGGAUGCCGGAAGAUUUUUGAUAGGUGCCUAAUGUAAAGAAACCCUAAACCCUAAAACAAAGUAAAAAAAAAAUUUCCCAUUUCCUUUUAAAUAGAAAAAGAGUUGAAACAACCAUAAAUUAAAGCAAACUUACUAGCUAAUAAAUAAGCAAGAAAAUUAAUUUAUUUUACAUGUCAAACGCAUUCUAACAUAAUUUACACGUAGAAGCUAACUUUCUCAAACACACUGCAUUGCUAGAUAAACUUAUUGAAAAUUAAAAAUCAUGAAUGAGUCUAUUUAUCAACUUAAACACGGUCUAAAAAUUUCAAUAUAUUUCAACCAAUAAUAAAAUGUGUCUGACUUCAAACAAACAAACAGUUUGUAAUUGGUUUUCAUAAUUCUCAAAAUAGGCCAAAAGUUUGAGAAUGUAUCUGACUUCAAACAAACAGGCCAAAAGUUUGUAAUUGGUUUUCAUAAUUCUCAAAAUAGUUUAGACACAAGAAAAUUUCCAUAAUCCAUUGCCAUUAUCCAUAUUCAGCGAGACUCUUGUAUUCAAAACAAAAACAUAAAACUCAAAAAAGAACACGCCAAAUGUGAAUUAACUACUUGUGAGUUAGCCAUCGUAUUGAAUGAGAUUUUUUGCAGUUGAAGGAUUUACAAAAGUAUCCGUAAGAGCAGGGGAAAUUCCAGACAAAAGUUAAAAACUUGUCACAAGGCACAUCACGAAGAAGUUCCAUAGGCCUCCCUACAAACCAUAUUCACAUAGUCCUACUCAUGAAUACGAUUAUCAGUGGAAUUAUCAGGUUUCCGGUUCAGCCUGUGAAAACAACUUAACCUAUUCAGUAUGUACAUUUAAAGAAAAUAUAAUAUCAAACCAUAUAGUAGAGGGCAGAUAAAACUUCACUUAUGACACUUACAUUUGAAUCAUCAAUACAACCCAUAGCAGGUUUUGUGGGUUCAACCUGUAAAAAUAAACUCAGUCUAGUCAGAUUGACAGUGUAUUUAUAGACUCAAAAUAGAGAAUACAGAUAUAUAUCAGUAAGGAUUUCUCACCAAAAGCUUCUUUGAACCUGCCAUGGAGGAAUCCAAAUCCUUCAACACAAUAGCUGGCAGUUGAUCAAUGUCCCAACCAACAACUUUGCAGAUGACCUGGGCAUAGGCCCUGUGAGCUCGCUUCCUUUUUGUUCUAAGUAUGGAAGUGGAGUGCUGAAUCAGUGCAAUGCUAUCCUUAAACCUCUUCCAUACCUUCUUCCGUAUACCUCCACAAACCAAACAAUAAAAAUCUCCAUCCUUAUGAUUAUUCUCAUAGUAUUUCCUCAAGUCAGCAUCUUCUGCAAACACCUUUUCAAAGAACUUGUACUCCUUACAUUCUUUAGAAUCAUAACUAUCUACCAACUCAUCUUCCUCCUCCUCAUCUUCACUCUCAGAAUUAAUAUCAUCUUUGCCAUCUUCGUCACUGUCAUAACCAGCAUCACCAACUAAAAACUUCCGGCAAGAUGCUAAUGCUUUGUGCUGCAAUUGCAGCACUGCCACAGCAGCUUGCUCUUCUGCUGAUAGAGAAUAAGUGAGAGAAGAGGAUUUGAGGUCAUUAAAGGAAGGCCAUCCUGAAGCUGUAGAAGAUAAACCAGAAUUGGGCCUUUCAGAUACCCAUCCAGCACCAGCAACCAGAGAUUCAUGUGAUUCCUACAAUCAAUUUUCAUUAGUAACAACCAGUAAUAAGUAAACAAUGUGGGAGUCGGGAUUUGCUAGCACCCAAUACUAGUAUUCCUUUGCUUUUCUGAUUAUCAGAAAACUGAAGUGUAGCCUAACACAGGUUGUGCAAGGUCAAGAAAAGUUUACACUAUGUUUAUAAUAGUGAAUGGUGAAAUAAACAUCAACCUUUGAAGGAGCACUAAGUUAAAUCUUUGCCUCAGGGAUCAAUGCACUCCUCCUGUGUAUCUUGGUAACUAUUUAUCUAGUAUUACAUAAAUGUUUCAACCUAAAGAAGAAAGACCUUAUGUUUUACAUAGGUUAUCUUAUCAAGCAGCAAUUUUUCCCUAAAUAACAUGAUAACCAUGAAUAAAAACCAGAAAAAUACACAUAGGAGGAUUUCAAAAUGGAGAAAAACAAAAAGUGUAAAGGUGCACGCUUCUAUUUAGCAUUCAAAUUUUAAAAAAGACUGCCGUUGUCUCACCUUAACUAUUUCUCUUCCAUUUCCUGAACUUUGUUCUGAGACCUUUUCAUCUAGAUUAUCACCUUCCUUCUCAAAACCCUACAGAAAGAACCAUCAGAACCAUGCCAAAAUAAUUUUACCUAUUCGCAUCACUAUGUACUCAUAAAAAAGACUGCCGUUGUCUCACCUUAACUAUUUCUCUUCCACUUUCUGAACUUUCUCCUGAGACCUUUCCAUCUAGAUUAUCACCUUCCUUCUCAAAACCCUACAGAAAGAACCAUCAGAACCAUGCCAAAAUAAUUUUACCUAUUCACAUCACUAUGUACUCAUAAAAAAGACUGUCGUUGUCUCACCUUAACUAUUUCUCUUCCAUUUUCUGAACUUUGUUCUGAGACCUUUCCAUCUAGAUUAUCACCUUCCUUCUCAAGACCCUACAGAAAGAACCAUCAGAACCAUGCCAAAAUAAUUUUACCUAUUCGCAUCACUAUGUACUCAUAAAAAAGACUGCCGUUGUCUCACCUUAACUAUUUCUCUUCCAUUUUCUGAACUUUGUUCUGAGACCUUUCCAUCUAGAUUAUCACCUUCCUUCUCAAAACCCUACAGAAAGAACCAUCAGAACCAUGCCAAAAUAAUUUUACUUAUUCACAUCACUAUGUACUCAUAAUUUAUUUCAAGCUUUUUUAUUUUCCUUAAAGAGGCAGUAUUGAUACAUAAAGAUAAUUAACCUUGCUAACAUUCUAAAAAAAACAUUUUAGAAGCUCCCUCGGCCUCUUUUAUGCCAUCCAUGAUCUAUUUCAAAGUUAAAAAACCAUGCAAAAGCAACAUGCAAUCACAAAAAUAUGCAACAAAUAUACUUUAUUUAAACUCAAAAGCAGAUGCAAGAUUUUUGGGUUCAACCUGUAAAAAUAAAAUCAGCCAAGUAACCAUUAACAAUGUAUUUAAAGACUCAAUAAAAUAUACAGAUAUAUUAAUUAGGAUUGCUCACCAACGGCUUCGUUGAACGUUCCAAGGAGGAAUCCAAACCCUUCAACACAAUAGCUGGCAAUUGAUCAAUGUUGCAACCAACAACUUUGCUGAUCACCUGUGCAUAGGCCCUAUGAGCUCGCUUCCUUGUUGUCCUUAGUAUGGCAGUGGAGUGAUGGAUUAGAGCAGUGCAAUCCUUAAACCUCUUCCAUACUUUCUUGCCUAUACCUCCACAAACCAAACAAUAGAAAUCUCCUUCCCUAUGAUUGUUCUCAUAGUAUCUCCUCAAGUCACCAUCUUCAGCAAACACUCUUUCAAAGAACCUAUACUCCUCACAUUCUUUAGGGUCGUAAUUAUCUACCCACUCGUCUUCAUCCUCAUCAUCACUAUCAUCUUCACCACCAUUAGAAGCAGCAUUGCCAACUAAGAACUUCUGACAAGCUUCUAAUGCUUUGUGCUGCAAUUGCAGCACUGCCACAGUUGCUUGCUCUUCUGCCGAUGGAUAAUAAGCAAGAGAAGAUGAUUUGAUGUCAUCAAAGCAAGGCCAUCCUGAAGACGUAGCAGAGAUUCCAGAAUUGGGGCUUUUACAUACCCAUUCGGCAUCAGUUACCAGAGAUUUAUGAGAUGCCUACAUUUAAUUUUAAUUAGUAAGUAGUAACAACAAAACAAGAUGUAAAUAUAUGCAGGAGUUGGGAUAUGCCAACACCCAAUAUUAAACUCCAUAGCUAUUUCAACUUUUACAAAAUUGACGAAAGUGCAGCCUACCACAGGUAGCGAUGGUAGCCAUGAGGUAGGAAUAACCUUCAUCGUUUUAAAUUUAAAAAAGCUACCUUUUAAAAGCUAGCUCUUUAUAUUUGAUCUAGCAAGCAUGUUCAGGAAAUUUUCACACUAUGUUCAUAGAAGUGAAUGAUGAAGUUUUGAAGGAAAAUACAAGUUCCAUUUCUUGUCGCUUUGCCACAAAUCCAAAACUGCAAAUCUUCCGUAAUGCUUUUACAAUUUCAACCAGGAGAAGAAAGACCUUAGGUUUUUCAUAGAUUAUCAUAUAACAAAAAUUUAUCACUAAAAUAAUUAAUUAGCUGACAGCAUUACAGCCGCAAAUUUUCUCCAAAUAAUACCAUAAUUUGAAACCACAGUUGUCCCACCUUAACUACUUCUCCCCCAUUUCCUAAACUCAGUUUGGGGACCUUUUCAUCUGAAUUCUCACCUUUAGCAUCAGAACCAGAACCAUGCAAAAACAUUUCAACAUCUCUCCAUCACUAUCUACGCAUAAUUUCUUUCUUGCAUUUUCUCUCCCUCCCUUAAAAAUACUGAAGUUCAUAAAAAUAAUUAACCUAGCUAAGAUUCUAAUGAAACCCUUUUAAACCCUCUUCCAUGAUCAUCAAGAUGUACAAGUUUACAAACAAUUUUUGUAACAUUAACAUUGUGGUUAAAAGUUAAAACCCCACAAAGCCAACUUAUGCAAUCACAAAACAUGCAACAAAUAUGUUUCAAUCAAACUUUAAAACACCAUUAUUUACCUCUGGGUCAGUUGGCUCCAUCUCCACAGAGCAGAAAAUUGACUGUGAAAGUGAAACGACGUGAUGGUAUAUACUAUACACUCUUUCUUCUACCCAAACUUUUUUUACAAAUACACUCCUUCUUGGGUCUUGUCCUAACGAUAAGGAGGCCCAUUUGGCCCAUCCAAGUUCCCACUUCUCUUUUACAUUUUUUUCAUUCAAUAAUUAAAUUAGUGCUAUAGUAUUUACAAAAAUACAAAGCAGUUGUUAAUAUUUGAAAUAUGUAAUGUUUCACAUUAAAAAAAAUGUAUUUACUUGAAAACAAAAUUCUAUUGUCAUUUUGAUUUAAGUGUAUUUUUAGUUAUAUGUACUGUAGCUAGGUGACUUUUGCUGCACAGGUUUGGAUUAAGUGAUUUUCUUAAUUAUGUGAUUUUACUAUCUCUGUUCAUUUUAACUUCGAAAUUUAAUGAAAUUUACUAAUAUAGUUGGAUGAUUGAAAAAAUAUACAAAGUUAAUGCAUAUGUUGAUGUGUAUGUAACAUGAUGUGGCAUAAAUAAAGGUGAGUUUCAUAUUAUUUUUAAUUUUUAAAUUAAUAUUAAUAGAAACGCAAGCCCAUAUGCUUAUGUGUGUCUAAUUUAAUUGAUAAUAAAAAUAAAAAUAUGAUUAAAAUUAAUUAUUAUAUAAAAUUGAUUAAAAUAUAUUAAUAAAAUUUACAUUAAAGUUAUAAAAAAUUAAAUAAAUAUAAAAUAAUCAUUACAAUACAUUUUUUAUUAAUUUUUAUAAUGUUAUAAUUAUAUAAUAAAAACCCUUGCAAAUUUCUAUGGAAAUAAAAAGAAAAAUUACAAUGAAAUAUAAUAUAUAUAUAUGUAAAGGAGAUAAGUUUUGGGAUAUGAUUUUUCCGUCGAAAAGGAGACUAAUCUGAUUUCAAUUUCAAAUUAUAAAUGAGAGUUAACUAUUUAAAAAUAAUAAUUUAAUGGCAAUGCAUAAGAAGUCUCAAUCUCACCAAAUUCUUGGAUGGUGCAUCUACUCCUCCCCGGUUUUCCUCCACUGUAGAUGAAUCUACUUCCACCUUCUCUCCUGCUUUUCUUGCUUUUGAACGUCAAGAUCAGGCCAUUGUAGCCUGGCUCCUUUCUUCCAUUUCUCCUCCUCUUCUUAUCAACAUGGUGGGACUCUCUUCCUCUCAUCAAAUCUGGUCCAAUCUUCAGAUUCACUAUGCAUCAAAGACCCGAGCAUGUGUCAAGAAAUUACGCAUGCUUUUACGCACUCCCAAAAGAGAGCGUUUCAUCUUUGUUUAUCUUCAAGACAUCAAGAAAUUUGUUGGUUGCCGCUAGAUCACCCAUCUCCAUAGAAGAACACAUUGAAAUAAUUCUUGAUGGCUUGUCUGAAGAGUACGAUGCCUUCAUUACCUCUGUUACAUUUCGCACAGACCCUUACACGGUAGAAGAAGUUGAGGCUCUCCUUUUGGCCCAAGAAGAACGCUUAGAAAGAUAUCGCAACAGCAACGAUCUUCUUUAUCAGGUUAAUGCCACUUCUUUUAAUCAUGUUAAAUCUUCUCAAAAUGCGCACAAAAACACUCGUGGCUUCUCAAGAUCCAAGUUCAGUUCCAAGUCUUCUCGGUUUGCCGGUGACAAAUCAACACCAAAACCAUCAUGGCUCUCUUCUUCAUCUUCUUCCAACUUCACUUCUCCCACCAAGAUUAAGUGUCAAAUUUGCUAGAAAACUGGACAUUAUGCAUCCGAUUGUUGGCAUAGGUAUGACAGAAAACCUCCAUCUUCUUUUUCUGCUAACCAUUCACAGUUUGCUCCUCCAUUACAUGACAAUGAUGAACCAUCCAUUCUCGGUUCUCCUCCCUCUACCCAUGAAUCUCUUUGGUACCCUGACAGUGGUGCAUCUCAUCACUUUACGUAUGAUGCUUCCACUCUCCAUGACAAAAUCCCUUAUACUGGAUCCGAAACUGUCGAAAUAGGUAAUGGUUAUGGCUUAUAUAUUAAACAUAUUGGUUAUGCAGAUUUCAUUAAUCCAACAAAUCAUCAUAUAUUCUCUAUGAAUAAACUAUUACAUGUUCCUCAUAUCAAUAAAAAUCUUCUUAGUGUCUCUCAAUUUGCUCAUGAUAAUGUUGUUUUCUUUGAAUUUCAUCCUCACCAUUGUCUUGUCAAAAAGCAGGACACCAAGGAGAUACUUCUUCAAGGAAGGCUUAGAAAUGGUCUAUAUGUUUUCUCAGAUUUUGUUCCUUACUCUCCAUCAUUUGCUCAUCAUACUACUGUUUCAUCUACUACUGACACUUACACUCUAUGGCAUGCAUGCUUUGGUCAUGCUAAUGACAUUAUUAUUCAUCGUAUUAUCAAACAUUGUAAACUUCCCUUUUCUGCAAAAACUGGUUUCUGUGAUUCUUGCAUUCUUGGUAAAGCUCACCAAUUACCUUUUUCUGAUUCUCACAUUGUUUACACUGCCCCCUUACAACUUAUAUAUAUUGAUAUUUGGGGACCAUCUCCUACUGCAUCUUCUAAUGGAUCAUAUUACUACAUUGCCUUUCUUGAUGCUUACUCAAAAUAUACUUGGUUUUAUCUUUUACAACGUAAAUCCCAAGCUGCACCUAUUUUUAAAUCUUUCAAAACCUUUGCUGAAAAGCAAACCAGGUAUCAACUUAAAGCUAUUCAAACAGAUAAUGCAAAAGAAUUUUUAUGCAUUAAACCAUAUCUUGUUGAACAUGGCAUCCACCACGGUUUAACUUGUCCCUACACCCAUGAGCAAAACGGUUCAAUUGAAAGAAAGCAUUGUCACAUUACUGAGGUUGGUUUGACUCUUCUUGCUCAUGCAUCUCUUCCUAUUAAAUACUGGGGUGAAGCCUUCACCACUGUUGUAACCAUCAUAAAUGUUUUACCAUCACCAGUUCUUAAAUUUGAUAAUCCUUAUCACUUGCUUUUUAACAAACAACUUGAUUACUCCUUUUUCAAGAUUUUUGGUUGUGCAUGUUACCCUUUACUGCGCCCAUUUUCCAAAAAUAAACUAAAUUUUCGCUCUGUUAUCUGCUUAUUUCUUGGUUAUAGCCCUCAAUACAAAGGGUAUGUAUGUGUCUCCAACGAAGAUAAGACAUAUAUCACACGGCAUGUUGUUUUCAACGAAUCUCUUUUUCCAUAUUCACAAUUCUUUACCUUACCCGAUACUAACCCCACACCCUUGCAUAACUCUUCAUCUCUACCCUCAUUAACUGUUUUGGAUUUUGCUUCCCCUUCAUCUCCUUCAUCAUAUCCUUCUUUAGACAUUAUUUCUUCUCAUUCUUCUGCAUCACCAUCCCAUAAUUCUUCUCCAUCUCCUAUUGACACACCACCCAAGCAUCCACCUAUCACUCAAAAUAUUCACCCCAUGAUCACAAGAGGAAAGUCUGGUAUCUCUAAACCACGACUAUUUUCAUCUACUGUUGAUAUCGAGGUUGUUCCUUCCACAGUCAAAGAAGCCCUCAAACUUCCUAACUGGGUUGCUGCUAUGAAGGAAGAGUAUGAUGCGCUUCUCGCUAAUCAUACUUGGACUCUCACUCAGCCAUCACAAGGCAUUCAACCAAUUGGUUGUAAAUGGGUUUUCAAAAACAAGUACAAUGUUGAUGGCUUCUUUCAACGUCACAAAGCUCACCUAGUUGCUAAAGGCUUUCAUUAACAUGCAGGAAUAGAUUACACAGAAACGUUUAGUCCUGUAGUCAAGCCGGCAACCAUCCGCAUCAUCUUAACCAUAGCUCUCUCCAAACAAUGGCCCAUCCAUCAAAUUGACAUCAACAAUGCGUUCCUCUAUGGUGAUCUCCAAGAAUCCGUUUAUAUGCUUCAACCUCCAGGUUUCUACAAUGAUCCCACUCUAGUUUACAAACUUCACAAAGCAAUAUAUGGUCUUAAACAAGCACCCCGUUCGUGGUUCCAUAAGCUAAGUCAAACUCUCUUUUCCUUUGGUUUCUCUGCAACUAAAUCAGACACUUCUUUAUUUAUCAAAACUGUUACUUUAUUUGUUUUAAUUUAUGUUGAUGACAUCCUAAUCACUGGUAGUUCUCUUGUUGCUAUACAGUCCCUAAUCUCUUCCCUACAACAACACUUUUGACUCAAAGAUCUUGGUCGCCUUCACUACUUCCUCGGCAUUGAGAUCUCUUGGAAAACUCAUGGAUCUCUACAUUUAUCUCAAACGAAGUACAUCACUGACUUGCUACACAAAUCUGGAAUGCUCUCAUCCAAACCACAGUCUACGCCCAUGAUAUCUUCCAUGCGUCUCACUCGUGAUGGCACUACAGCAGUUGAUGAUCCCUCUCUUUACAGGUCCAUUGUUGGUUCACUACAAUACAUUCUAAUCACCAGACCUGAGUUAUCCUACAGUGUCAACAAAGUCUGCCAGUAUCUUCAUAAUCCUCAACUUCACCAUUGGAAAGCUGUAAAACGCACUCUGCGAUACCAAGCUGGAACAUGGUCUCAUGGUCUUCUUUUGCAGCCUUCACCUCAUCUCACCAUUGUCGCCUUUGCCGAUGCUGACUGGGGGUCUGAUCCAGAUGAUCGUAAGUCCAUUUCUGGUUACACCGUGUUCUUCGGAUCUAAUUCUGUUGCCUGGUUUUCCAAUAAGCAAAAGACGGUCUCCUGCAGUACAACUGAAGCCGAAUAUAGAAGCAUUGUCGCUGCCCUUGCAGAGAUCAAAUGGGUUUCCAAUCUGCUUCAAGAACUGAGCAUCACUUUUUCAACACCAAAGAUUUAUAGUGACAACUUAGGAGUUGUUCUUCUUGCUGCUAACCCCAUUAUGCAUUCCAAGACCAAGCACUUUGACCUUGAUCUACACUUUGUGCGCGACUCUCUUCAACAACACCAACUUCAGCUCUCUCAUGUUCCCGACCACCUACAACUUGCUGACAUUCUCACCAAGCCUCUCACUGGGUCUUCCUUUCACAAGUUUAUGGCUAAACUAAUGGUUGUCUCUAAACCCACCAUUAGUUUACAGGGGGAUGCUACUUAGUCUCUGUAACCGCUUCUGUUACUCUGUUAUACCAACCACUGUACUCACACCCAUAUAUAAAUAUACCUAUGCAUGGCACUGUAGUUGCAAUUAGUUUCAUAUAGAGAAAUAAUACAGAGCCUCUCUCUUCCCACUUAUUCUCUCACUAUAUUCUUUUUCUCUCUCUCCCCUUUUACUCACAAUACAUAUUAUUUAUUCAUAUAUUACAUCAUAUUCAAUAAUAAUAAAUUAGUCUCAUUUUCACAUAUUAAAAAUACUAUAUAAUUUUUUAGGCUAAUUCAAAAAUUAUUUAAAAUUUGUAUGAGCUUUGAUGGAUAGUAAUAAUAACAACAACAAUAAUAUACUAACUUUAAUAAAUUUAAUAAUAAUAAAAAAUAAUAAUUUUGUAAGGUUUAAUUAGGCUUAAAUUUCAAUUUUUAAGAAUUAGAAACAUUUUUUAAAAUAAAAAAUAUCUAUGCAUUUCCAAUAAAAGAAUAAAGAAUUUUUUUUUCAAUUACAUUCAUAAUUAUUUUAAAUAUUUAAAAAGGUUAAUGAUAAUAAGAAUAUGCUACUAAACAUUAUUGUAAAAACUCCUUCAAAAACAUUUUUAUAUAAUAAAAAUUAAUUAUAUAAAUAAAAAACCAAUACAAAAUAUAUUAUAUGAAAAAUAUAUAAAAGUUAAAGGGAAAAAAUUAGAUUAAAAUGUUUUAAUAAUUAAUGAUAAUCGUACUUAUUUUAUAUAUGUACUCUACAACUUUAUUGAUUUAUUUUACAUGUACUCGUCAAAUUCCUACAAAAAGUAGUUAAUCAAUUGAAUGAACAAUUAAAAUAGAGUGUAUGUCCACAUAUAUAUAAAAGAAGAUGAUGGAGAAAUUUUACUUCAAUGAAAUGAAAAGAUGAAAGAGUUUAUUAGAAAAUUAAGGUCAUAGUGAUUAAUAUGUGGACAAUUUGUGAAUUCAAGGAUCCUUAAGUGAUUUCAAGUUCAAAGUAUGAAAGUAAUACUUAUUUUUGAGAAGAUUAUAUUUAUUUCAAAACAUAUUAUUUUUUAAUUUUUUGUGUCUUUAUAGUUUGUUGGUGAUUUUGAAUAUGUAUUUGGUCAGAAAAAUGACAUUUAAGAGAAUGACAAGCUAAGAAAAAAUAAUUAUUGAUAUUGUUCUUGAAGAUUUGAAGAAAUUGGUUUCUCAUUAACGUGUUUUAAUUUUUUUUUUAGUCUUUUCACAAAAUUUCGUCUAGUAAAUGCUUUACCGUUAUUAUUAGAUACACUUUUAACUUUGAGAGACACAUUAUUAAAAAUACUAUUAAGAUUUGUUUUUCUUACAUCUAUCUUUUUUAUCUAUCUUUUUUAACUUAGAUGAAGAUUCAUAUCAUACAAUAAUACAAUCUAAAGAGAUAAAGAUGAGAAAGAUUUACUUAAGUUAUUUUUAUAUUGGUUCAUUUAUAAACAAAUACAUUACAUUAAAUUUUCAAUAAAUUAAUUGAGUUUUACUAAGUAAACUGAUGCUAAAAAGAUACAAACGAGUAUUAUUUUGAUCUUGGAUUUUUAUUGACUAAAACAAUACAAGUAUUAUUUGAACACACAAUCAAUCUUGAUUAAAAACUUGGCUAUUGUUUGGAACACUGUCACUCUUGACUAAAAACUCGAGUGUUAUUUGAAACACAAUACUCUUAGUUAAAACCUUGGAUGUUGUUUAGACCUCAGCCACUCGUAACUAACCCACUAAGUAUUGUUUGAAACCCACUCAUUCCGAGCUAAAAUAGAUUAUUGUUUGGAACGCAGCUAUUCUAGGCUAAGAUAGUGAGUAUUCUUUGGACUGCAACCAUUAUUGGUUACACAAUCCAAUCUCCUAAUCAACCAAGGACAUAUGAGGUGUGUAGAGAAACCCAUUAUCCUGGUCAAUCUUCCUAUGACUUCAUAACAAUAGAAGAAGUUCAGUGCAUGAUCAAGAAAGGCAAAGUUGGAGGAGCAAUACAACACAUAACUUUGGAUGGAAACAAGACAGUGUUUCCUACAACAACAAUCAACCCUACCAAUAAUAACAACAACGUUAUCCUUAAUAAAAUGAAAGAACAUCAAAGUUAGAGAUUAUGUUGGAAAAAUCCAUGCAUGGUUCCUUGACAAAUCAAAAGAACACUAAAACUUCAAUUAGGAAUCUGAACACACUGAUGAGUAAGGUGAUCCAUCACAUAGUCAAACAACAAUAAGAUCAAAUGUUUGUUGAAGAAGAAAUCUACAACAAAAAACAAAUUACUACAGGAAGUGGUUGAUGACUUUUUACGGGAAGUACAUUGAUCGGUACUAAUGAGAGUGAGGAACGCAGGUUUCAUCUCCUAGGCCUUGUUAGUAGCAGGUAUUGCAAUGCUACAAAAAUGUUUAAGCCCCUGGUACAUGGCGUAAUCUCCAAGAGUCCUCGUAGGAGGUGGUGCUUCUUCCUCCGCCAUGUUGUUAUCCUCUUGAAAAAUAUGAAUGGAAAAAGAAGAAGUUGUUGAAGAGUCCUCUCUAGUGACUUGUUGUUUCUCUUUUGCCUUUAAUUUCCUAUUUCUUCUAGCUAACCUUUCAAUUUCUGCUUCAAAUAAUAAUUGGUUUUUUGGAAUCCGACCUCUAUAUAUCAUAUAAAAACAACUAAUUUAAAAGUUAGCAUAAAGAUUCAAAAGCAACAACAAUUUUUUUAAAGAAAUAACAAAAAAUUAAAUUCUAAUUAAAUAAAACAAAUAAGAGAAAAAUCAAAAUAAAUAAGAAAAUAAAUAGAAACAAAUAAAAGCAAAUAAAUUCAAAAUAAGAAUUAAAACAAUAAAAACAAAAUAACCAAUCUGGAAAAAAAAAUACAAUAAAAACAAAUCAAAACAAUUAAAAUAUUCACAAUAUUUAGGAAACUAUACACAACAAAUCAAAAUUGUUCCCCGACAACCGUGAAAAAAACUUGAUGACUUUUUACGGCAAGUGCACCGUGUUGUCAGAAGUAAUAAUUUGUCCUUAAGGACGAAUAUCGAUCCCACAGGAAACAAUUGAAUUAUCAAAUACCAUACUCGCUAAAUAUAAAAUAGAACAAUAAACAGUGUGUUGACAAUGGUUGUGUUGGCGAUGAUUAAUAAGAAAACACACAAAGAAUUGGUUGCUUCAAGUUGGAAAAAUAAGGAUUAGGUUUCAUCCUUCUCACUCUCAUGUAUUUUGAUUAGCAUGUUAUCAUUAAGUCCUUUGAUUGAAAUUUAUGUCCCCUAUAAAAUUCAUUUAUAUCGAUAUCUCACAUAUAAAAUUAUUAAGAAUGUUUCCUAAAUAUUGAUUUCUCGCAUACUUAUAAAAACAACUUAGAGUCCUACUCAGAUGUUAAUAGCAAUUAACAUUUCAAUUCUAUUUCUAACACUCAAAUAUGUUAAGUAUUGUUGUUUAGGUCAGAACCCUAAAAAUACUUUUCAGUCAUAUUUAAGAUUAUAGAUCAAGAUUUAGAAACAAAACAACAAUACCAAAUCAAUCAAGAACAAAAUAUUAUACCAUAUUUAAAUAUCACCUCAAUACAUAAGAGUUCGAACAAACUACUCCCAAUCUCAAAGCGUAGAAUUAGCCACGCAUCUUCUAGUACCUUCUUUUCUCCCAAUUCGGUUACAAGUCACUCAAUGGUGUUUUCCUCUCAAUCUGGCACACUAGGGUUUAGCCUCUAGCUCUCUAUUUAACCUAAUUUACUAAGGUUAGGUGACUUCCUGCAUCGCGUUGAUGGGCUUAAUGAUAAAAACUUAAAAUGACCCAAUUUGUCUGACGCAUUCUUGCUUAAGAGAGAUGUAACUCGUUCUAGCGAGAUGUAGCUCGCUCAAGCGAUAAAGGCGUUGAUUUUCGAAAACUUCACUGGAGCGUUCUCGCUCAAGUGAGAAUGAGCUCGCUUGAGCGAGAAACUUCGUUGCUGAGUGAGACUUUUUUGCUCUUUUUGUGCGAUCUAGGACCUUUUUGUUGUUUGGAAAUGCUUGAAUUCAAAUUCAAUGACUUUAGGAAUGAAAACAACUAACUAGGUUUAUGUUCAAGGAUUGAAAUAUUAUCUUACUUUCUGCAUGUGGAUUGUUUACUUUAAAUGUUUGUUUAGGAUUUAGUAAUUCUAUUAGGUUUAAUGUGUUUUUAUUAGUUAACUUUUAAAUUACUAUUAUAAAUAGAAUAGUAGAACAUGUUCACCAAGAAGUUUUGAUGAAUCCAAUUUGUCUUUAAGUCUUGUUGGUGUGUAUGUGUGUGUUUGGUUAGGUAGAUUUUGUUGUAUAACUUUACAUUAUAUUAUGAUCCAAGUUACUUGAAAAGUAAUCUCCUUGUAAUGUUUUGUUUUCAAAAUCUUUGUAUUUUUAAAUAAGUUUAUUCAUGUAUUAAUUAAUUGAAAUUGCUUAUAUUCAAGUCCAUUGACUAUAAUAAGUAUUUUUAACAAAUUGAUUUAGUUUGAAAACACUUAAAAGUUUUUAAGGAUUUAAAAAAUAAUUUAUUUUCUAUUUUUUCUUUUAUGUUAAGUGAAAUUAGCCAAUUAUUUCGAUGAAAAAACUGGUUUAAAAUAUAGUGAUUUCUUAUGUUAAAGAAAACAAUCAAUUAUUUCAAAAAUCAAUUAAAUGUUUUUAACAUAUUUUUAUUAUAGUAACCAAUCAGAUUUUAAUUGAUACAAUUGUUUUCAUUAAAUGAUCAAACUGUUUUUACAAUCAUUAUAUCCUUAUAUAAGGAUGUAAUAUGAUCAUUUUAAACAACAAAAUUUAUAAGAGAGAAAAAUGGAAAGUUUUAAAAUAAUUAUUGGAGAUUGAGUUUGCUUCUUGGAGCAUUCUUGUUUUGUAAAAAAGGUUUUUGGGUUUACAAUCAGGUAAAUGAUUUAGAAUCUUGAAUUGGUUUUGUGUUGAAUUUUAAUUCAAAAGCUAACACAUAACAUGGAUCAUACAAAUUGGCCCUAAGAUGUUCUCAAACCCAAAAGCCCAUAACAACCAAAAUAAAAAAAUCUUGUGAAUUGAUUCAUACAUGAGACUUAAUAGAAUCAUGGAAAAGAAAGUAGUAUGAGCAGAAUAUUGGCUGAAAAAUAAGGGACAUCAAGUGUUGUGAAAAUUAGAAAAAGAUAGACCAUCAAGGUCUUAGUCGAAAAAAAUUGAUACACCUACCUUAUCCAGAAACACCACACUAACUAAUUCAUGCUUGUUGUGCUAUCUUAAGAGCAUCUUAAGAGCUAUAAAUGAAAUACAAAAAUUGUUUGAAUUUUAAAUUCAUUUGAGUGUAAACAACUAGUUGGGUUAGGAUUGUGACUAAAUUGAGAAAGUUUAUAGGACUUAGAGUCUUAUAUGAUAUACAUUGCAUAUGUACUACACUUAAGUAUGAAACAUUUAUGCUAAAAGCAUAAGUAAUGACAUCUCUUCAAUUCUGAUCUAACUCUGACAAUCCCAGCUAACCAUUGUAGAUUUAAGAUUUGUAUCUCCAAGGGCUUUACUUGAGGGCAAGCAAAUAGUUAAGUUAGGGGGAUUUAACUUAGUGGUGGACUAAGUUAAGUCCCACUUCUUUUACUCCGCAAACAGACCGAGUCAAUUGUAGUACAAUGGAGGGUUGUCGAAUCCACAUGGAAUUAAUGUUAUCACUAUAAAAUUAUCUUUCAAGAUGAAGUGAAACAAAGAUUGGAGAUGGUUUGCAUAUAAGUUUUAUAAUUAACUAACUAAUAAUAAUAAUAAUACUAAAUAUUUAGAUUGAGAGGUGAAGUUAGGACAAAUAAUUGAAGCAAGGGUGUAACAAUAUAGCACAGAUGUUGAGAUUGAAAUAGCUUUGUAAUUUUUUUUGUUAUUGUUAUUUAUAAAUGCAAUUUUUAUUCAAACUCCAUGUUUCUUAUGGUCAAACCAAGUCGAUUCCUCGUGGAAGGUUACCUCAAGCAAUAAAUCAUUGUUAUGGCUUAUCUUUGGAUUAACAUCAAACAAUUCAUCAUAGUUUGAGCUCUACGUUCUACAACCAUUGAACCUUAUGACUGGCUUAAUAGGGUCCAGGUACAUGAAAUCGCCUUCCGACCUCAUUCAUGCUUUAUAGAAAAUCAACGGUCAUUCCUCACCAUUGAGCAUUGAGCACGCUACCAGAUUCAAGGAAUUUAAAUUUCAAACAUAUACAUGCAUCUAUAAGCAAAAAUAACUCCAACAAUAUCAUAUUUCUAUUAAAUCUCAAAAAGAUAGAUUUAGCAACUCAUAACAAGAACUUACAGUGAGAGUUCAAGUAUGAGAAGCUAAAGUACAAGAAAGAUGGAUCCUUGAGUGUUGUGGCCAACUUAGGCUUCAAGAUUUCCUCCUCCAGAGAUUAGUCUUCACUUUUUUUAGGUUUGGCCCUAUAACUUGAUUGAUUCUGAAGAUCAGACUCUCUGAGCCUAAACAAACAAAACCUCUAUAUCUAAACCUCUUUUUGGAUUUCACUUGAUUGCCUUAAUAUCUAUGUUUCUCAAUGUCUCUCGAUUUCUUGAGACCUCUCGAUGAUUUGAAAAUUUCCCUAAGGUCCCUAUUUAUAGGUUUUUUGAAUGAGACUAAAAGGAAGUAAAAGGGAUUCAACAUCCACUCAAUGUAGGCUAAUCCUUUCAUCUUUAAGCAAUCUUCGUGCUUCUUGAGAUUUCUAGAGAUUCACUCCAAAUCUUGAUCAACAUUGACAUUUCCUAACCAUGAAGAAAAAUUCACUUGGCUUAGGCUUCAAAAGGAAUCCUUUUGUUCCCAAACUUGGUGCAAAUUGGCUUGAGCCCUAUCUGAGCGAAUUUGGGCUUUCUUCAUGAUUAAGGAUGCUAAUUCGCUCAACCUUCUAAUAUCUCAAUUCCUUUGGUACUUCUAGCCUAAAUCCGCUAAGCGUAUGCAUAUGCGCUUAGUGUUUUUGAGUGUUUGUAUGGAGUUUGCUCUCUGGACUCAAUCCACUUAGUCAUUCUUCAUGCGCUGGGCAUAUCGACUCUUUUGCUUCAUUCUUGUUUGCUUGUUUUUCUACAAUUUUUUUUUGCAAAUUCCUUUUUUUCCUCUUUUUCUUCAUGUGCAACUGGAGUUGGAAGGUUCUUGGCAUGCUUUUCACUAGUUUUUAUACAUAUUCUACACAAAUUACAUGUUUAUUGAACUAUGAAUUUUACUACAAUUUAGCACUUAUCAGGGGGUCCAAAUACAUUUCAUAUCAGAAUGUGCUUAAAUUUGAAAGAAUGUGAAGAAUGCAGAUGUGUACUAAUCUUUUCAUACAUAGGGUACUGUUGAGCAUGGAAAGUCGUAUAUAUAAAAGUGAAAUGAAUCUCAAUUCCAAACUUAUUCUUAAAUCAACCAAUGUCUAAAUGGUGUUACUAUUGAUGCUAGAAUUCUGAAGUGUUCUUUGUUUGAGGGCAAUCAAAGAGCUAAGUUGAAGGGAGUUUAAAAUAUACUAGAUUCUCAUGAUAUUACAUUGAUUUAGGAACUUAAGUGAAUGGAAGUGAAAAUAUCCUUAAAAUGGUCAUCUUCCCACUUAGAAUUAUAAUGUUAGUAAAUUAUAUGAUCUUAUAUGGACUUUGAGUUAUCUUGCAAAAAAUAGAAGGACAAUAGCAACUAAAUAGAGGUGAAGCAAAAAUAGAGCUUCCAUUGAGCAUUAGCAUGACGUGUUGAGCAAAUUAAAGGCAAAAAAGGCCUACACAAAGUUCCUAUAAAUAUCGAGCAUCUAAAGAAGCGUUGAGCAGAUCUACUCCAAAGAGAAGUAUAAUUAGAGAUCAUGAUCUGUUGAGCGAGGCCAUGAAGCACUGAGCAUAGAGAAAACCUUGAGCCGAAGUAAGCUAAUUAGUUGAGCUUAAUAAGAGAGGAGUUGAGAGUAUAAUUUUUUUGAGAUGAAGAAAUGUGCUGAAUGAAUUUUAAUAACAUGCAAGAAAGGAGUUAACUCUAUAAAUAAAAGACCUUCUAACUUAAGAAAGAGAGGAGAGGAGAUGAUAAGAAAAAGAGAUCGAAGUUUACAUUCAUAUACCCUUAUGCUCUCAGUUGUUAUCUACUUAGGAAUUUAGUGUAUUUCAUUCACCAUUAUGAGUAGCUAAGUUACUUCUAAUGGGAUUGAAGGAUAAUGUAACAUAUAUGUAUUAUUUUGGUUUAUAAGCGCAUGUAUAUUUCAUUCCUAUUUGAUUUGAUUUUUUGCUUAAUGCUUGACAAGUGAUGAAUCACUGUUGUUGCUUUUAGAACUUGAAUGAUAUUAAGAAAUACUUUCAUUUUCUGAACUAAAUCAAAUCUUCCAAAGAUUUCAAUAUUUGGGGAUGAAGUUGAAUCAAUAAUGCAAAAUCAAACUGUUGUAACUCAAGAGAUUGAUUAUGAUAAUUUUCUUUCUAGAUAACCAUGAUUAAGGGAUUAACUUGGUUUGUCCUUGAGAGUCAUGGAACUGAAUUACACUGCAUUUAUAAUUGAGUGCAGAUCAAUUACAAAGUCUAUUCAAUCCCAACAUUUUUUUUUUCAGAUUUGAAAACCUUCUCCUUUCGCAUCUAUUAUCAAUUUAUCUAAGACUUAUGCUUGUUUCAUUUCAUAAUAGAAAGUGCAUCUACUAAAUUUACACCUAGUCCUUGAGGAUACAUCAACCCCCUUAUCAAUUGUACUAUAGUUGACUAAAUUCACUUAUCGAGAGAUAUAAUUUAAAGUGUCACACCAUCACAAACUGAAACACAAUUAAUGUUUCUCGAUCACAAAUCACACAUUGAAUUGAUGAAGCCAAACGAAACACAAUUUUAGAACAGUGAGAACAAAUAACAACAACAAAGACAAUCACAAUACCAUGAAGACGAAGAACAUGAGAAGAAGAAAAAGCGUAAUGAAUGAUGACUCUUUUAGGCAAGUGUACCGAGUCAGAAGUAAUAAUUUGUCCCUAAGGACGAAUAUCGAACCCACAAGGAACAAUUAUUUUAAAUCCUAAUAGUAACAUUUAGUAAGUAUAAAAAUAUGUACAAUAAUUUGAUUUGACUUGAUAUUAACAAUAGUUUACAUGAAAAUUAAAUAAAAGCAAAGUAAAAAGUUGUUGAUUCAAUUGAGAAAAUUGAGAUUAGGGUUCAUCUUUCUCACUCUUUUGUAUUUUGAAAAGCAUAAUAAUAUUUUUUAUUUUGAUUGAUAUUGAUGCCCAUAUAAAAUUCAUUUAUAUCAAUUUCUGGCAUAUAAAAUUGUUAAGAGAGUCUCCUAAAUAUUGAUUUCUUGCAUAUUUGUAAAAACUCUUUAUCCUUACGAUUAAAUGUUGAUAGGAAUUAACAUUUCAAAUAUAUUCCUAACAUUCAAAUAUGUUAAGCAUUAUCAUUUAGGUCAUAAACUUAGAAGUACUUUUUCAGUCAAAUCUAAGGAUCAAAAUCAUGAUAAACAAUCUUACUAAUAAAAUGACAAUACCAAUCAUCAAUCAAGAACAAAAUAUUAUAUUUAAAUAUCACCUCAAUACAUUAGAGUUUGAACAAAUUACUCUCAAUCCCAAAGGGUAGAAUUAACCACUCAUGUUGGCCACUACAAACAUGGAAAGCAAGAAAAGAAGAUUUAGGAUGUUUAUCCUUUACGACAACCUCAUUUAGGAUUUUCUAUCACCUCCUAUUCUCCCAAUGAAUGAAUAGGGUUGUGCCCUAGGCCUCAUUUAACCUAGUUAGGCUUGGGCUAAGUGAUUUCUCGCCUGAGCGUGAUUAGGUUCGCUUAGGCGAGUUGGACAAGAAAAAAAUCCAACUUCUCUGGAGUGAUCUCGCUUGGGCGAGUUCCUCUGAAGUGCUUCUGGCUUAGGUGAGUUUUGAGCAUUUCAAGCUUUACUUUUCACCUUGUUUAUUCUCCUUCUAACCCUUUCAUCUCUAUUUUUUUCUUAGAAUCCUGAAAUUAAUACAAAUUUAAAAAUCAAUCGUUCUUAUUCAUAUUAUAAUAAAAAAACAUAUAAAAAUUUUAAAUUCAUAAAUUAAAUUAUUAAAUUAUAAUUAUUUUAUCAAUAAAUAUUCAUAAAUAUUUAUAUUUUAAUAUAAAAUAUUACUAAAAUAUGAUAUUUAUCAACAAACACUUAUGUCCAAGUAUUGAAGAAACUGAAUUGUAAAAAAAAUAAAAAUUUCUAGAUAAAUUUUAUUAAUUAUGCAAUCAUGAAUGAAAUGAAUGUUACAAGUAUAUAUACCGUUUCCACAAUUGAGAAACUAUGUGCUAUACCUUCACCACUAUCAGCUAAUAUAAAUAUUAUAAUACAGAGUACCCUAAUAAUUUUCAGCUAAACACCUAUAUAUUAACAUUCGAUAAAGAAGCUGGACAGUUUUACACCAAAAAACUAAAGACAAUUAUGCACUAACAAUUCUUAAUAACAAACAUUAUAAUUACAUCUUAUGAAAAGUCACAAUUUUUAAUUUGGGCGAAAUAGAGUAAUUUUUUUUCAUGUCAUACUAAUCAAUUUGUUAUUCAUGAAAGAUAACUUUUUUUAUUUCAACGUGUACCUUACAAUGCAUACGUGAUAUAAAGAACAAAAUUGUGAGUUGGCGCGUGGCUCUCACCCUGGUGCGUGUCCCUACCGGAGAAGAAGAAGAAGAAGAAGAGCAGCUGAUAGAUAAGGAAGCGAAACUCAGCAAAACAAUUAACAAAGGACUCGUCUUUCCUCUCUGCCAAUGGCUACUUCCAUUAACAGGUUUUUUUUCCAUAUCUAUCACACGUGCGUUUUUUCUCUUCAUGAAAUUCAAUUUAACAUGUGAAUUUCUCUUUUGAAGCACUGUUCUUGGGUGGAAAUAUUCCUCCUUUUUCUCACAAUCUAAUGCCUUCAACGCGGUUUCGCCUCCUUUCAAACCAAAACCCCCACUCUCCAAGUUUUCUCUCACUUGCUCUGCCGCCUCCUCUUCCUCUGGUACCUUCCAUUUCUUCCUUCCCUUUGUCUAAUCAACUCAAAUCAGGAACUGGGUUCAUCUCCUUUUUUGUGUUAACUGUGCCCUAUUUAAGUUGGGGAUUUUGGGGCAGUUGUUUUGAAGGGAAAUGUAGUUGCUUUAUCUAGAUGUGAUACAUUGCAAUAUUCCAGCACUUUUCACUGUGUGGUGCUAGAAAAGGUAUUUCUAUGAAUUAUUUGUAGGAUUGUUGAAUUUGACUCAAGCAAUAAAGAGGAAAAGAAAAUGAAUGUUGUUUUGAAGAAUACAUUUAUGUGGCUAAGGUUUUAAAUUAUAUUAGCCUGUUCCGGUAGUGGUGUUUUUUGUCUAUCCUUGAUUUUUGUAGAAAAUUGUGGAUAAAUGCAGCUGAUGUGGCUUCAAUUGCUGCUGCAGAUACCCCAAAAACCUAUUGCAACCACAAUUGAGUUUGCAAACUGUUUUUAAUAACCUUGUCUGAAGGUGUAACUUAGUUUCACGAAUUUGCAAAUUCUUCAAAAGGGAGGAGGAACUUUAUCAUUCAAAUAAUCCUGUUGAAGAGUGUCAUGAGCUUCUCUUCAGCCUUUGAUUUUUGUGUCUUGUGAUAGACACGUCCCUGCAAACAUGCAGAAAUUGGUUUGGAUGAUUUUUUUUUUCUAUUUUAUUUAGAUCCACUACUGGUUAAGGCUGCCAGGGGAGAUCCUGUUAGUCGUCCUCCAGCAUGGAUGAUGCGACAGGCAGGAAGGUACAUGGCUGUUUACAGAAAGCUUGCUGAGAAAUAUCCAUCCUUCAGAGAGAGGUCAGAGACAACUGACCUCAUUGUGGAAAUUUCUUUGCAGCCUUGGAAAGCUUUCAGGCCUGAUGGAGUCAUUAUCUUCUCGGACAUCCUUACACCACUUCCUGCAUUUGGAGUUGAUUUUGACAUAGAAGACAUAAGGGGACCUGUUAUACAUUCACCCAUUCGUUCUGAGGAGGACUUGAAAACUUUACAUCCAAUUGACUUUGACAAGCUUAAAUUUGUUGGAGAAUCACUUAAGAUACUGCGCCAAGAGGUAAAAUUUAUAUUGCCACCUCAUUCAUGUCAUGACCAUCCUGCUAAUCAUGUGUUUCCCUUACUGAUUCUAUUUUAUUCAGGUUGGUGGUCAUGCAGCUGUUUUGGGUUUUGUGGGAGCUCCUUGGACAAUAGCAACAUAUAUUGUGGAAGGGGGUACAACACGCACAUAUACAACCAUUAAGAGCAUGUGCCACACUGCUCCACAUGUAUUGAAGACUUUGCUUUCUCAUUUGACGCAGGCAAUAGCUGAUUAUGUUAUUUUCCAAGUAGAGUCUGGGGCUCACUGCAUACAAAUAUUUGACUCAUGGGGUGGACAACUACCACCUGCUAUGUGGGAACGCUGGUCAAAGCCUUAUAUCAAAGAGGUAUGUUGGAAAAAUAUCCUCAUUUCUUUCUUGGCUGAUGAAAUUGUAUUUUAGUUUUUUAAACUUUUCAAUUUGGGAUUCUUGUUAUAUUAAGCCUCCACGUUUGUUUUUAACUUAUAACAACUUUGACUUUAACUUAGUUCUUUAGUUGGAGAAAGGAAAACAAUAUGUAACUUCCUGAGGUUUGCAACAAUUAGCAGAUUUUAUGGUAGACUAAAGCUACACUGCUCCAUGCCUCCUUGAUUUUUAUUGUUUGGUUGGCUUGGUUGAAAUAUGAUCAAACUUAAACAUCUUAAUUGUAAUUUUUCUGGGCCAAACAAGAAAAUACUUGUAAUGUGUUUGAGAAUAAGUUCAAUGGAUUUCAAUAUUAUGGUUCUUGAGAUUAAGUUCAAUGGAUUUCAAUAAAUGGUUCUUGACUUUCUGGGAGGUGGGAAUCCAAAUCAGAAGAUGCAACUUUUCUUUUUCCUUUGAAUAUUUUAUUGAGAUUACUAUUUCUGUCAGUAUAUUUUUACUAUACACAAACACAAGGUUGGAUACUAUAUUACCCUUUUUUUUAGCUUUUUGUCAUGUACUGCUUUCUGAAUUUCCAGAUUGUACAUUUGGUCAAGAAAAAAUGCCCUGAGGUACCGAUUGUUCUUUAUAUAAAUGGAAAUGGUGGCCUUCUGGAGCGUAUGAAAGACACUGGAGUUGAUGUUAUAGGGCUAGACUGGACAGUGGAUAUGGCAGAUGGAAGAAGAAGAUUGGGUAGUGGGAUAGGUGUGCAGGGAAAUGUGGAUCCUGCCUACUUAUUCUCCCCUCUUGCUGCCCUGACUGAAGAAAUUCAGAGGUUGGUGUCAUGAUUUCCCGGAGCUUUGGUAUUCAUGACGAAAUUCCAUAUGUUGUUUUGCAUAUAUAAUAUAACUAGACAUAACUUAACCCUAAAGCCCAUAGAAGCAUCAUUCACUGUAGCUUUAAGUUUACAUAUAGUCAUUCACUUUAGUCCUUUUUGUUACUAGCAAAUGUCUAUGUUGCAUAUUUUCUAGUCAUGAUGUGGUGUCUAAGAUGUGGAGCUGAGCCACCCCCAACAUUUGCUUAUUUAGGCGGAUUUGAAAAUAAUUAAACAGAAAAGGCAGCAACUAACAAAGAAGCAGAGAAAAAAACACAGUUUACAUAGCUAUGUUAGUGAUCUUAUAGUUUCAAAAUAAUGAAGUAAUUCAAUUAGACUUGGUGGCAGACUCUGAUGUCAGUUGUGUAUGAAUGAAUUAUCUUGACUUUUUAAUGAUAAUUAUUUGUCAGGGUUGUGAGGUGUGCGGGGCCCAGACGGCACAUCCUUAAUCUUGGGCAUGGUGUCCUUGUUGGCACACCUGAAGAAGCUGUUGCACAUUUCUUUGAAGUAGCUAGGAGCUUGCAGUUUGACACACUUUUUCCAAGCAAUACUGCAAAAAACCCUAAUCUAGUAACAUAAGCACAAUGCUAAGUGUUGCUAUUUGUUCUACUUUAUAUUGGAGUUAUUUCAAGCUCUUCUCCAAAUGAAGGGUGUAGGUUAGUCCUUUCUUUUUCUUAUGCUGCUAUGAGAUGAUCAAAAGUCUGAGCAUUUGCACAUUUCUGUACCGGCUAACUAGAUGAAGUUGUGAUUAACUAGAGUAUUUAUAAUUGAUUUGAUAAAUUAACUAGAGUAUUUCUUCCAACUGCAUAAUCUCGGUAAAUUCCUCAUGCUUGGGGUGACACCUGCCUUUGUACUAUUAUUUUAUUUCAAAGAAUUAAUUGAUUUAGAAUUUGUUAUGACUUGACUGUUCAAAUUGUACUUGACAUAGGUUUUAACAUUUGUUAAAAUUAAUUUAUUUGGAACUGAAAGUCUUCAAUCCAAAACUUCCUAAUAAAAUUUUGAAAUAAAAAGUGAUUAUUUUUAUUUAGUAUUUUCCAACAUGCACACUUAUGUUUCUGAAAAUUUUGUUAUUUUUCUGAUCUGAAUAAACUUUAAGUUGUUUAGGCUUGUGAUAUUUGUUUUUAACUUUGUUAAGAAAAAUGUUUUUUUAACAAGUUAUAUCACUUAAGAUAAGUUUUUCGAUUUGCAAAAAAAUAAAAAUGGCGUUUUAAAAAAAAAAGAGUAAAAUAUAACAAUUUCACAGACACACCUUACUAGAAAUUAAAAAUAGAGUAUUUUACUGAGAAUGGAAUGAUUCAUGUCUAGAGAAAAAUAUAUUCAAUUUGUGUGCUUUCAGGAUCUUGAGGGUGUUAUUAUUAAUUUUAAGAAAAUAGGCUUUCAAAUAAAUUGGAACGUUAGUUCUCUUAAAUAUAAAAACACGGCAAAGGGUGCUAGAAGAGUUAGCUCAUUGUGUUAAGUUCUGUUAUGAGCAAUUUCUUUUAGGUACAUGCAAAUCCAAGAGUAACUUUGAGCACAUAGGUGAAGUGUUACUGCAUGGACACAGGAAUGGUUGUUGCCUUAUGCUUCAGAGCCUCGUUUACUGUCUUGAGAGCUUUGUCAUAUGACAAAAAUCCCAUAAAAUUGAACUCAUAGCCAUCCGUUGUGAUAACCUUCAUGCGUUUUUCUGAUGGAUUCAAUCCAUAUGUGAGAGGAGAGACUUUGCUCAACUGAUCCAGAUUCACUAUCACCUACAUAUUCCACACUCAAAAUUUAGUACUCCUUAGCAGAAAGUUCCUCUCAUUGUAAUGAUGCAAAAUCAUAAAAGCUGGUGUUUUAUGGUCUCAAAUUAUACAAGUUAAUUAGCACUUGUCUCACUUUGAUUAAAAAAUUGGUAUGAAUCUUCAAGUUUAGUUUAAAUGGGGUCUGUUUUUUUUAACAGAAUGAACAAUGUAUGAACAUCAAUCCUGUAAAGCUAAUAAAAGUGAAUUGCUUUGAAUUAUGACUGAGCAAAUGAGGUAAACAAGCACCUUAUAAUAAAUGCAUUGAUGCUGCUGCUGCAGGGAGAAUGGAUGAUGGCACAGUGGAUGGUCACUGCAAAAUGCUAAUCUUUUUGUUGAUAUAUAAAGUGUUCCAAUUACAGGCCUAGAGUCUGUUGAUAGGUAGCAAGCAUAUGGCUGUAAGAGCUUCUCUCCUGGGAAAACCCCAAAUGUUUGCUGAAAUAGCUUUUCAGGCCCUCCUGAUGCAAUUACCUUUGUUCCUUGAAUAAGUUUAGCAAUUGCAGCAUCAGCUGGUCUAGAACUAACUUUUACUGGAACACAAAAUAGAUUAGCUUUAAGUCAGGACAGGAUUUCAAACACUUAAAUGGGUCUCAUCAUAAGUAAAUAACCAAGGUCUAGGUUAAAUUGGCUCCUAUCUUUUGUCAGCCAAAUUAAGUAUUUCAUUCUUACAGGAAAAAGCUUCAUAAGUUUAUAAAUGAUGUUUGAAAAUUACAUGAGGAAUUUCAAAAAAAAUUAAAUUAACUUUAAUUCAUGUGAGUUUCAUAACUGUGGAAAAGGUUUUCUUUUUACAAAGAAAAGAUUUUUCUUUUGUAAUUUGAUACAUACUCUUAGAUAUUAUUAGAUAUGAUGAGAUAUUAUAAAUAUUGUUAGAUAUUUCUAUUUAGGUAAUGGACUUAACCCAUAUGUUUCUUUUCCUAUAUAAACAUAACCCUAUGUGUUUAAUAUACACCAAAGAUUUACCAUAUUUUUCUUUUCCUUUAAUAUGGUGUUUAGAGCGUAGGAUUGAAGUCAAUUUUUAUUGGCGAACCCACUGUUCACUGAAAUUUUCUAGCCACUGUCCCACCGCCUCGUCGUAGCCGUCGCCGGACUCUUGCCAGAGUCGCCGUCGGAGAUGCUGUUGGAACCGCUGUCGGAGCCUUCAUCAGUGUUGAUGCCGCCAAUUGACUAGUGACUGGAUUUGUCCUUAUUUCUAUGGCUUCUUUCGUUCCCUCUUUUGCUUCCGCUGCUGCUGUUGCUUCUUCCGCUGCCGUUAUGCUGUAUCCGUUUAUUUAUACUAAUUAUGUCAAUAUUCAUCUCCAUUGACAAAUUGGAUGGAACCAAUUAUAACACUUGUGCCUCAGAUAUUAAAUUAUGGCUUAAGAGUCAAUGUUAUGUUGAUCAUCUUACUCGUCCCAAUGUUGUUGAAAAUGAGGUUUCCCGUUGGUUGAAAAUUGAUGCUCAAUUAUGCAUUGUUAUCAAAUCUACCAUUCACUCAUUUUUAAAACAAUUUUUUCGUACCUAUGAGACAUGUUCAAAAGUUUGGGAACGAGCAAAAUUAUUAUACACCAGUGAUACUCAACGUCUUUAUGGUGUGUCAAAAUAUCCUCACAUUUGUUGCUCCGAAACGUCUUAAUGGUACAAUGGUAGAAUAUCUGGGUAAAAUUCAUGCUCUUCUUCAUGAUUUUAAUGAGUUAUUACCUCCUGCCCCUACUCCUUACAAGAACUAGAACAAAGAUCAAAGUUCUUCAUGUUAUUUGGUUUACAUGGCCUUCCUGAUGAUUAUUCUCAUGUACGUAAUCAAACUUUGGGAUCCCCUAUCAUGCCCAAUUUUACUUCUUGUUCUACCCUUCUGUGUGUGCCAGGUAAACACACCACUAUUAUAACGCCUCAUGUUAAUGACUCUUCUUUAGUCUCUCAGCAUAAUGAUCGUAUUCGCCUUCACAAGUCAGACAAAGGGCAUCACAAUUGUGACCAUUGUGGCAAACUUUGCCACAAAAUUGAUAGAUGUUAUGCCUUACAUGGUCGUCCUCCUAAAUCUGUUGCGGUUACCCAAACUACUUUUGUGCAACCUUCUAUUGUGGACCAUACUUCAUCUUCAUUUGAUACCCCAGGCCAGCUUGUUAUUUUCAAUAAAUUUCUUAAAUAGUGUGAGGAUCGGUAGAACACUGGUUCCAUUACUUCUGUUGCACAUUCAGGUACAUCUUUUGUUGGCCUCACUCCUCUAAUUCCCUUGGUCCUUGGGUUCUAGAUUCAAGUGUCACAAAUCACAUUACUGGUACUCAAUAUUUUUUCUCUUCCCUAUCUACUACGGGUUAUUUACCUUCAGUUACCAUGGCUAAUGGAUAUAGGGUACCAUCACAUGGUGUUGGUACUAUUAAUCUUUUUUCCUUCUUUAUCUAUUGAUAAUGUUCUUUAUGUCCCUAGGUCUCCAUUUAACUUAUUAUCCAUUAUUCGUCUCACUCGUUCCCUUAACUGUGUUCUUUCUUUUACCAAAGAUUAUGUUUCUUUACAAGAUCAAAGUUCGGGACGGAUGAUUGGCAUCAGAUAUGAGUCUCAUGGACUUUAUCAACUACAGAUAUCUGCACAUGUUGACGCGAUUAUAGAUUCUCCAUCUCUCAUUCAUGCUCGGUUGGGUCAUUAUGCUCUUGCCAAAAAGCAACAAUUUGUUCCAAGUUUGUCUAAUGUAUCUAGUUUAUCGUGUGAGUCGUGUCAGUUAGGGAAGCACAUUCGUAGUUCUUUUCCUAGUAGUGUCUCACAACGUGCUUCAUCUCCUUUUGCCUUAGUUCACUCUGACAUUUGGGGACCAAGUCGUAUUAAGUUUAAUUUAGGAUUUCACCAUUUUGUUACUUUUAUUGAUGAUUGUUCAAGAUAUUCUUGGGUGUUUUUAAUGGAAAACCGUUCUGAGUUGUUUUCAAUAUUUCAAAUAUUUUACAAUGAAAUUAAAUCAAUUUGGAAUUUCCAUUCGAAUUUUGAAAAUUGAUAAUGGAUGUGAGUAUCUUUCUCAUUCUUUUAAAAAUUUUAUGGCUUCUCAUGGUAUUCUUCAUCAAACUUCAUGUGCUUAUACACCUCAACAAAAUGGGGUAGCUGAGCGCAAGGAUAAACAUCUUGUUGAAACAACUCAUACUAUUUUAAUCCAUGGUGAUGUUCCUCAAUGUUUUUGGGGUGAUGUUGUUCUUAGUUCAUGUUAUCUCCUUAAUCGCAUGCCAUCUUCAGUUUUAGAUGACAAAAUUCCUCAUCCUAUUUUAUUUCCACAUGACCCUCUCCACUCUUUACCUACCAAAGUUUUUGGGUCCACAUGCUUUGUUCAUAAUUUUAGUCCUAGUCUUGAUAAAUCAUCUCCUAAGUUACACAAAUGGUUUUUUUAGGGUUCACUAGAUCAUAAAAAGGAUAUAAAUUUUUCUCAUCUUCUCUAAACUGUUAUUUUAUUUCAACAGAUGUCACCUUUAGUGAAUCUUCCCUUUACUUUAAUUCUUGUCCUUCUCCUUUUAUGUCUUCAUCUAAUCAAUUUAAUAUUCCUCUUGUUGUGCCUAGUGCAUCUAAAGAUUCACCACCGCCACCAACUCUUCAGGUGUAUAGUCGCCGUCAACCGUCUCAUCGUCCAUCAGAUGACUCUCUUCUAGUGUCAACACCUCAUCCCCCUCCGGCUCCAACAGUUGAACAUUCGACAUUUGAACCUGAUCUUCCUAUUGCUAUCUGUAAAGGUAUAUGUUCUAUCCGUAAUCCCUCUCCACAUUAUACUUCUUUGAGUUACCAUAAACUAUCUCAACCCUUUUAUACCUGCCUUUCGUCUAUUCCUUCUAUAUCCAUUCCAAAAUCUGUAGGUGAUGCCUUAGCUCAUCCUAGUUGGCAUUAGGCCAUGCUUGAUGAAAUGAAUGCGCUUUAGAAUAAUGGAACUUGGGAACUUGUUCCUUUACUAUCUAGGAGAUCUGUUUUUGGUUGCAGGUGGACUUUGCUAUCAAAGUUGGUCCUGGUGGUACUAUUGAUCGUCUCAAAGCUUGUUUGUGGCUAAGGGUUAUACCCAAAUUUUUGGUUUAGACUAUGUUGAUACUUUUUCUCUAGUGGCAAAGAUGGCUUCUGUUCGCUUAUUCAUAGCCAUGGCUGCUCUUCAAUAAUGACCUCUUUAUCAACUAGAUAUCAAAAAUGCCUUUCUUAACGGGGAUUUGCAGGAAGAAAUUUAUAUGGAGCAACAUCCCAAUUUUGUUGCUUAGGGGGAGUCUUCUAAAUUGGUAUGUCAUAUUCGCAAAUCCUUAUAUGACCUCAAGCAGUCUCCUAGGGUCUAGUUUUGAAAAUUUAGCAAUGUUGUUGAACAAUUUGGUAUGACUUGCAGUGAAGCGGAUCAUUCAGUUUUUUAUCGUCAUUCGAGUGCUAGGUGUAUCUAUCUUGUAAUAUAUGUUGAUGACAUUGUUCUUUCAGGCUAUGAUCACCAUGGCAUCUCACAAGUAAAACAACACUUUUGUCAACACUUUCACACCAAAGAUCUUGGCAAACUCAUAUAUUUCUUGGGGAUUGAGAUAGCACAAUCCAAUAUUGGUAUUGUUAUCUCUCGAAGAAAAUAUGCAUUGGAUAUUUUGGAGGAAAUUGGGUUGAUGAAUUCGAAAUCUGUUGAUACUCCCAUGGAUCCCAAUGUCAAACUUCUACCCAAUCCCAGAGAGCCUCUUUCAGAUCCUGAGAAGUACAGGAGAUUAGUUGGAAAAUUGAACUAUCUCACUGUUACUCGUCCUGAUAUUUGCUUUGUAGUUAGUGUGGUGAGUCGAUUUCUUAAUUCUCCAUAUGAAGAUCAUUGGAAUGCAGUCAUUCGUACACUGAAGUACAUUAAAGGCUCUCCUGGAAAAGGUUUGUUAUAUGGUCAUAAUAACCACACUAAAGUCGUUUGUUAUUUAGAUGUUGAUUGGGCAGGAUCUCCAUCUGAAAGAAGAUCAACUUCUGCUUAUUGUGUCUCCAUUGGUGAUUACUUGAUCUUUUGGAAGAGGAAGAAACAAAGUGUUGUGGAGAGAUCCAAUGCAGAAGUAGAAUAUAGAGCUAUGGCCUCAACUAGUUGUGAGCUUAUUUGGCUUAAACAAUUACUUAAAGAAUUUCAAUUUGGAGAGGUCACUCAAAUGACACUUAUAUGUGAUAAUCAAGUUGCUCUUCAUAUUAUCUCAAAUCCAGUUUUGCAUGAAAUGACCAAACAUAUUGAGAUUGAUUGUCAUUUCAUUCGAGAAAAGAUUAUAUAAGGAGAUAUCAAGACUGAGUUGGUUAAUUUAAAUAAUCAAUUAGCAGAUAUUUUUACUAAACCCUUACGAGGGCCUAGGAUUGAUUACAUUUGUAACAAACUGGGUACAUAUGAUCUAUAUGCAGGGGGAGUGUUAGAUAUUAUUAUAUAUAAUUACAUAUUAUUAGAUAUUAUAAGAUAUUAUAGAUAUUGUUAGAUAUUUAUAUUUAUGUAAUGGGAUUAGCCCAUAUGUUUCUUUUCCUAUAUAAACAUAAUCCUAUGUGUUCAAUAUACAUAAGAGAUUUACCCUAUUUUUUCUUUUUCUUUAAUACAUACCAUUACUCAAGAAGUUCUGUUUUUUCAUACAAAUGAAUUGUGUAGCAUUUUUUUAUGAGGUCUCAAAACUAAAUUAGUAUGUUUUAUCAAACCAAGACAUCUCAAGUACGUCAACUUUUAACUCCAUUUCAUUAAACAAUUUAUAAAAUAAAGUUUAUAUUCCCUUAUAUAUUAUAAUUUAAUGAUAUAAUUAAUGUGAGAUGUUUAUCGUACAUGAGCACGAUUAUAAACCUUUGUUUUGUUAUUUAUUGAGUUAAAUAUAUUUUUCGUCCAUGUACUAUAAUGUAAAAUUUGUUUUUGUUUAUAAUCUAAAUUUUAGACCUCCUGAGUACUUGUAGUAAGGAAAAUAUUAGAAUAUAUUUUUACUAGUUUUUUUGUGUAACAAACGAAUUUUCAGUGUGAAUUAUAUUAUAAUAUUAUAACAUCCACGAUAGUGAUGAAUUAACAUAAAAUAUUUUAACAUCUUAGUCCAUACUGAAAAUUCGUUUAUCAUGUAAAAGAAAAUCUAACAGGAAUCUAUUCCAAUAGUUUUCUUACUACAAAUACUUAUGAGGUCUAAAGUUUUGACUAGUGACCAAAACCAAUUUUACAUGAAAAUAUAGAAAAAAAAACAAAAUUAACUGUUAACCCUUAUUUAUUUAGUGUAUGUAUGAUUUGGUAAAGUUAAAAAUAUCAUGUAUUGAACUUCCAAGUGAUGAUGGUCCAAGUUUAUAUUUCAUGAAAGAAACAAAUAUUACCAAGAUAAAAGAGGACAAUAAUCUUUCCAUCAUGGUGACAGAAGAAAAGUUAGAAGAAAACUCACAGUGAUGAAGUAUAUUGUCAACCAUGACCUCAGCUUGUUUAGUUGCUUCCUGAACCUUCUUGCCAUAAUUAUUUAUUGCACCAUAUAUUUUAUCCAUUGAAAUGGAACCUGAAAUCAUGGUGGGAAAAUCAGUGAAAGAAGAAUAAAUUUAGUUACAGAAACAACCUCUUGAAAACUACUCACGUUUGUCAGCUGCAGGGGAAGGGGGAGCAGAGGAAAUAUAAACAUAAGGAUUGUUGCUUUCUAUGCUAGUUGUAGUAGCAGUAACAGUAAUCUCUGUGUGAUAACUCUUCAUUUCCUUGUUCAGAGAAGCAAGUGAGUUUGAUAGUAGAAGGUAGAGAAAGUUUGAUGGAAGAGGAACAAGUAAAAUAUGGUAGUGUAAGAAAAGAUAGAAAGGGUAGAGGAAGAAUAGUUAGAGAGGAAUAUGGGGCCAAUAUAGUGGUGUGAAUAUGAAUAAAAUUCUGGAGAAGAAUAUGAGAGUGAUAAAGAGAACAAAGGAAUCAUAAGAAAAUGUUGUGGAAAUAUACUGUAAGAAUAGAAUAAUGUGGUAUAGAAUUCUAUUGUCUUUUUCUUAGUCAGUGUUACACCAAUCUCUCCUAAUAUAUAAUUAUUCCAUACUUAAUAUUCUUUUAUGUGGUCUUCCAUUUAUCUUUAACAUCCAUAUAUUUCUCUACUUUAGUAUCUUAUUAUUUUUUAAAUAAAAGUAUUCUUUAUUUUUUAAAUAAAAGUGUUAGAAAAUAGAUUUUAAGCCUAACUCAAUCCCAUAAAAUCGAUUUAUGAAGUUGAGGUUUGCACCCACUUAUAUAGAAUGAAAUGUCAUCAUCUCUAGUCGAUGUGAGAUCUUAAAAAAAAAAAACUUUUAUGUUAUUUAUUUUCCUUUCUUAUUCUAUAUAUAUAUCGUUUCAUAAUUAUUCAUGUUAAAAUUUGUUGAAAAUUAACAAAAAUAACAAUAUGAUAAAAUAAUUUAUAUUUUAGUAUAUUUUGAAAAGUGUGCGUUUGGUUGAUUUUUUUGUCACAAUUAUAGUAACAUGAUUCUACAUGAAUUCUAAUAUGGAAAUUUCCAGUAAGCACAGUAAAAUUUAGGUUUUGAAACAAGUAUAAACAACCAUAAAAAAAUAAGUAAAUAGUAAAAUUACAUUAUACAAACUUUGAAACAAUUUAAAUUUCGUAAUAUCAUUCUAACUAAAAACUAAAUAUAUAAAAGUAUUGUGUGUUUAUUUAUUUCUAACUUCUUAAAGUUCGGUUGCCUAUCUAUCUAUAUAUAAUAUUAACAAUCGUUUUUAUAAACAAUUAAUGUUUAUUUUUCUUUAAACAGCUGGAUUAUGAAUAUCAUGUAAAAGUAUAUGUAACUGGUCAAAGCAAUACCAUUAUCUUACUUGGUUCCAAUAAUUUAUAGCAUUGCCUACCACAUCAUAUUAUAGUAAAAUAAAAUAUUAUGUGGAUUAGAUGUUUAAAAUAAUUGAAUUAAAUUUAUGAUAUGGAGAUUGUAAAUCAGUUACAUUCGUCAUAAUCCACCAUGAUUUGUUUUCACUUAUGUGUUUGCCAUCCAUUGUAUUGUAAACCUUUAAAACAUUAUUCACCUCCAACAAAUGGCAAAAUAUUAGUGUAGUUGAAGACCAAUAAUAAACUAGCAAAUAAUAUUGUUCUUAAUAAUUAAGGUAUAACUAACAAUUAUUUUAAUCUUUUUUCAGAUUUUAAAUGCAUUAUCUAAGUAAGAGGGGAUUAAUAAUGUAUAUAGUUUCUUGGAGGCUUUUCACAAAAAAAUUAAGAAAUAAAAGGAAAGAAAUCCAAAAGUACAUUCAAACAUGGCUCUAUGGCUCCUAAAGUUAAGUAGAGCUAUUUGUUAACACUUAUUUAUUUUAAUAAGUAAAUCAUAACAAGUCUUCUUUAUUAUUAUUCUUUACAAAAAAAAUAUUAAAUAAAAACUUAUUUUAAAGAUUAAAAUAAUUAGUUACUAUUUGACCAAAUUAUAUGAUUGAAAUAGAAAUCAUUUUAUAAAUUAAAAAAUUAUUAGUAUUUAAAGUAGUUUCUAUUAUUACUAAAAAUUUAUAAAGUAGUUUUUAAAUUGAUUGGUAAUUUAAAUACCAAUUUAGAAUCCAUUUUACAAUUUUUAUUAAUAAUAGAAACCACUUUAGAUUCAAAUAAUUUUUUAGUCUCUAAAAUAGUAUCUAAUUUAGUCAAUAUAGUGAUUAAUUAUUUUUGGUCUCUAAAUUNNNNNNNNNNNNNNNNNNNNNNNNNNNNNNNNNNNNNNNNNNNNNNNNNNNNNNNNNNNNNNNNNNNNNNNNNNNNNNNNNNNNNNNNNNNNNNNNNNNNACAUCUUUAAUCGGUUCAAUUGGCAAGAAUUGGGCUUCAUGUGAGUUUGGUGUUUGGUGCAAGUUUUGGUGAGUUCUUGAAACAUAGAACAUUGAUCCAUUUCUAUUAAAAGUGCCUAUUCAUUCUCCAACUCAAGUUGAUUCCAUAAAAUGUCAAAGAAUCAUCUAUAUCUUGCUAUUGGAAUCACACCAUUGAAAGUGAAAACAAACAAGUAGAACAAAAAUGGGUAAUUUGGAAUGAAGGAAAAAUGGACUUAUGUGGAUGAAGCUCUUGGAAUGUAUAUGCCACUUGAAGGAUGGUUGGCUUCAAGAUGAGUGUUGUUGCCGCCACUUGAGAGCCCAAGAAUUCACUCAAGAUAAGACUAGAAGAGAAGAAGAGUACACAAGUCCCUCUCACUCACUCACCAAAUUGGUAGAGGUUCUUUACUCUCUAAAAUCAAUCUUAUUAUUGAAGGUGUCUUUCAUGCCUUUAUAUAGAGACAUAAGACCGGCCAAGAGUACAAGGGAAGGAACAUUUGAAGAGUCACCUUCUAGCCUAUUCCUAAAUUGGCGCCUAAAUGAGCAAGAGAAGGAAAAGUCACUUCUUCUAGCUCUUUCCUAAAAACUAACGCCUAAGGUACUUACAAAAGAGGUGUCUUUUUGGUUUCCCUCUUAGCACCUUCCUAAACACUACUCCUAUAUGUUCUACAAAUUUAUACAAAAGAAAUUACAAAGAAAGAUAUUAAUUGGAGCCCAUUCUAGAAUGCUUGUAGUCUUCUUGUUGGCUUUGGGUUUGAUCCUCUCUUUACUUAAUUCUUCUUUAACUUUUGAGAAGACUAUAAGGAAGAACUUUAAAUGUUUGGGUGAAUGACCUCUUCCUCCAUUAGUAAAAUCCUCUUUAUUUUGAUCUUCAUCACAAAGUAAAAAUUAAAAUGUACUUAAAUGGUCUAGAAUAGUAAAAUUGUCAUGUUUGAAUAUUGAUAGAUCAUUGUUAUUUUCAAGGAAUUAGUGUACACAAUUGUUAGAACAAAUUCAAGAGACCCUAAAUUUAUUUUGAUUAAGUUCUUACACUAAACAUGUCUUUAUGAAUUAUUAGAUCAGAUGCAUGUAUUUCAUCUAUUAGAUAGACACAAAGUAAUUUGUACUUGCAUAACUUUGUUGGAUAAGCGAAAAACUUGAUCAAACGAUGUUGAUUUGUAGCAAAAUAUUUUAUGCUUAUUCUAUGUAUGCAAGGAAUGUUCAGUUCUUCAUUCUUUCAAGAAGAUCUCUCUUUUGAAGUGACAACACCAAGAUCUCUUGAAGAACAUGCUAAAAGUUGCUCAAUGAUAACAACUCCUCUGAUGUGUCAAAAUGUGUUCUCUAAAAAGACUUUCAACCACACAUAGUCCUUGCUUUUCUCCAUUUUAGGAAAAAAGUUAUCUAACCUAGGUAUGAUAAGUGAUGGCGUACAUUAGAGUAUUUCUUAAAAAAGAUAUGUGCAAUUAAUAAUUAGUAAAGAACAUUUAAUGUGUCUCUAAGCUCCAAGACCGAAAAAAUGAUAAUUGAAGGAGAACUUUAGUUUGUCUCAUAACAACUUUAAAAAGAUUUGUAACGACUCUUUUGUUUUUGAACUUCUGUAUAAAGAAAAUCUCUUUGAAGAACAAAGGUUGACUGGCGACCACGAAGACAACAAUCACGACAAGAAUGUUAAAGUUCUUUAACAAUCCUUUAGCCUUAGUGUCAAAGUUAUACCACUGAGUGUCUUCAUAUCAACCUAAAAGAUUGUUUAUCAUUUUGUAUUUGACCUUCAUACUUCGUCUAAUUACUUGGGUAUACACAAACCAUCUAAUACUUGCGCUUGCAUGGAUCGUUGAUGCUUUUCUCUCUUUGCAUCUAUUCAUACACUAUUAUAUUCUCUUGUUAAUACAAUUUUCUAUUCUUUUUUCUCUCUUUAAUUUCUUGUUCAUUCUUCUUCUUCCAUUUGUCAUUACUCACAAAGACUAUUAGACUAAUCAAAGGCGCAUGCUCACCAUCAAACAAUUCUAUCUUGAUAUUAAUAUUAGAUAAAUGAAAAAGAGAUUUUAAAGAUAAUAUCUAAAGAAGAAAGGACAUAUAAAACGAUAUCAAAGAAACACACAAGACAAUAUUGAGAAACUAUGUUACCACUGGAAUGGACUAGACGAAAUGAACUUCUUGGAUAAUACAAGGCAAAGGAUAUUAAAACCAUCAAACGAAUAGUGAAAAUUGCAUAUAUUAGACAACACCAGUAUCUUCAACUUGUCAGACGAAUAGGGAAGACUAUACAUAUUUGAUUAUAGAAGUAUCUUAAACUCAUCAGAUGAAUAAUGAAGAAUGUACAUAUCAGACAAUACAAGUAUCUUCACCUCACUAGACAAUCCGUAAAGACUGUACAUAUCAGAUGAUACAAGCCUCUUCACGAAAACUUAUUUAGAUUGUCUAAUACCUUUUGAAUGGAUCGUCUAUUGUCUCCUUGAUCAUCUAAUGCUUUAUUGAGACCAUAUAAUACUCUUUUGGCAUUCUAUGAUGAUUGACCAUCUAUUCUAAUACUUGUUUACAUACGAAAUUUAAUUCCCGCUUCAUGGCGCCAAAUUUACAUACGGAUAUAAUCCGUAUGUAAUUACCUUUGGUUUACAUACGAAAUAAAAUCCGUAUGUAAAAAUUUGCAUGUAAUGUUGAUAUUACAUACGGAUUUUGAUCCGUAUGUAUAUAAUUCGCGUUUUCUUGUAGUGGAAGAAACACAAAGAUUUUUUAUAUUGGUUCACUAUUUCUUAAGAGUUACAUCUAGUUUUCUAACUACAUUAGUUGAGAUAUCACUAUAACAAAGAUUGUUUACAAUCAAGACUCACAAAACAAUCACUCUUGAAUCUUACAAGAAUGACCUAUACCAAAAGCAACACCCCAAAUAAGUUAGAAACCUUAUUCAAUUUCUAUAUAAGAACCUUAGAAAAAAAAAAAAAUAAUAAUAAUCAAGGAACAAUUACACCUGCAGAAAAUUGAGGAAGACUCAUUGAGUUAUGGUGACAACACUCAUAUAAACUAUUCAUUUUUAUAGUAGUUUCUUAGUAUUCCCUUAUUCACAUUACUUAAUUUAGGAAUUUGAUUAAUACCUACUAACAAAAAUGACAAAGUUAAGAUCAAUGUGUUUAAAGAAAAAGUCAUGACCUUAACAACAUAUAGUAAUAAACAUGUCAUAAAAAAAGAUGCAAAUCUGAAAUAAAAGAUUUGUAGUUUUACCAUGAUAAAGGAAUAUAUUUAUGUUAAAAAAUAUAUAUUUGAGUUUAUAUAAAUAAAAAUUUAUUUAUUUUGGGAUAUUACUCAAUACAACAGUAAAUAAAUAAAAACUCUCUUGCUUUUAUUGGAUUCUUACUUAAAUCUUGUCUACUUUCACAAAAGAAUACUUCAACUACCGAAAGAAUAAUUUGAAAGCUUAAAAGAAUUUACGUGAAAGCGAUUAAUGAAUUUUGAACUAUGUGAAAUAAAAGAAAAUAUUGAACUAAUUGGAAAUAGUACGUUAUAUGGCUCAUUGUGGAGGAAGUGAGAAAUAAAUUAAUUAUAAAGUACUGCUACAAAUGCGAUGACGAAUAUAUUCAGUAUACAAAGAACACAAUAUAAAAGAAAGAUGCUGCCUAUGCGGAAUUUGAUGGUACACAGCAAUCUCAAAGUUAUAAAUUUUAUAGGUUUUUGCACUUAUAAUAUUUUUGAUGUUACAACUCAUUAUAAAAAUAAUAUCUUUUUAUAUACACUAAAAAAAUUAUUAAAUAUAAAUUUUAUUUUAAAAAAUAAGAAAUAACCAAUUAUUAUAUUAUUGAAAUAUAUACUAUUUUAAACAUCAUAAAAAAUUUAUUAAAAAUUUAAAAUAAUUUUUAUUACUAAUAAAAUUUAUAAAAUAUUUUUUAAAUUAGUAUCUAAUUAGUUACUAAGAUUUUAGUUAUUGGUUUUAAAAUUAAUUUUUAUUAAAUAAUUUUUUUAGUAACAUAUAAGGUAUGUAACUUAUGAUUGAUUGUAAUUAAAGUAAAUUACAAAUAAAGUUUCUCACAUGUUGUUUGCUUGAUGAUAAAUUAUGUUGGUGGAACAUAGAAAUUACAUCAGUUAAAAACUUAAAUUAUUAAGAUGAGAAAAGGUUGACAAAUAAACUCUUUGAAUUCAAAAUGCUAGUGUAUGCCAACAAAGGUAACUUUUGCUUUUAGUUAGUUCCUAUUCUUUAGUCAAGAAACCAUUUUGUGUUUAGAGGAAUUCCUAAUAUUAACACUUCUUCUUGAAUCAGAACUCUAUUGCCCCCAUUUGUUAAAAAAAGUAGAUGCCCAGAAGAGCAACUUGUAGUUGUCAUUUUGUUUUAUGUAUCAUCUUGAAAGUUAGUAGCAUAGUUAAAAGGGCUUGAGCAAGUAUAUGAGCAUUGAGUUUUUCAGGUUUGUGUUGGAGUCUAGGGGUAAGUUAAUAUGAUUAAUGUUGAAACAUUUUUAAGGUUGUUUAGUGUGUGUUUUGUUCUUUAGUUGUUCGUAACUAAAUGCUAAUUCACCAUCCAAGUUUCAUCAAAGUUUUUGUUUCGGUAAGUGAUAAAGCUCAGUAGGACAUCCAAGUUUUAUAUUACACAUAGAAUGCAUUAUGAACUUCAAUGUAUGCAUGAAUUAUUUUUAAAGUUGGACAAGUAAUUAGAAUAUCAUAUAUUUAUUUGAUAGUGACUAUCGCAAUCUAUUUUGUGUCUUAUUUGUUUGUCCCCACUCUCCCUCGAGAGUCUUCAAUCAGAAAAAAGCAACAACUUCACGUAACCUUUAGACACAAAAAUAACAUGCGUGCAGAAAAUAAAAAAGGCUUAAUAAAAGUAAAAUUGAAUAAUGUCUACGAUGAAAACAUAGUCACGUGUCUUAAUGACUUAUUUAACCCUUAUUAAUCCAUGUAUCAUCGGUACUAACGGUCGAGUGGUCACAUUUGAUGUGGUUGAAUAUUUUAUGGGUGAUGUGAUCAGAUAUCUAAGAUAACAUGAUCGAAACGAUUAUUAGAAAAUUAAUGAUUAAUUUUCUGUACGAUAUUAUUAGUAUAAUCAAAUGUAUAAAAUCUUAUUUUUAAUGUUAAGAUUAACUUUGAGUUCUAUCUUAAUUUGAGGCCAUCUUAACAUAGAUAUAGAUAUGAAAUUGAGGUCUAUUAUAAUUCUACAAAUAUAAAUAUGCAUACACAUCCAAGAUAAAGAUAUACAUUAUUGAACAAUAUUUAUUGUUUUUACUUAUCACGUAUUGAGUUCUAAUUUAGACAUCAAAGUAUCUUUUACAGGUAUCCUGCCCUCACCAUCAGAUACUAUUAAGAAGGAUUAGGAGAACACUUUCCAACCCAUACAAGAACAAUCCAUAAUAAUAACAAAAGAAAAGUAUGAUAAAAUGACACAAAUUAGUAUAAUAUAUUGCUAAAGUUUCUAUUGAACCAAUUAUAUGCAUAUGGAUUAUGAUAGAAAAGAAAACUACGCAUGAAGUUUGCAGAGAAAGAAUCAUCCUUCUUUCUUAUUGUCUUACCACGAAUUAAAAUAGUAAUUAUGUUUUUUAUCAAUAAAAAUGAAUAAAUAAUAGAAGUAUUUCAGAGAUAUCUCAACUCUUAUACUAGAAGUGUAUACAAAUCAAAUCGGUAACAUCCUCUACCCAUGAACAAAACUGUUAUUCCCUACCUCACCACUAACCUUUAUAUUUUUUGAUGGACCUCAUAUAAACCAAAGGUUCAAGACACCAAUCAGAGUAAGAGAAGCAGGCUAAGUGUACAUUCGAUGUCACCCAAGACCAAACCUUCAACAAUGCCAUCAAGAAAAUCUCCGAGUGGUCUAUGUGCCCUUUCCUGAAGAUCUUUUUAUUUCUAUGCUUCCAUAGUUCUCCUAUAACUGUUAUCCACACACACAACCAAAUCUGAUUAACGACUUCACUUCCCUUAAUCAGUCUAAACUAUGAGAAAUGCAUUUUCAACUCCUGAUGCACUAAGGAUGUUAGUCUCACCUACUCAUAACACUUAGACCAAACAAGCAGACAACUUUGCACGUACAAAAGAGAUGAAACGUGGUAACCUCACCCUCCCCACACAUACUACAGACACUACUUUCCACUCUUAUCUCCCUUUUCACCAGAUUUCGUUUAGAUGCUAUUUUAUCCUCUAACACCCUCCAUGUUGUUAACUACGCUGAUGAUUGAACCUUAAUCCUCCAAAACUCCUUAUACAUAACAACUUCUUCCUCCUGGCCUUCACUUCUUAAAACUCUGUAAGCCGAUUGGACUGGAAACUCUGGAGCAUCACUUACUUUCCAAAGCCACUUAUCCUCCUUUUCUUCAAUUAUGCUCUUUGUAUCCAACAUUCUAACCCGCUAGCUCUAAUUAAAUAGAGAAUCAAAGGGAUUUCUAACAAUAUUGCAUUUUUUAUGUUUCUUUUCUAUUUAUGGUGUACCGACCAGAUCAUCAGGUGUGAUGACGUGUCUAGCACGUGGACAAGAGAAAGACGAAUGGUUCAGGAGUGAGCAUAGUCGCCGUUCGUGGAAGUGGCGUUUUGCAGUGUACAUAGUCGGUCGUCGCCGGGUUUGUGUGUCAUCGACGUAUUAGAUAAUGGAAGAUCAGGUGGUCUGACAUCACCACAAGGAGCACAUCGCCGGAUCUCCCAGUAAACUUAGUUAAAGCUGUUGGAGGCUCAGAAGAGUAAGUUCAAGCGUGUAAGUUCAGUAAGAUGAUUGUUACGCCAGCAUGGGGCGUGAAGGUCGAGUGGGUUGGAGGAAACAACUUGCUCAUCAGCGACAGGAUUCCCAGAGUGGACAUUCGUUGGUGGCAAGGUUUCCUCAGCUAGAACAUGCAUGGCGUAGCAAUAGGGAGGGUUGCACUUGCGACAAGCGAUAUCACAGAGAUGGUGCACUUUGUUGCAUCCGAUACUCGCCUUGUCCGGUGGUAUUCCAGAGCGUAUUACGUGCUAGAUUACUCCUUGAAUAGGAGACUUGGCCGUGCGACUGGUUACUACACAGAAAAGACGCUCAAGUUACCCCAACCCAGAUGACGACACGUGUAGGGUUGGAUGCUACCUAUUACUCCAACCCAGAUGACGACACGUGUAGGGUUGGAUGCUACAUAGAAGUGACGCUUAAGUUACCCCCGCCCAAAUGAUGACACGUGUAGGGCUGGGUACUACCUGCUACCCCAGCCCAGAUGAUGACACAUGCAGGGUUGGAUGCGAGCCACGCGUCCAAAGCGUAACUGCCUGAAGAGAGAAAAAACCUAGGUAUAAAGGUAAACUUAACAGAAUUUGCAGAGGUACGUUUUCAUUACGGCUCAUUGUUUUGGGUUGAGUGCACUUUAGUACGGUUCUACAGAGUAUAGUUUUCUCUCAGUUUUUGGGUGUUCUUGUUAUUGACUUGAGCGCCGGAGUGCCACCGGCCGCAGAGGCGCCAUCUAGUGUUCCAGGUUCUUAGAGAGACUAUCUGUGGUGUGGACUUGAAGGGCACGUGGUGUCAAGCUGGUGAGGAAGAUCAUGACGAGGCAACGCUCUUGAGCUAGGUCAACCGGCAGGAUCAUCUGGCGCCCACCGUGGGGCCGUAUAAAAGGUGAUUCCCAACCACAGUUCGAGUUUGUUGAAGUUUUGGUGUUUUCUGUUCGACUGCUUGCUGUCGUAGUCGGUUUUCGGAGUUUUCACCGUUCGUUUGGAGUUUCUUUGUGUUGUUGAGUUUGCUGAGAAAGGAUGAGGACAACGCGGUCCAGUUCAGUCGCGCCGUCAAACGAAGAGGACGUUGUGUCUGUGACGCAGGUGAUGGAGAUGAUGAGGACGUUGCAAGAGAACGUAGCUGCAUCGCGUUCUGAGCGAGAAAGAAUGCACGAGGCACUAGUGGCCUCACAGGCUAGGAAUGAAGAGCUCAACAGGAUCAACGAAGAGCUGCGUAAAGCUCUUCAGGGACGGGAGGAGCGUGCGAUUGGGGACAGAUUUGCACCCCCAUCCCCACCGCGUAGCUUUCCCAUGCCGUUUUCUUAGGAAAUCAUGGACACGGUGGUCCCUGCAAAUACGGUAGCGGUGAAAGCAUUUUUCACCGGGGUGGAGGACCCUGAGACUCAUCUCAUGGCGUUUCACACUCAGAUGAUGCUCUCAGGGGGUUCAGACGCGGUCUACUGCAAGGUGUUCAUGAGCACUCUCAGUGGAACAGCGCUGGACUGGUUCGUCAGUUUACAUACUGGCCACAUUACCACGUUCCAGCAGUUUUCCAAGAUGUUCGUUGAGCAGUACAUAGUGAAUAAGGCACCGCCGUUGGUGUCUUACGACCUGUUCGACGUGAGGCAGUAUUAAGGGGAGUCUCUGAAGGAUUUUCUGAACAGAUUCGGAGCUCAAAUCGUUCGCUUGCCAGGUAAGGAUGAAGAAAUGUUUGUGCAUGCCUUCAAAAAGGGCGUGUUGCCUGGACCUUUUAGUGAAUCGCUGAUAAGGAGUCACCCCGCCACAUUCGUUGAAACGACGACGUGCCGUGGCUCACAUUGCCGCUGAGAGCGAAGUUUCCGAGAAAAGGGGAAAUGUGGCCCCUGCUAAGCCACGCGCUCAGACGAGGAUUCAGCCGCAGAGGGUGAUGGAAGCUGUGGCAGGGAAGAAGGGUCAAAGGAUGCAUCAUCCUUAUGACCCGAAGAAGAGCAAGGGGAAGGGGCCAGGGCGGCCUAGAGAGCCCAAUCGCCCGCCAAGAUAUGAGUUCGUGAUGGGGUUGGCUGACCUGAUCGCCAUCCCGAACAUUGCGGCCAGGCUCAAAGUGCCUGAGAAGACAACAUAUAAGGUGUUGGGACCAAAACCAGAUGCGUGGUGUGAGUUCCACAAGAGCUUUGGCCACUCUAUCAACUCGUGUUUGGCUUUGGGAUACCAACUCCCCGAGUUGGUCAAAUGUGGGUUCUUGAAGGAUUACUUGCUGGAGAAGCAAGCGGGCCAAUCAUCAGGCUCACAAUCGGCGGGCAGUGAGGGACAACAGCACGAAGUACCCAUCCACGGCGAGAUCCACACCAUAGCUGGUGGAUUCUCGGGUGGUGGGUGUACUGCAUCGCAGCGAAAGAAGUAUGCAAGGUCUGUGAUGUCAAUGAAGGUCUUUGAGGAUCACUCACCCGACGUGGACAUCACGUUCACCAAAGAAGACCUUAGGGAUGUCGUGCCUCAUGACAAUGACCCUAUUGUAAUCUCGCUUGUUACGGCGGGAAGGACAGUCCAUCGGGUGCUGGUCGAUCAAGGAAGCUCGGCAGAUGUGAUGUUUUGGCCAACUUUUGAAAAGUUACAGUUAUUCCCUGACCAGCUGAAGCCAUAUGGGGGCUGCUUGUACGGUUUUUCCGGUGAUCAAGUGGAGGUCAGGGGGUACAUUGAGUUAAGGAAGACGUUCACAGAUGGCUUGGCCUCGCGCACAGAGAAGAUUAGGUACCUUGUCGUGAACGCUCCAUCGGCAUACAACAUCCUGUUGGGAAGGCCAACACUCAACAGGACAGGAGUUGUGCCUUCAACAAGGCACAUGAAGGUCAAGCUACCAUCAAUGGAAAGGAUGAUCAUCACCAUCUGUUCUGACCAAAAGGAGGCGAAGAAGUGCUAUGAAAACAGCCUCAAGAACAAGAGAUUUGUAUGCCACAUAACCACAACGCCGCCCCCUGGUGUGGGGCUCGAGCAGGAAAGCCGGCGAGUUGUGGAUACAGCAUUGGAGGUGGCCGCCGAGGGUGACGUGGCAAUGGAGGAUGUCGAGGCGAGGUUCGAGAGCGCCGCUCGGGUCGAGGAAGAGAAAAACUGCCUGGAGACCGCCAGGGAGUCGGGUAUUGCGAGAGCGCUGAUCGCCAGCAAGAAGAGGCCUCAGCCGGUCAAGGAGUGGCUUGAGAAGAAGAUCAACGGCAAGACGUUUAAACUAGGGAAAACCUUAGACAGCGAGACACAAGACCAGAUCGCCAAGGUAAUAAGUAGACACCUGGACGCGUUUGUAUGGUCUGCCUCAGACAUGCCGGGGAUUGACCCCGAUUUCUUGUGCCAUCGUUUAGCAAUGGAUCCCCAGGUCAGGCCAAUCCGCCAAAGAAGGAGAAAGUUCAACGAGGAAAAGAGACAGGCGAUCAAGGACGAAACGCAAAAACUCCUUGUAGCAGGCCAUAUCAGGGAGAUCCAAUAUCCAGAAUGGCUCGCCAACGUCGUUUUGGUCAAGAAGAGCAGUGGGAAAUGGCGGAUGUGUGUUGACUUCACAGAUCUGAAUAAGGCCUGUCCAAAGGAUUCUUAUCCUUUGCCAAGUAUAGAUGCCCUGGUAGACAAUGCGUCAGGGUGUAAGUUGCUCAACUUCUUAGACACCUUCUUAGGAUACAACUAGAUUAAAAUGCAUCCUAUGGAUGAGGAAAAGACUGCCUUCAUGACGGAAAGGUCAUGCUAUUGCUACAAGGUGAUGCCUUUUGGGCUGAAGAAUGCGAGGGCAACGUACCAGAGGCUAAUGGACAAGGUGCUCUCCCCUAUGCUCGGGAGGAAUGUGCAGGCAUAUGUUGACGACAUGGUCGUAACAUCUCUGGAAAAGAGCAGGCACGUCACUGAUCUGGAAGAGUUGUUCGUUACAAUAGCCAGGUACAAGCUGAAACUAAAUCCUGAGAAGUGUAUUUUCGGCGUGGAGGCAGGAAAAUUUCUGGGAUUUCUCUUGUCGGGGAGGGGAAUCGAGGCAAACCCCAACAAAUGUGCCGCCAUUCUGGCGAUGAGGAGUCCUGCCACUGUAAAGGAGGUGCAGCAGCUCACGGGCCGGAUGGCCGCUCUGUCUCGAUUCGUAUCCGCAGUGGAGAGAAGGGCCACCCGUACUUCCAAUGCUUGAAGAGGAAUAACAGGUUUGUCUGGAUGAAGGAGUGUGAAGAAGCUUUUGUGAAGCUCAAAGAGUACUUGGCGAGCCUGCCGGUUCUGUGCAAACCUUAAGUGGCAACGCCCCUCGGAUUAUAUUUUGCCAUAACUGAGAGGGCAAUAAGUGCGGUGCUUGUCCAGGAUCAAGAUCAAGUCCAGAAACCCAUCUAUUUUGUUAGCAAGGUGUUGCAGGGCCCAAAAGUGAGAUAUCAGGCCUUAGAGAAAGCGGCGCUGGCGGUUGUGUUUUCGGCGAGGAGGCUGCGCCAUUACUUCCAGAGCUUUACAGUGUUGGUAAUGACUGACUUACCCAUCCAGAAGGUUUUGAAGAAACCGAAUGUAGCUGGGAGGAUGGUAAAGUGGGCGGUGGAGUUGUCGGAAUUCGACAUCAAGUAUGAGCCCCGAGGACCGAUCAAGGGGCAAAUCUUCGCCGACUUUGUGGUCGAGCUAUCUUCUGGAACAGUGUAGAACGCUGGGGACGAUUUUCGUUGGGUGCUCUCGGUGGAUGGGUCGUCUAACCAGCUGGGUAGCGGGGCUGGGGUUAUUUUGGAAGGACCCAACGACGUGUUGAUAGAGCAAUCUCUGAGGUUUGCCUUUAUAGCUAGCAAUAAUCAAGCGGAGUAUGAGGCUUUGACCGCUGGUAUUUUGUUCGCAAAGGAGAUGGGAGCAAGGGUGCUUAUGGCCAAGAGUGAUUCGUUGUUGGUCACUACGCAGGUAACCAACGAGUUUUAGGCCAAAGAUCCGCAGAUGGCAGCUUACCUGGAGUAUGUGCAAGAGUUAAAGAGGUCCUUUGUUUUAUUCGAAGUGGUGCACGUGCCAAGAGAGCAGAAUGCCCGAGCUGACUUGCUGGCCAAGCUUGCCAGUUCAGGCAAGGGGGGCAGGCAGAGGACCGUUAUACAAGAAACUUUGAAGACACCUCGAGCAUUUGUGGUAGAUCACCAGGUUCUUCAAGUGUGCAAGUCAAUGGAAAGGACGGCGAGGAGUCAUAGAUCCUUGACUCAGGAGACGUUGAGGACAUCCAGAGUUAAGGCGCAUCCAGCGGGAGUGACAAAAAUGACGCAAGUUUGCGCUUUCCAUGAGCCAGAUACAUGGGUAACGCCCUACCAACGCUACAUGGCGGAUGGCGUGCUCCCAAUGGACUCGACAGAGGCCAGAAAGAUAAAGAAGAACUCCAACAGGUUCACUCUCAUCGAUGGCGAGUUGUACAAGUUUGGGUUUACGCACCCUUUUCUGGUAUGUGUACACGGAGAGAAGUGCGUGAGAAUCAUGGCUGAGCUCCACGAGGGGAUCUGUGGGAGUCACAUCGGGGGUCAAGCUUUGGCAUCAAGAACCCUCCGUGCAGGUUAUUACUGGCCCACAAUGAGGGAAGAUUGCAAGAAAUAUGCCCAGCGUUGCAAGCAAUGCCAGCAGCACGCCGAUUGGCACAAGGCGCCCCUAGAGGAGCUAAAGUUGAUUUACAACCCCUGGCCAUUCCAUACGUGGGGAAUCGAUAUUCUGGGACCCUUUCCGUUGGCGAUCAGGCAAAUGAAGUAUUUGGUUGUGGCGAUCGAGUACUUCACAAAGUGGAUUGAAGCAGAACCAGUAGCCUAGAUCACCGCGUAGAAGAUUCAGAGUUUCGUGUGGAAGAAUAUUGUGUGUCGGUUUGGUGUGCCCAAGCGUUUGGUAUCAGAUAAUGAGACUCAAUUUGCGAGUCACCUAUUGAAGAAGCUGUGUGGGGAUGUUGGAAUACAGCAGGUGUUUGCUUCUGUGGAGCACCCACAAACGAAUGGGCAAGUGGAGUCAGCCAAUCGGGUUUUGCUGAGAGGCUUGAAGAGGAGGUUGGAGAAGGCCAAGAGGUCUUGGGUUGAGGAAGUUCCCCGAAUAGUAUGGGCAUAUCACGCCACCGAGCAAUUGGGAACCCACAAAAUCCCGUUUAGUUUGGUGUAUGGGUGUGAUGCAAUGAUUCCAGUUGAAACCCAGGAAAGCUCGCUGAGAUUCCAAAACUUCGUGGCGGAAGACUCGAACGAAGAGAGGAGGAUGAACUUGGAUUUGCUGGAUGAGGUCAGGGAGGAAGCACGGGUGAAGGCUGAAGCAGUGACGAGAAGAGUUGAACGCAAGUACAACUCUAGAAUAAGGCCAAAGCAAUUCAGAGAUGGCGACCUGGUGAUGAGGAAGGCCCACCAGUACGGGAUGGAGAACAAAUUGUCACCCAAGUGGACAUGACCGUUUAGAAUAACCGAAGCACUUGGGAACGACGCCUACCACUUGGAGACGCUGGAAGGAGGGGCACUUGGAACGCCACCCAUCUCAAUUUUUAUUACAGUUAAAGCAUUGUAAGUAGCAAUUAACUCGAACAGUUUAAGAUGUUUCAGUUAAAACAGUUUUUCAAGGGGGCACUCUUUUUUCCCUAAGGAGGGUUUUUAACGAGGCCACCCAAUAAAGAAGGUUUCGAAGUUUAUCAAAGUUUCCCAGUUAUUAAGUUUGCAUGCUCAUCGUUUUUUAAGUUCUCGGAAAGAGACUUUAUCGCCCUUGUGUAGUUUUAAGCAAUGGUGAAUUCAGAUCGCAUGCAUCCAGUACAAAGUUUUAAAGUAUGAAGUUUUAAACCCUCAUCGCCACCCGGCGAUCGGAGGUGCAAGUUAAAGUUUUAAGUCCUCAUUGCCACAUGGCGAUCGGAGGCACAUGAAUAAAGUUUUUUAAGUCCUCACCGCCACCCGGCGAUCGGAGGCACAAGUAUAAAACUUUUUGAUCGCCAUCUGGCGAGAAGAGAUUAAAAAGACCUCCUCGCCUCGAGCGAGUGUAGGCGAGAAGAGAUUAAAAAGACCGCCUCGCCUCGAGCGAGUGUAGGCGAGAAGAGAUUAAAAAGACCUUCCUCGCCUCGAGCGAGUGUAGGUGAGAAGAGAUUAAAAAGACCUCCUCGCCUCGAGCGAGUGUAGGCGAGAAAAGAUUAAAGUCCUCCUUGCCCUGAGCGAGUACAGGCAAGAGCAGAUUACAAGACCUCUUUGCGUAAGCAAAUUGAGGCAAGUUUGAAAGUCCUCAGUGCAUCCAGGGGAGGAGGAGAUGUAACCCCUGGGCAAGUUGAGGCAUCGGGAAAAGCCCUUCUCACCCUCGAGUGAGUUCAGGCAAGAUGAAGCUGAAAAGUCAGGGGUGCUAAUGAUCUUAAGUAUGGGAAAGGAGGGUUGAUGAAAACGCUUUUUCCCUUGAGUGAAACAUCAAUAUUGACCUAGUAAGACCAGUUAAAAAAGAAGUUAAAGGGUGGCUGGGGGAGGUUCGCAGAGGACACCUCACCACCUAAAUCAUUGUUCUAAAACUCAGGGAGGUAGAGAAGGAUCCGAAAGGCGGCUCUACCCCCAGAUGAGGGAACAAUGAUUUAAGCUAUCUUAGGUUAAAGACUCGGGGAAGGUAGAGGGAGAUUCGAAAGGCAGCUCCACUUCCAGACGAGCAAAGAUGAAGUCAUGAGGUGGCCCCGUAGGGGACGUUUUCAGUUAAAAGCAAAAUGGCGUCGCCAAAAGCCUAUGGCUUUGAGAUUGAAAUAGAAAGAGGAUUACACGGUGAGAGCCAGAUCAGCGAAGUUUUGGGCGAUAACAUAGAAAUACGCUUGUCCUUUGGCAGAUCAGGCGUGCGAGAUUUCAGAUACUAAGAUCGACCUACACCCCUACUGCCAAGUAAGUGAUUUCGUGUUAAACGUUAUUGCUAUAGACUAACAGUUUGUUUAAGUUAAGGUGAUUUCCAGAGAAUUAAGUACCAAUUUGUGCGAAGUACAUUGGGUUGAGUAAAAACCAGCCAGUCAUACCAGGUGAUCGCACAACAGAUAAAAUUAGAAGCCAUAUAUAUAUAUACACAUGUAUAUCAAACAGUUUGAGCAGAAUGAAAGUUAUUACAUAUAAAUCAGAGUUAAAUACAAGAAGUUUCAAGUUGAUAAAAUUGAAGUGGCAGAUGGGAGCAGUUAAGUCGGAGGCAUGAUCUUGCCAUCCACCACCUCGUUGUACACCGAAAACUCGGAGAGGUCAAGAUCGGGAAAUUUGCAAGCGAACUGCUCCAAAGCCGGAGGUAAGAACUUGGGCAACUUCAAGCUGAUGCUUGCCGAUCUUCAUCUUGAACCCACUGUUCUCUUCACGAACCUGGGCAAUUUCAAGCUCGAGCUCGUCGACCUUCUUCUUGAACCCGCUGUUCUCUUCGCGAACUUGGGCAAGCUCGGCAGCAGUUUCGCUCAGUUCUCUGGAGGCCUUGUCCCGAUCUUGUUCAACUUUCCCCAGAAGGGUUUCCCUCUCGGUCGACCUCUUCUCCAGUUUGGCCAUCUUUUUGGCGUCGGUUUUUCGGGCCUCCUCCAGCUCUACAAUUUUCUCCCUCAUAGGGACGAGCUUGCUCUCCAACUCGACGGCGUCCUGAAGUUUGUCGUGCAGUUUCCAGCACAGUUCAGUCUUGUCCUUACGCAAACUUCGAAGCUCUUCGUUGAGAGCGUUUUCCUCCCGCGAGAACUCUAGCCCUUGCAUCAUCAUGUCGCAUUUGACUUUCUCGGCUUCGGCUCUCGUGGUGCUCGCCACCUCCUGAUGGAUGCGGUUAUCGAGUUCGAACUUGUCUAAGGAGCCUUUCAGACCUGCACCAACGAUUUGAGGAAGACAUUCGUCGACCAUGGCGUUCAGGCGCACUGUGAAGGACUUCAAGGCUUCCUGGAGAGGAGCUGGAAGGCCUGGAGUUGAGGGAGGAGGUGAAGGUUGGUUCUCACCACCACCCUCGCAAGGUUGGAUGGCGAGGGGAGCCUCAAGGCGUGGUGGUGAGGUGGGGAGUUCUGUUCCAGCUUGAGAGGAAGCUUGCGUAUCAGCAAGCUGUUCAGGUGCAGCUUCAACAGCUGAGGCGUUUGAAGCAAGAACAUCCCGAGCGGAUUCGAAGGGCAUGGAGACGCUGAGGGGGUUCUCGACGUAGUCAGGAAGGGCGCCCUCAGCUGCUGGUGGUUCAGUUUCAACUCCCCACUUUCUCUUGCAGAUCAGCCCGUCCUCGGUGCUUUCAUCUGCUUCGUCGUUCGAUACAACCCUGGGGGCCUUCCUCUUAGCCCUUUUGGGUAGUAGUUUCCUCCGCUCGGGGGCAGGAAGAACAGCGGCAGUGGACGGGCCGACUGGCGGAGAUUUGCCUUGGGCGACGGUGAUCUCUGCAACAAAGUUUGGGACGGUUUGAGAGCCUGCCGCCAGAUUGUGGAGUUUGGCUAUGGAGCGCAGCUCAACCAUCCUUCCUUUCCCCAACAUCAUAUCUGCACAAAGAAGCCAACAAUCACAAACCAGUCCAACUCGAGCAAUUGAUAAUGCACAAGAAAAUAAGCAGUGUAAGUCAAUGCAUGGAAUAACUAGUUAAGACUAUGCGCGAAUCAGAACGGCAACAUCAAUGAAAAAGACAGGAUGAUGCGAAUUCAAGCUAAGGGGACUCGGAGAUAGGACUUAAAGACAAACCUAUGUGAACGUCCAGUUGACCUUCGUGGAACUCAUAGGCGAUGAUGGAGGAGGUGGCCAAAGUCACGUUGGAGGAGGCAACUCCUUUUCAGAAGUUGCAUAGGUCUUUGUCGAGCUCCCCCAUCUUUUAUGGCCCCCUAGCCCUCCUGAAGCUGGUCUCUUUCUUUUCCUUGUUCACCCAAUACAAGGGAAAUCCGUCGAGAAGAGUGGGGUCUUAGUCGUUGCAGCAGACGCGCACGAACUUCCCUUUCCAGUCUUUGUAGGAUUCCUGGAAGAUGGAGAGGAUGGACCUCCCAGCAACCCCGUUGAGGCUGACCCAUAGACGAUCGCCUGGGUUCUUGGCCUCGAACAGGUAAAGGAACACGUCCACCGAAGCUGGAUGUCCCAAGUGCGCACAGAUGAUUUGGUACGCCCUGACGAACGCCCAACUGUUGGGAUGAAGCUGGGCGGGGGCUAUGUCAAGCUCAGUCAAAAGCUCCCUCUCGAAGCGAGUGAAGGGGAAGCGGAGCUUGACUUUCUUGAACAUCGUGGCGUAGACAAAGCAAAAGGGUUCGCCGUUGCUUCCCUGGUUGUCAGUGCAAAUGGGUUCUCCGGGAGGACAAGGACGAAUGGACACCUUGUCAUCGUGUUCUUUGCUGAAAGAAAGGUGAGCUUGAUCACCUUUCUUGAGGCAGAGGACGUCGACGUCGGUGUUAAUGGAGGAGGUCUCACCCAGCAAAGCCGAAGAGGCCCAGGGGUACAGUUGCUUAUAGUCUGGGAGGGGUCUCACAACCGUGCUGGCGUGAGGUGGGUUUGGUUGCGGUUGGUUGGGUCGAGAAGACGCAGGCCUCAUGACCUGGCUCGAAGGGACAUUAGGAUCCCUUGGUGGAUUGUGAGAGGAAGAAGGGUUGGCCCUACGAGUUUUCGUCGGAGGGUUUUGAGGAGAUGGAGGAGGGUUUGGAGUGACUUUGGAGCGAGCCAUCAGAAGAGCUGCAAAGAAAAUGAAAAGGGAAGAGAUGAGAGUUUGAAAACAGAGGGACCCAACCGGAGAAGACAGAGAGGACAAGGGGGGCUCACAGAGAAAAGGCUAGAAACCCUAAACGCAGGAAAAGCGAAGCAAAGAAAACAUCCCACAACGUAUGCUCCAGACAGUUAAUGGAUGAUGCAAACCGAUUAAAAUGAAGCAAAUAUUAGUGGGAGUGAUAAAAAAGUUACCUUUUGAUGAUCAGAAGAGCGUUCAGUAAGAUGGUGAUUGAAGGAGAUGAAGCGUUCGCUGAAGCGUUUCGAGAGUUUGGAGCGAGGAAGAAGAUAAUGAAACAGUGAAGUGGCGCGAAGUUUUUAAGAGUUUCGAAUAGUUUCGAACGUUGCGAGAAGCGCAAACGGCAAUGAAUAAUGGUCGUUGAUAAGUCCACGUGUCAUAUGAUCGAAGGGGUUGGUGAAGUGUCAAAUCAGUGAAUAGUAUGAGCGCCAACGCGCAAGGCCACGUAGGUCGCCGAAAAUUCAACUCUUUAGUCUUUUCGCUGAACAAGUUGCAGCUCAAGACUUGGGUGCUUGUGUACCGACCAGGUCAUCGGGUGUGAUGACGUGUCUAGCACGUGACUAUGUGGGGUGUGCUCAGCAGAACACGUGGACAAGAGAAAGACGAAUGGUUCAGGAGUGAGCAUAGUCGCCGUUCGUGGAAGUGGCGUUCUGCAGUGUACAUAGUCGGUCGUCGUCGGGUUUGUGUGUCAUCGACGUAUUAGAUAAUGGAAAAUCAGGUGGUCGGACAUUGCCAUAAGGAGCACAUCGCCGGAUCUCCCAGUAAACUUAGUUAAAGCUGUUGGAGGCUCAGAAGAGUAAGUUCAAGCGUGUAAGUUCAGUAAGAUGAUUGUUACGCCAGCAUGGGGCGUGAAGGUCGAGUGGGUUGGAGGAAACAGCUUGCUCAUCAGCGACAGGAUUCCCAGAGUGGACAUUCGUUGGUGGCAAGGUUUCCUCAGCUAGAACAUGCAUGGCGUAGCAAUAGGGAGGGUUGCACUUGCGACAAGCGAUAUCACAGAGAUGGUGCACUUUGUUGCAUCCGAUACUCGCCUUGUCCGGUGGUAUUCCAGAGCGUAUUACGUGCUAGAUUACUCCUUGAAUAGGAGACUUGGCCGUGCGACUGGUUACUACACAGAAAAGAUGCUCAAGUUACCCCAACCCAGAUGACGACACGUGUAGGGUUGGAUGCUACCUAUUACUCCAACCCAGAUGACGACACGUGUAUGGUUGGAUGCUACAUAGAAGUGACGCUUAAGUUACCCCCGCCCAGAUGAUGACACGUGUAGGGCUGGGUACUACCUGCUACCCCAGCCCAGAUGAUGACACGUGCAGGGUUGGAUGCGAGCCACGCGUCCAAAGCGUAACUGCCCGGAGAGAGAAAAAACCUAGGUAUAAAGGUAAACUUAACAGAAUUUGCAGAGGUACGUUUUCAUUACGGCUCAUUGUUUUGGGUUGAGUGCACUUUAGUACGGUUCUACAGAGUAUAGUUUUCUCUCAGUUUUUGGGUGUUCUUGUUACUGACUUGAGCGUCGGAGCGCCACUGGCUGCAAAGGCGCCAUCUUGUGUUUUCAGGUUCUCAGACAGACUAUCUGUGGUGUGGACUUGAAGGGCACGUGGUGUCAAGAUGGUGAGGAAGAUUUUGACGAGGCAACGCUCUUGCGCUAUGUCAACUGGCAGGAUCAUAUGGUAUCACUCUAUUGCUGCAUUUCAAGUUUCGUUUUAAAAUUCUGAAAUUUUAUAUCUAAUAAUAAUAAAUUGUUAUUUUUCUGUUAAACCGUCUUAACAUCGAUACAUAAAUGUUCAGCCUUCAAUCACCUGCUAUAUUAUAGAUACUUAAGUUCAACUCAUGAAAUAUUAUUCGAAUAUUAUUCAUUUGUUCUGCUUAAAACAAAUUACAAAUAGUUAAGUUAUGUCUUACCAAAGCAAUGAAUUUGCUAAGGACAUAGAAACAGAAAAAUAUGAAUUGUACUUUAAGCAAACCAAACCAAUCAUAAUUAUUAAAGACUUUAAUUUAUUGUACAUCCAUUUCCUUCUCUACACAUAGGAUAGAAACAAACCACAGGUUUAUUGCAACUUAAACCACUAUUAGGAAUUAUUCAAAGUAACUUAUUCAAACUCCAAAACCAAUGCUUUUGAAUUUACUAAUUAGGCACCUUAAUAUACCCCACGUGUGAGGAAUUGGUCACUCUGGUGAGGGUUUGCAAAUCAUAAGCUAUCCAACACCUUGAGUUCUCUCGGUGGUAGAAAUAACCCACACACUUGCAAUCCUUAGUGCAUUUGUUUCCACAGUUAUUCUCACUCACUCUGUCCCCUGUAGUGUACUUGCUCAUGUAAUGUUCAACUCCUUCAAGUUUGUAGUAGUGAAACUCAUUUGCCUUGCAUGAUGUCACAGUCUUGGAAGUGCAAUUGUUGCUCCACCCAAAUAGUCCAUUUUCCAAUGGACAAGCCACGCAUUGGUUGUCAUCACAUAGCCCAAAUUUUCCACAUCUCUCAGGCAAUUGGCACUCACUCUCAUCAGAAUCUCUGUCAAAUAGAGUGUAGGUCACUUGCCAAACACCAUCACGCACAUCAAGGAAGUAAGUGUGGAAUUUAAUGUUACCAUCAAUUCCAAGCCUGAGGUAUGUUAUGGUGCUAUUGUUCACCGGCCUACCGAGGAUUCUAUUGCCACUGGUGGAAGAAUUGGCCACGAAGUAAUCAAAUCCAAUUUCAAAACUCUCUGAAUCAGAAGUGAAGGUGACAUUGUCCAAGGAGCCUUGUUGAAUGGAGAACCAAUCAGAUGAAAACCAAUACAGAAUUGGCCUAGGGGAAUUCUUGCUCUUGUAGUACAAGGCCAACCCUUUAGGCUCCAAAACCAAACUGUAAGGUCCAUCUACAUUCUCCUUCUCUGAAAGCCUACUAACCAGUUUGGAUGGUCCUUUUGCUCUAAGAUACUGACCAACCAAAAGGGUAUCUGUGGGGUGGUCAAAACUCUGCCAAACAAACUUUCCCUGUGCAUCAAGGAGGACCAUGUUACCAUUUGGAAGCAAUCUGAAGGCCACAACACCUCUUUUGGAAGUGUUGGUUUGCCAAACAAUUCUACCAUCAGCAUCAGCCAACACAAGGUUUCCAUCAGUUCCAAGUGAAAAAGUGGCAUUCUCUCCAACUGGGUUGCCUCUAUUGGCCUCCCACACCCAUCUAAAGAGUUGCUCUGAGCGUUGGAGUCCAACACGCAAAGCUAGAGUGAAGGCAUUUGGGGUGGUGUUGUAGAAACCAACUUGGAAAGGAGAGUUGAAGAUGCUUAUCAUUCGGUAAUCACCACCGUACUCAACAAUGAAGGGUCCAAGUUCACCCGAGUUCACAAAUUUGAAGGUCUCAUUCUGCGGAACAAUUGCAUGCACAAUGAGGGUGAAAGAUGAGAAGAACAAUAAGGCAAGAAGAAAAGAAGUUUUGGGUAGAGAAAGAGAAGCCAUUGUUGUUGUUGAUAUAUUGUUAUAUCUAUGUGAGUGACCUCUUCUAUAUAUAGUAAGAAUUCAGAACUUAUUACAAAAUACUGUACCAUCUUUGGUCAAGGUUUUCAACUCAAAUAUCACGAGGAAUGUCUAGAUUUGGAUCCAGAUCAAAUUCGUACAACUGUAUAGGAUAUUGUAUUUCAGUGUUGGAGGACUUGGUGGGUCAUCUUUAUACUACUAUCUUUCUUUUUCUUAAGAUUUGUGUAUAAAGAAAAUAUUUUUUGAUAAGAAAGAUGUCACCGAUCAUGAAUUUCCGUGUCCUACACUGCAAAUAUGUGACUAUUUUAUGAAAAUGAUUCUUUGCUACCUAAUUUAUUAGAACGUGGAAGCAUCUUCUUUUAUCUUUGGAUAAGAUCCUGAGAAAAAUAUACAUUAAAAUAAGAUUGCUUUUACAAAACACCAAGCAAAUCCAUAUUAGUAUUGCAUUAUUUAAAGAUAUGAUGGUUUUCUGUCUUCGAUGAUCCAUUAAAUUUUGAGAUUAUUAAUCUUUUAUGCAUUAAGUAAGUGAUGAGAUUGGUCUUAAAAGCAUAAAUUUAGUUUUAAAUUUGAGUAAAUUAUAAUUACAGUGUACAGUGUAGUAAAUAAAACUAAAAUUAAUUUAGUAAUAAUUUAUUUUCUUGAAAUUAAGUUCAAGUGUUAAUACGAAUUGUCAAAUGAUGUUUGGUUUAAAUUUAAUAUAUAUGAGCUGGCUAAUAAGUCAACGCGAUUUAACAUGGUCAAAGCUUUGAGCUGCCACUUGUUUUGUGUUGAAGGAUUACCUUUUCUUCACACAAUCAUAUUUGGCCUAACGGAUUGCAUCUGAUCUUAAUUUCAUUUUCAACUCUUGUAAUUAUAGAAUUAUGUGUGAUUUUUCGUUUAAAAUUAAAUGUGUAAUUUAAUUAAUCUAAUUUUUUAUUAUAUUAAGUAAUUGAUAAUAUUUACUUAAGAAAAAAAAAACUUGGAACAUUCAGAAGAUUCUAGUGGAGGACAGGGUGCUGUAUGAGGCUUUGUUGUGUCGGCGGAACCUUCAGAAGGACAGGCUGCGUUAUGUGAGGCUUUGUUGUGUCAGUGGAAACCAAUGAAACCACGAAACCAAUGACCCUACAAUGUUGCCUCUUUUGACUUGAAAUUGUUUCAACUCAUUUUAAAACAUGAUUUGAACAUUUAAAAAUAUAACUAGUUUCUUUAUUUAUAUUUAAAUUAUUUUAAAAUUUCAUUUCACUAUAAUUUUGACAAUUAUUUAUUGAAGCAUUGCUUAUUAUAGAUAGAUAACUGUUUUUUUAUAUCUUAUCACUACUACAAAUUUUUGUUUCUCUCAAAAUACUUAUAAUGCUUCCUUUCUAUACUUUUUUUUAGUUACAUGUUUAGUAUAUUUCUAUUUUUCUAGCAGAUUUUCUAACGAUAUAGUGAAAUAAAACAUAUAUAAAUCGUCUAAUAAUAUACUGUGAUAUAUAAUAAAUUUGUUAAUUUUAUCAUUAUGUUUUAAAACUUUAUUUAAGAUCAUGUUUAGUUGAUUGAUAAUAUAAAAAAACUUACUGCAUAAAAGUUUGUAUAAUUCUCUUGUUCUAAUUUUUUAAAAGUUUAAUUUUAUUUCAGAUUUAUCACAGAUUAUAAUGGUAUGAUUUUAGUCUUCAAAAUUUUAGUUACAGUUUUAAGAUUAUAGUUAAGUAAAUUAAAGUGAUAUUUUUUAAGAUUACUUUUGAAUUGGACGAGUUGUUUUUAUUUUUAACGUUUACAACAAUGAUAUGAUUGAGGGCAGUUGCUUCUUGCAUCUAAUAAUUUUGAACCUACAUCCAAUGAGUUUUUAAAAGUUUAGAAUUACUUUUAGGUGUUUUGUUUAAAAGGAGGAAGCUUCAUACGACGAUGUUCGUUAUUGGUGGUUUCUAGUGGUGGUGAAGGUAACAAAUGCAAUAAGGUGUGGUGGAGGUUGUGUGGUGUUUAUAAGGUUGGGAUAAAUGUUUCAAGUAAGAAGGAGUUGUUAAAUAGGGGUUUUGGGGGUGAAAUGGUGGAAGUUAGGUUUCAAGAAAUUGCAUUUCUGUAUUGGCUUUGGGAUUAAGCAAUCUAAAAUGUGUUUUUGAUAGUUUGUGUGGCUUCUAGAUUUUGAAAUCUAGAAUUGAGAAACUUGUUCUAGAAUAUGGAGCUUUGUGUUCCGGAAAGGAAAUUCUAAAAGAGAAGUGGAAAAAGAAGAUCUUAUUCCAGAAAGAAAAAUCAAGAUAAUGGAUAUAAUAUAUUCCGGAAAAGGGAAUGCCGAAGAGAAAAUAUUACUUUUUGAAAUGUAAUUGGCCUUUGGAUGAAGUUGGAUGUUACCUUGUGGAAGUUGUGAAGAAGUGAAUUUUUAAUGAUGAAAUCCGGUGAAUCCGUGAAGAAGGAAGUCUAGAAGAGGUGUGGUCAACUUCUAGAAGUGAAUAGGCUAGUCACAAGUAAAUUUGUUAACAUAGAGUGAACUUUGACAUGUAGAAGUGUCUCAAAAUUUGGACAAUAAUAAAAUCAAUGUUGAAUUACAAGAGGUCUAACACACUUAUUUAUAGUGCUAAGGGCACUCAAGGUUCAUAUUUUAUCCCUAAAAACUCUCCACUCCCAUGGUGAAAAUGACUUCCUCUCAUUGGAGCAAAUCCUCUCAAAUUAGAGGUUGACAAUGACCUUUCUUUAUUGGUGGAAAAAUCCUCUCCAUUGAGAAGAUGAUAUGUGGACCUUCAUGCCUUGAUUAUCUGUGCUUAGGUGGACUCCUCAUGCUUAGAUGUCUCAUGCUUCCACCUAGUAUUUCCAUGCUUCUCUUUUACCCUAGACGACCUAGGGUUGCAUUGGACCCAAGGAGACCCAAUUGUUACCCUUGUUAGACUUUAUUUUCAUAUUUACACUCUACUUUACUAGGUCAAUACAUGUCCCAUGAAAGUUAUCCCAAACAAGCACAAAUAAAACCUUCAUUACUCUGUACACUUUUUACAAGGCUAAGAAGAAGAAAAAACUAUUCAAUUAUGAGUGUUCCCCUCCAAUAAAGCUCCAUAUUUUUUCUAUCUUCUUAGCAAAUGGUUUUGAGGUUGGAUGGUUCCUAUCAGGAUUUUCCUUUUGGAAGUGAAAAUUUAUCAUUAUGGAUUUUCCUUUCCGAAAGCCAUAUUUUCUCUAUUGGUUUUGUUGUUCUGAAAUGUAUUAUAUGGAUUCCAGAUUUGCCUUUAUGGAAUGAUAAUUUUUUUUUCUAUUUAUAGAUUUGUAUUUCUAACAUGUGUUUUUUAGAGGCAGAAGUAUGAAGAAUACACUAGGUUCCUACCCAGAGGUAUUAGAGGAGGUUGAUGUGUGGGACAAGCUAGAUGUUUUGAUUUUGAGCAAUCAAUAUCUUAUAAUGCAUUAGACAAUGAAUGCAAGGCACAUCAGUGUAGUGAGGCAUUUACCAUGGAUCAGGUAAGGUCAAAGGUCCAAAACUAUUUAGAUAUUGUGUAUGUGUGAAGUAUAUUUUGUGAAUGAUAUCUAAAGUUGACAUAUAUUAUUAUAGGUAUUUCCUACUCAAGAUGACCUAUUGAAGUGGUGAGAAAGAUUGUUCAUUGUUUUUGUUUUUUUUAUUAUUGUAUUAAUGUUAAUUACAUGGAAUGGGAAACCACAGGAAGGAUGGCGUAUAUAUUAUUAGGUUGUGAGAGAAGUUGUAAACAUAAACAGUAUAAAAAGAACAGAGGUCACCCAUAGUGGAACUAGAAAAUGUGACUAUACUUUUAAAUUGUGAGGGAAAUCGAUAAAAGGUAGUGAAUGAUGGAUGGUGAAAUUAAUUUGUGGGUCUCAAAAAUAAUAACUUGGCAGAUACAUUGGUAGGUCAUUUGUAUGCUGGAAGGUUAAUAACUAAUGAAAAGGUUAUACUUGUGGAUAUGAAAAAAAAUUAGUGAAGCCUAGAAAUAUUUUUCUAAAAUUGAAAGAACAUAAUGAGAAGAAUGUGACCACCAUAAACCAAGUUUAUAAUUCCAUGAAUGUUUAUUGAAGAUCAGAAAGAGGUCACAAAAUUGAAAUGCAACUAUUGAUGAUGUUACUUGAGUGAGCCAUGUAUGUGUAUUGCUGUAAGUUUGAUGAAGUUUCGAAUGAUGUGCAAGAUAUAUUUUGGACACACUUGAUUCACUGAAACUACUGAAUUUCUUUAACAUUGUAUUAUUGAUGAAUAAUACCUACAAAACUAACAUGUAUAAGAUGCCUUUACCUGAGGUUGUUGGUAUUACAUCAAUGGGGUUGACCUUCUUUGUUGCAUUUGUUUUACUAGCAUCUGAACAGGAAAAUAAAUUUGUCUAGGCCCUUGAGAACUUAAAAGGUUGUAUUUUUAGAGUUGAUGCAUACCCUAAGGUCAUGGUAAAUGAUAAAGAUAUUGGUUUAAUGAAUGCAAUAAAAUUUGUGUUUCCCAAAGCUGGUGCAUCCAAGAGAGGCACGAGAUCAAUGAUGGAAGCUUGGGGAUCGGUUAUAGAUUGUGAUAAUGUAGAAGCCUUUGAACAUCAUGCACAUGCAUUUGAAGUUGUUUGUUCUCCAUGGCCUAUAUUUGUUGAAUAUGUGAGUUAUACUUGGUUACAUCCAAACAAGGAAAAAUUUGUUAAAACAUGGACAAAUAAGAUGAUACACAUAGACAACACAACAGGUAACAAGUAUGUAUAUCUUGUUAGAAUAUAUGGCCUUAAACGAGAGCGGGGGGGGGGGGGGGGUGAAUUGAUUAAGAGAGGUUUUUGAAAACUUUUUGAGGUUUAAUAAAAUUCUUUGUGUGAAUCCAGAACAAGAAUCAAGUUAGCCAAGAAUAUAAGCAAUAAAAUAGCAAAGCAACAAAAAAACAAUCGGUUGUUUCUUCGAAACAAUCGGUUGUUUAUACCAGUAAAGCUAAAAACAAAAUUUAAAUGAGUUUAGAGUAAGAGAGAGAUACACCAACAGUUUAUACUGGUUCACUCUUAAGCCUAGAGCUACAUCCAAUCCCCAGAAAACUACCGGGUAAUCCACUAAGUAAUCAAACCAGAUUACAACACACAAGCCACCAAAGUAGUGACCUUGAACCCUUCAAGAAACACACUCCCUUUGGCAAGACACACCAAUAGUAUUGAUCUUGACCACCUCAAGAGCAUACAACACUCCUUGGCAACACAACGCCAAAAAUACAGUAGGUUGAGAAGGGAUUACACUUGUUUACAGUACAAACUGAAAUCAAUACAAUUGUAAUCCUAUUCCACUCUCUUUGAAAAACCCAAAGCUUGAUGUGAAUGUUCAAAUCUUAGAAUCAACUUUGUCACAACUGAAAAACUCAAAUCUGUUUCUCUUGCUUGUUUGAAAACAUAAACAAACCAUUUAUAUUUUCCAAAGAUUGGUUAAAGCAAUUAAUGAAGGAGCGUAUUCAGUUGAAAAUCAUUUAAAGCACAUUCAACAACCAAAACAUAAUUUUGUUAGGAUUUUCAAAGAAACAACCGGUUGAAACCACGAAACAAUUGAUUGUUUGGUUUGGCAGUUAAGUCAACCAAACUAAAACAGUUUUCAACCUUUUCAAAAACUCCUAAGAGUAAAACAACCGAUUGAUUCGACAAAACAAUAGGUUAUUUUUCACUUAGUUGAAAAAACACUUUAUUUUCUAAAAGGUUUUAAAUCACUUCAGUUUUAGAUUCAACAAAGGAGUGGAUCACAUUCUAUUCUACCCAGAUCCCUCCCAAAACACAACAGCAACACCAGCCUUGCAUCAAACACUUUGGAUUUGGAUUCUUCAAAGAACUUGAUCACUCUUGAUCAACAUAUCUGUUGCACGUCUUUAUUUUCCUCUGUAGGUUUUAGGCUGCAUAUUGGAUUUACAAGCAUAAUAUUUGUUUUCCUUUGUAGGAUUGAGGCUGCACAUUGAAAUCUAAAGAGAAUGCUUCUGAAAUCCAUGGAAGACUUAUUUUUUUGUUGGCAUUCCAUGAACAAGAUUAUUAUCUUGCAACAUAAUGCAAUUAAAGAUUCAUUUGAAAAAAGUCUUCAUGUGGUGGGACAUUUGUUUAACAUGACAACAUACAAAAAAUUGAUUAGGUUUGUGAUACAAACAGACAAAUAACUAAGGACACAACAAACACUUCCUAAAAGGGUCAGUCAUCUCAAGAUACAAGGUCAAACCCCACCAAGCCUCGAGAAAGAAUCAGCAAAAGAAGAAGAAGUUAUAAACCUGAAUAUCAGAAGUUCUUCCUUUUGAUUUUCUUAAAAAAAAUAGAAUAUUUUUGUAAAUAGUUUGGGCUCACUUUAGGGGUCCAAAUAGCAAGGAUAGGCUAAAAUAAGGUGCCUUUAGUAUAAUAGGGGGUGUAGGUAGCAUUUUAGCUUGUUCAUAGCCCUUUUGGAAGACAUUUUGACCUAGUGUCUAGAAGGACAAGUCUAGGAUGCGAGUUUGACUUAGUCAAACCCUAAGGCUACCCAUUUUUUUUCCCUUUACCCAUCCUACCCUUUUAGCUUGUUCUCCAAGGCUCCUUCACCUAUAAAUAGGAGGCCUACCUAGUGUAUUUUACAAGUUGAAAUUAAUAAAAGAGUUACUCUGCACAAAUUAUGUGAGGUGUUAGUGAGGUUUGAAUUUCUCUUAGCAUUUAGGUCUUAUCUUUGUGAGUAUUGAGAGCUCUCAAGUGGCGGCUAUCUUUACUUAUCUUGGAGGCCAAUCACACUCCACGUGGCGUGUUCCACUACUCAAAUCCAUCACAUAAGCUUUCUCCUUCCUUCAUCUCUUCUUCCAUUGUCAUUCCAUUUUUACUUUUUGUAUCAUGUUCUUGUUUGGUUUUCCUUGUUUCCAUUCGACAAUUCUAUUUUGGUUUCUUUUCCUUGUUCUUUAAUUCCGCACCUUCUAGCAUCACUUUCACCUUAUAAUUGUCUUUUCCUUUUGCCUUUGUAAAAUGAAUCUUCACAUCUACUUAACCACUUGGUUAAGUUAAUGUUCAGUGAGGAUUUUCCUAAGGUCUUCACUCUUAAAUUCCUAAAAUCUCAAUCUAAGUAAAGUGUCACACCAUAAAAUGAACAAUCCUAAAAUCAACUCACAUCAGUUUGUGUCCAAAUAUGAUUUACAACAUAUCAUGGAAGAGAAUGAUAAAGUUAAAUAUGUUGGAUUCGAUAAAGAUUAGUGUGGAUGUACCCUUCGAUCUACUCAUGGUCUUCCUUGUUCUUAUGAAUUGGCUUCCUUUGGUGUGGGUAGCAUACCACUACAAUCAGUGCAUGUGUUAUGGACCCAAUUAAGGUUUUUAGAAUUCCAAGUAAUGAUUGUUCAUCAGAGUUGUCAAUCCAAAAGGAGUUUGAUGUCAUCAUUAAGUGUUUUAAAGAGGUUGAAAAUCCUGGUAAGGUUAACACUAAGAAUAAGUUGCACAAAAUUACAUAUCUAUAUAAGACAUCUUUGUGCGCACCACAUAAGAAGGUUAAACAAAAGAUGUUGAACAUGUGGAUGCGCUACAUUCACAACAUGAUUGUUCUUCAACAAUAAAAUCUAGCAAGGGAUUCAUCUAAUACAUUCCCUCAACUAAAUCAAUCCCUUUGCAAGAUCAAUUUUCUAUAGGGCUUCAUUUAUAAAUUGUUGAUGUUAUCGAUGUUAAGGGUGAUAACCAUUGUGGAUAUUGUGUUGUUGCUGCGUAAUUGGGUAUGUUGUUAAAAUGAACUUGUUUAAAGAACUUAGUCUGUGACAACAAGAAUAUGUUGAUUUUCUUGAUGAUGAUCAACGAUAUGAAUAUAUGAGAAACUCACUUCUUUUUUAUCGCAUGUCAAUGAUACCACCUGAUUAUGACAUUUCUUGUACUUUAUUUGGAAAGUAAUUGUUAUGAGUUAUGUUAAUUUUUUCCUUUUAUUUGCAUGCAUGUGCAUAUAAGUGGAUGGCAAUUCCGGAUAUGGGAUAUGUUAUUGCUAAUCAAUAUAAUGUCAUUGAUGUGUCUUUGUCUUUGAAACAAUCAAUCACUAUUUUCUCUCCAAGGACCCAACCACCAAAUUAUUUGAGUCACAUCGAAUUAUUGCAACAGGGCAUGUCUAUAGAAAUCAUUUUUUUCAGGUAUACGACAAUUAGGAAUUAUGAGUUUGUUUUUAACUAUGUUGUUAAUUACUCUUUAAUAUAUAUUUUUAUUUCUUAUUGCAGAUUAAGCUAGAAGAAGGUUGUCCGAUUCCACCAACAAACAUAUAGUGGUCUACGCAUUGCUAUCCAAUCGCCCAAGCUUGGUUGUCAUAUUACACUAGUGGGGUGCAAGUUUUUACGCGGAUAAUUGUUGAACAAGAUGUUUUGAUGCCUCCAAAUCUAUGUAGAAAACUUGAAGAAACUACUGCUAUGUGUGUGUGGUUUAGUAGUUUUUGACAUGUUAAUUCAAACAUUGUAUUGAUCCAAGCUCACUUGACUCUUUAUAUCUUUUAAAAGAAAUAUUUUUUUUAAAAGCUGAGAAAUUUUAGUCAGUUGUUUUUCAAAUCAAUCAGUUGAAAAAGUUGUUACUCAAAGGUAUUGAGGCUAAGGUAAGUUUUUCAACUUGUUGAAUUGUCGAAACAACUGGUUGUUUGAUACUUAGUGGUUUUCAAAAUGAUUUGGAAAAGUUCUGCUUUGUUUUAUCUUUGCUGUCAAACUAAAACAACCAGUUAUUUCGAUAAAACAACUCGUUGUUUUUAUGAAAUCCUUAACAAAAAAUUUAUUUCAGUCUAUUAUUUUGGAAAACAAUUUGUUGUUUUAUAAAAAAAAUUAUGUUAAGUGUUGAAACUCUUUUUAAAUGAUUCCAAAUACUUUUGAAUUAUGGUCUAACAGUUUUAACAACUUCCUUGAGUCUAUAUAAAGGUUGUUUGAUAUUCUUUUAAAGACUCUAAGAGAGAUAGCUUAUUAAAAACGUUUUCAAGAGAAUCAAAAGCUUUUUAUCAUUACUCGUGUGUGGAAUAGGAAUGGGUCUUUGUAUACUUUUGUUCUUCUACUUCGUAAAGCCCAGGUGUAUUAUAUUUCCUUCACUUUGAACACUGUAAUUAUGUUUAUUUGGUGUAAGGCAGUUUCAGAAAAGGGUUUCUGAAAACUGCAGUGGUACCAAGGAGUGAUGUGUGUUCUUGAGGGGUUCAAGAUUAUCACUCUUGGUGUGUGUUUGUAAUCUUGCUUUGGUUACUUAGUGAAUUCUCAAUGGUUAGUUGAGGACUCGAUGUAGCUCUUGGUUAAGAGUGAACCAAUAUAAACCUCUUUGUGUGAAUCUCUCUAUCCCUUCUUUUUUAUACUAUUUUAAUCAUUGUUCUUUCUCUACUGGUAUAAACAACCUGUUGUUUCGAAAAAACAAUCAGCUGAAUUUUUGUAAAGAACAUUAAAAUUGAAUUUUUAUGCAGUUGAACAAAAAAUCAACUGGUUGAUUUUUCAGAACUUUUCACUCUACUUCCAAACUUUACGAAAAUCUUGUGAAAACAAUUCACCCGCUAUUGUUUUAGGCCACUAAUUCUAACAAUAGUCCAUUAAAUGACAUUUGUAAUUGAUACUUUGUAUUUGAUUUGCAAUCAUGGAAACUAACAUGUGUUCGCAUCGAUCUAUCAUCAACAAAAUCCCAGUGCUCUUUCGUAUAUCUGUUUGUUGAAACACUUCAUCAACAUGGACCAAGUGAUUAACCUCUUUGGUUUGUAAAGAAAACAUUUUAUAAAUCAAGUAGUUAGUAAUACAUCAUAGAUUAAUAAUUUCUUUUUAUAGAGAAGUCAUACCAAAUGAAUGGCGUGUUCAUGCACAUUGAUGGAUCCAUCGGUGUGCAAACUUCCACCUUUUUCGGAUAAAAUAUUAUUUUAGUUAUAUCACAUAUUGAUCGAUAUAGAGGCAUGUUCCACUUUUCCAUGAGGUUGUUCUAAACACUAUUUCUAAUUCAUUAUGGGUUCUUACCUUCUUGGCGGGUCAUUUUAAACAUCUCUAAAAGUCUAUGAGAAACCUUCAAAUGGAAAUUUUUCUUAAUUCUUUCCUCAUUGCAAACAACAACAAUCAUCAAUCCAAAAUCUAAAAUUUAAGCAUUUUUUAAAUAAGUUAGCUAAAAUGAACCAAGUACCUUAAAACAUUGAAAAAAUAGAUUUCAGUCAUCCUUUGGGAUUGUCCUCCAUGUUAACCAUGACUCACCAAAUUGUUGCUUAAUGGUGAUUGUGAUGGCGUUUAAUGCAUUUUUUAUGGAUAAAACCUAGAUACCAAACAAAAGUUAGUCAAAAUUAAGACAAUAAUAGUAAAUUUUAUAAAUUUAAAUUUAUUAUAUUCUUACUCAACUCCAAUAGGUCAAAUCAGAGGACGAUCACCAACUAAGAGGACAUCCUCCCUUAAGUUAUUGGUGACAUUAUACAUGGUGAUGGUGCAAUAUCUAGGUUCGAGGUUGAUGAAUAAGAACCAACAAAUUGAGAAGGGGAUGAGGUGGAUUGAUCGGGUACUGAUGGCAUGGAUCCAACAACAACAAGUGGAGAUGGUGUGGAUUCAAUAACAUAUGCUACUAAUGGGGUGGAUCCAACAAUAAGGGGGUGGAGAUGGUGUGGAUCCAGUAACACCUGCUACUAUGGGGUGGAUCCAUGAGUUGAGGAUGGAGUAGGUGUAGUGAGUUGAGUGAAUGAUAAAUUUAGGUUGUUUAUUCGUGAUACCAAUUUUAUCACAUAAUGUUUCUUUCCAUUUCUUUAAUUGGCAUGGGGUGACAAGGGAAGAGGUGGAUCACAAACUCUUAUGACAUACACACAUAUAUAUGGCAUGGAAUGAAAAUGAAAACGAUUUAUGGUUAGUUGAUAGUAUAAAAAAGUUUUCAUCAAUAGUCAAUAACAUUCUUACUCAGAUGUUUAGUUUUACACAGGCAUAAUGAAGUAUUGUUUUUACCAUAUACACUUUUAUACUCCAUUCAAAAUUUAAUUUCACCUCUUAGAUACAACUUUGAGUACUGAUUAUGUCUAAACAUGCUUUUACUGUACCUUUAUUGUUGUUAUAAACUGCACCCCCAAUAUGACAUUCGUGCUUUAAAAUAUAGCAUCACCUGAAUUUAACCAUAAGACAAGAUAUAUCAUUUACUAUCUUUUCUUAAUGCUUCAUCACUAAGUUUUUUAGAUGCCUUCUAUGGGUACACUAGUACAAAAAGAUAAAUUAACGACGGUUAAAAACAAUAUGUAAAGAGAGUUCCAAAACCGCCGCUAUUGCGGGCGUCGUUAUAAGGUGGUGAUUUUUAACGACAGUUGGAGAACUGUCGUUAAAAAGUUCUUUAUAACGACGGUUCCUAAACCGUCGUUAUAAAUGGAUUUUAAAUAAUUUUUUUAAAAAAAUUAAAUGACUUUUUAAAGACGUCGUUGUAUCUAUUUUUUUUUAAAUGCUACGACUUUUAAAGACGGUUCCUCUGGAACUGUCGUUGUAUGUAUUUUUUUUUUAAAAAUGAUUUUAAAGACGGUUCCACGUGGAACCGUCGUUAUAUGUAGGUUAUUAAAGAAAUUAUUUUUUAAUAAAUCACAAACCUGCAUAAAAUUUUCAACUCUGAAAAUCAAAACCUUUAAAAUUUUAAUUUAAAUAUGAAAAUACAUACAAUAAAUUAUAACAUUAUACAAAAAGUUUUGCUAAUAUAUGAAAAAGUAUGUCAUUCUAAUUAUUUAUCUAUACUUAGGUGUUAUACAUGGUUACAAAAUACUUUGACCAUGUUGUUCUUACAUACUCCAAUGCUUAUGAAUCUAGUGGGUGUUGGUCGUUGAACAACUGUGGCAUUUGAAAUUUUUUGAAUUAGUGCAUGAAUAAUAAACCUUAAAUUUUAAAGGUAUUACCUGAUCACAACCUUUAUUAAUUGCAGCUUGCAAAAUAGUCAACAUUCACUGCAUAACAUAAUAACCGCACUCAUAAUUUCCAGAAUGCCUAUUGUACUGCAUGUGAAAAUAAAUAUAUUAAAUGAAUGAGUGAAAAAAACAUUAAAUUGAGUGAACAAAUAUACUUUAAAUACCUUAAGGUACAUCCAAGUGAGUUUUUGUGCAUUUGAAGUUCUCCUCCCACAAAACAUAUUAUAUCCAGAGUAAGCAUUAAAAUAAUAAGAUUUCAUGUUAGAAUACAUAACAUUAUAUAAUGUAUAAGUAAUAAUAAAUGUUAAAUGAAACUGUCGUACCUAUCUAUAAUGUUUUUAAAAUAGGUAGGGGUUUUUUAUGCAAGGAGCAAAGUCAUGCAGCGGUAUGAUCUUGAACAUAUAUGAUCAAUAGUUGCCAAUGACGCCUGUAUAACAAAUCAAUUAAUUAGUUUCUCUUAUUUCAAUAAUUUAUUAAAACUUAUUUAAUAAAUAAGGACUUACUCAUGGAUGUACGAAGCAAAAUAAAUUUGUUUUCUACCAUUCUUUAAGGCAGUGGUGAUGUAUGUUUGUGUUUCCGACUUCUUGUUUCCCAUUAAUUGAAUGACUUGAGGGUCUAAAAACCCAUAUAUAUUGUGUUUCCCCUCAUCGAAGCAUAAUCCAAAAAGAUACCUAAAUUUCAAUAAGUUAGUACUAAUAUAUUUAAUAAAUCAAAAGUAUAAAGAUUUUAAUAUUUGAACUUACAUCAUCCAUAAUUGUAGAACUGUUAUGUUAAUCUCUUGAUCUUCGGCUGCAAGGUCCAACAAAUCAUACAUGUGAACGUACAACGGUAGAUUACUAUGCCUUCCAAAAACAUUGGCAUCCCAUGGAACCUCUAAGAUGGUUGUAUCUAAAGCUGUAGCAACUUCCACCAAUGCCACCACAGGAUCAUCAAUGGAAAAUAUUUUCUUCUUUCGCAGAGGCAAUUUUGUCUUAGGUUCCUGCUACUCAUCAACAAACAAACAAAUAAUUACAUUAGUUAGAAUGUAAUAUAUCUGAUAUAUAAAUCUAUUAGUAUUAGUGCAAAGAUAUACCAUAGAGUCUAUAGGUCUGACGAGAUGUCUAGGCCAGGCAACGAAAGUAUGUAAUGCCUCUGCUACAAUUGUGACCUCUGAUGUCGACACAGGAACUUUUUAGUAGUUUUUAGUAGAACUUAAAAGGAGUAGUUAUAGAUAUUAGGGGUGCUAAUAUACAAAUGCAAGUCACACUUUCCAUAUGUCAUUAAAAUGAGGUGUAGGCAUAGUUUUAGGAGGUGCCAAAGUAGGGAUGCAAGUCACACCUCCCAUGUGACUUGUUUUUGGUGCCAAUUUUGAAUUCUUUGGUGUGUGUGUUUGCCUUUUCAAAUUCAGCACCCUCACCCUAUAAAUAGAGAGCCAUGCUCUUGUAAAAUUCAGAUUUGAUAAUUGAUGAAAAGAAACUCUACUCAAAUUGAGAGAGAACUUUGUGAGAUUUGAUCUCCUUCCUAGUCUCAUAUUGUGUGCUUUUGGAGGGCUACAAGUUGCGACAACCAUACACUCAUCUUGGAGCUUCCAUCACCAAGUGGCGUGUCUCAUCUCCAACUCCAUUCCAACCGAUCCUCAUCCAUCUAAGUCUGCUUUCUUUCAUUUCCAUUUCCAUUUCCGUUUCCAAUCGGUAGUUUAACUUCUUGUGUUGUGUUAUUCAAUUUCUACCGUUUAAUUCUUGUUCUAUGUGUUGUCUUAAGUUUCUAUUCGGUGCAUCUUGUUCCUUUGUUCAUUUCAAUCGGUAGAAUUCAUUCAUAACUCAAUUGUGUUUGAUUUUAAUCAUUACAUGUAUUAAUUGUGUUUUCUACUUGUAUUCUUGAGUUGUUAUUGUUUUCCUUUCAAUUCCGUCAUAUUUUUGUGUUAAGGACAUGACACUCAUGAUUCAUAUGAGUUUGGCUCUUCAUUUGGAUGGCAUUAUCCUCCAUUGAAUUGCCCUUAAGCCUCCUUAAUGUGUUGUUUCUUGUUUAGUGUCAAUCCAACUCACAUCACUAGGUCAGGAAACGAAAGUGUCUAAUGCCUCUGCUACAAUUGUGAUCUCUAAUGUCGGCACAGGAACUGCAAGAUCACCAUAAAGGACCUUCUCCACCGUGACCUUCAUGAAAUUAGAAGGAAGAGGCACAUUGUGUAACAUUGUGACCCCUUCAUAACACUUAUCCAAAGCAACGAAUCGGGUCAAAGAAUUACACUCAACAUAUAACUCGCAUUGGCUAGUUGAGCCAAAGUCAUCUCCCGAUAGAUCAACCGCCGAACAACUCCCUUUAGUGCUGACUUUCUUCAUAAGAGGUGGAGGUGGUUCAUCUUCUACCAUAGUAGGUUGUUGUUGAGAGAGUCUUAAACCCUCCCACCGCUUUUUUAACUCCCUUUCCAUUCACACAUUAAACUCCUCCAUGAAGCUUUCUUUAAGCUCUUGAGUUACCUCAGCCUCUAACUGCUCACGUAAUUGUAGUAAAUACUCUUGGCUAGGUUGAUUAGACGAUUGUUCCUUGCUAUGUGAUAGAGAUCAAAUAAGGGAGGAUUUUACUAAUGGAGGAAGAGGUCAUUCACCCAAACAUUUGAAGUUCUUCCUUCUAGUCUUCUCAAAAAUUAAAGAAGAAUGAAAAUAAAGAGAGGACCAAACCUAAAGCCAAAAGAAAACUCAAGAAUGGGCUUCAAUUAAUAUCUCUCUUUAUAGUUUCUUUUGUAUAAAUUUGUAAAUAAUAUAGAAUAGUGUUUAGGUAGGUGCUAAGAGGGAAACCUAAAGAUACCUCUUGUGUAAAGCAUCUUUAGAUAUUAGUUUUAGAAAUUUCUAGAAAGAUAUCCCUUCCUCCUUCAAUUUAGGCGCUAGAAGUGGAAGAGUUACAAGGGAACUUUAGUUAGCUUCUUUUGUAAGCCUCUUGUACUUUCAUGACCGGUCCUUCUCCUAUAUAAGGAGGGCUUGAGUCUUUCUAAUACAGAUUUGAUAUUUUGACUACCGAAAUUCUCCCAAAUUGGUGAGUGCUUGAGAAAAUUGUGUCUUCUCUUACCUAGUCUUAUCUUGAGAGCAAUCUUGGAGCCUCAAGUGGCGGCAUCUCCACUCAUCUUGGAGCUUUGCAUCCUCCAAGUGGCGUGUUCCUCUCCAAGGACUCCAACCACAUAAGUCUUCCUAUCUUUUCCAUCUUUUUCAUCCAUUUCCAUGUCCACAUAAACUCUAGAAACAUGUAUUAGACUUUUCUUGCACUUUUGUUCGGUUCAAUUGUUUCAAUUCUUGUUUUGUUCGGUUCAUUUCAGUUGUUAGCCAUUUUAAUCGGUUCAUUAGUUUUAUUUCAUGCUUUUGUUUGGUUCAAUGACUUUCUAGGUAGUUUUAAUCGGUGCUUUUCCAUUCUUGUGCAUUUCAAUCGGUUCAUUUGACAAGAAAUGGGUUUCUACAUGAGUUUUGGUUUGAUGGCUCAAGUUUUGGUGAGUUCUUGAAUAAAAGAACAUUGAUCCAAUUCUAGAAAAGUGUCUUUUCAUAUUCCAACUCAAGUUGACUCCAUAACAUGUGUUUGAAACUUCUAUAUCUUGUUAUUGGAAUCAUAUCACUAUGUGAUGAAGGUCCAAAGUAUGACCAAAUCCCAACCCCAUAUCCAACUACACGAACACGUCCAGGGUGCUCAGGUCGUCCAAGAGCAACAUUAAGAAUAUCAUUGCGACCACAUGGAUUAAAAGUCCCCUGUGUUGAUUGCUCAGUAAGAGAAUCCUAAAACAAAUGAAAAGAAAUUGUCAAACUUCAACACAUUGAAUUUAAAAUAACACAUAGAAAAUAUAUUUCUUACAAUUCUUUCAACUGUUUGUUCUGUAGACUUAGAACUCCAUGUCCCUGAUGGGUUUAUACGGGCACCCUUCCACAUCUCAUGUCGGGGUGGUGGGGAUGGAGGCCUCAAAGAAUCUACACUAUUCAUUUCCUCAAUGGAAGUAAAACGUGUUUUAAUCUUUUCUUCAAGCAUCUUCUGCUCUAACAACUUAUAACCACCACAGGACAAUAAAUGUGGGGUAUCAUUAUGUGCCUGAUUGGAUUUUUUAUUUGUUUCGAACCUCCUAUCAUAACAUUCAAAAUUUAAUAAUACGUUAAUAUAAAUUAUAUUCAAAUAUAAAAGUGAUAUUAACCUGCCAUUUUUCAGUUUGUCGAAUUUGCACAAACUGCUGCCAAGUUUCUUCAUCAAGGGAUGCAUAUUUUGUACAAGAUUUUCUUCUUUCCUUUCACCAUAUAUACAAUUUGUUGUGAAUUUUGAUUUGAACUGACGAAACUUGACACCCACAUCAGAAAGAACCUUCGCUUUCAAGGUUUUCACAUUCGGGAUCUUGUAAUGCGUCUACAUUAUUUGAAAGAAUUAGUUCAUAAACAAGAACAAAGUAUAAAAGAACUUUAGAUUGAACAAAGUAAAACAAUUACAUACCAUAAUAUCUUGCCAAAUCAUGUUUUUCUCGUGGUCAGUCACGUGAUCUCAGGACUCAGUUAAGAUGGAGAUCCUUUCACGAGAUAGUACUCCGAGAUAACUCCUAUAUUUCUUUGCAUAUUGCCCAGUGGACACACCAGUGUGGACAUCAAUAGACAAAGGUAUUUUGUCAUCUUUAUUUAUCUUCUUAAACAUAUUCUUUAAUCUUGUAGGUCCUCUACCAGUUUUUGAACGAGAAAAUUUAUCAUCUGUCAUGUUCCUGUUAUCAAACAAAUAUGAUAAGCAUCAAGAAUAUGAAAUAUAAUUAAAAUUAUAUAUUGUAAAACUAAACAUGAAUCACAUGCACAUACAAAUAUAUAUUCCUUCGUCAUGAUCAUUUCGAGUUGCAUGUACAACAUCAACAACAUCCUCAUAUUCUUUAUUGAUGGUCGUUCUUGUAAGUGAUUCAAUCUCACAAAUGUCAUUGUUUGUAUCUUCUGGAUCAUUAUGUUGUUUUUUUCCAUGUAGCACAACAAACUAGUGGUCAGACAUAGGAUCUUGGAUAUAGAAAACUUGGAAAGCUUGAUGUGCCAUUAUGAAUGGUUCGUCAUGAUAACCUAUCUUUCGAAAGUCAACCAAAGUCAUUCCUGACUCAUCAACUUUGACACCAGUCUUAUUGUCAACCCACUUGCAUUUGAAAACAGGUACAGUAAACUUAGUAUAAUUAACUUCCCAAAUGUCUACUAUGACACCAUAAUAAGCAUUGAUCCCACAACAAGAUUUUGAUCAUUUGCAGUUGAAAACUGCAUAGACUCGGCCUCCAAGGUGACUCCGCUAUUUUACACUGUACUCCUAUCAUCUCGAGACUUUGUGUAAAACCAACAACCAUUUACUUCAUAUCCAAAACAACAUAAAACAUCAAAUUUGAGACCGUUUGCAAGCCAUGUUAACGUUUCAGAUGUUGAUGGAUCAUUCAUUGUUUGUUGCUUAAACCAUGACAUGAAAGUUUUGUUAUGCUCAAUUAACACCCAUUUUUCUGAUUGUCUUGGGUUUCUAUAUUUGACGAUGUCUUUGUGUGUAUCUAAGUAUGGUAACACCUCAUCAGUGUUAUUCAAGAUAUACAAGUGUGCUUGCAGAACCUCUUCUCUAGAUUUUCUUAUGACAUGUACACCUUUUGAAGAUUUACUUAUCAAUCUACGAGAGUGCCAACCUUUUUCAGGAACUCCUAUACAUUUGGCUUUUGACAAGUACUCGGAACAAAACUCAAUAGAUUCUUCUGAAAUGUAUCUUUCUAUAAUGGAAGCUUCCGGAUGACAUUGAUUCUUCACAUAUCCCUUCAAAAUCUUCAUGUAUCGUUCAACUGGAUACAUUCAUCGCAUAUAAACUGGCCCACACAAUCUGAUUUCUCUUACAAGAUGAACAACCAAGUGUACCAUAAUAUAAAAAAAAGAUGGAGGAAAAAACAUCUAGAGUUGAUACAAGAUAACAAUUAUUUCUUCUUCAAGUUCAUCCAACUUCUGAGAGUCAAUCUCUUUACUACAUAUGGAAUUGAAAAAUGAACAUAGUCGAGUGAUUGUAUGCCUAACAUUUUUUGGUAUGAUUCCACAAUAGCCACCGGUAGUAAUUGUUGUAUUAGAACGUGAAAAUCAUGUGACUUUAAGCUAAUUAGUUUCAAAUCAUUCAUAGAUACAAGACUCUUCACAUUUGAAGAGUAGCCUUGUGGUACCUUAACAGCUUUAAGACAUUGACAAAAACUUGUUUUCUCUUUCUUUGACAAAGUGUAACACGCUGCAGGCAAGUAUGUACGUUUACCAACUUCUCUCGGUGCCAAUUCCUCUCGUAUANNNNNNNNNNNNNNNNNNNNNNNNNNNNNNNNNNNNNNNNNNNNNNNNNNNNNNNNNNNNNNNNNNNNNNNNNNNNNNNNNNNNNNNNNNNNNNNNNNNNUCUACGUGCAUUACAUCUAGACAGUGUCUUACAUCUAACUCACACCAAUACGGAAGAUAAAAAAGAUUGAUCUCUUCUUCCAUAUUUCACUCACAGUUUGCUUCUUCUUCAUUUUUCCAGCAGUCACAUUAAAAUUUUUUAUUUUUUCAUAAAUUUCAACACCACUUAAGGGAGUGGGACAAAUGUCAUGUUCUUGGUUUUUCUUUAGAAAUCUACGAUGCCCAAGAUACACGGUUUUUCUUCCGUGUUUCAACUUCUUAUAAGAUGUCUUGUCUUCACAUAUUGGACAUGCUCUAUGAACUUUCACACUAUAACCUGACAAGUUCCCAUAUGCAGGGAAGUCAUUGAUAGUACAAAACAACAUCGCAUGCAAUCGAAAAGAUUCAUUCUUAAACGCGUAAAACACAUCAACCCCUUCAUUCCACAAUAACUUCAAAUCUUCAAUCAAUGGAUUAAGAUAAACAUCUAUGUCAAUUCCAGAUUGUUUUGGACCAGAGAUCAUCAUAGAUAACAUCAUGUAUUUGCGCUUCAUACACAAAGCAGGGGGUAAGUUGUAAAUCACUAACAAAACAGGCCAUGGACUAUGAUUACUAUUUAAACUUCCAAAGGGAUUCAUUCCAUCAGUUGCCAAUUCAAGUCUUAAGUUUCUUGAUUCUUUUCCAAAUUCAGGAAAUUCUUUAUCAAUAUUCUUCCAUUGCAAAGAAUCAAGAGGAUGACGAAGUAGUCCAUCACAUUUUCUAUUAUCUGCAUGCCACCUAAGGUUUUUAGCGUCAUCUGCAUUUGCAAACAAACGCUUAAGCCUUGGAAUUAUUGGAAGAUACCAAACAACCUUAGCAAGAGGACCUUCCUUUGUGAAUUCAUCAAUUUCAUCAUUAUGACCAACUUUAACCUUAUAACAUGACAAACCACAUCUGGGACAUCUUCUUAAAUCUUCAUACUCAUUUCUGUAUAAAAUACAAUCGUUAGGACAUGAAUGUAUUUUUCUAUACUCCAUAACCAUUGAACAAAGUAUUUUUUUUGCCUCAUAAUUUCGAUUGGGCAAGGUAUUUCCUUCUGGAAGCAUGUCCUUAAGCAAUUGAAGCAAUUAUGUAAAACUUUUGUCAGUCCAUCCAUUCAUUGCCUUCAAAUUCAUCAACCUUAACACUGUUGAUAAUCGUGUGAAGUUAGUUGAACCAGGAUACAAAGGAGUCUCUGCAUCAUUAGACAUAUUUUCGAAAACUGCAUUAGCAAAAGAUUAUGCUCCCACAUCACGAAUCAUGUCUUCUAAUCUAUCAUCCAUUGAGAAAUGAACUUCCUCCGAAGCUCCGCGCACAAUUGGCAAGUCUAACAAUUCACCAUGCCACGUUCAUGUUGUAUAACUUUUCAAAAAUCCAUCACACAAAAGAUGUUCUCUAUUUUCGGAAACACUCAAUAUCCUUCCAUUCAAACAAUUGCCACAAGGACACCUUAUCCUUACUCCAUUAUUACAACUAACGGCAUUAUGUUCUGCGAAUUGUAUGAAUUCUUCCACCCCUUUUUCGUAAGUAUCACUUAUUCGUGGUGUAUUAAUCCAACUCUGAUCCAUAGAACUGCUAAACUAAGAACCAAUGCGAACUUAGAACCAAUGCGUUCAAAAUGCAAUCAUUAAAAUACAAAUCAAAAUUGUCGAAGGUCGGACACCUCCGGACUCAGAACCAAUGCGUUCAAUAUGUCAAAACAAUAUAUCAUCAUUAAAAAAUAAAUCAAAAUUUUCGAAGGUCGGACACCUCCGGAUUCAGAACCAGUGCAUUCAAUACGCCAAAACAAUAUAUAAUCAUUGAAAAUUAAAUCAAAACUGCUGAAGGUCGGACACCUCUGGACUCAGAAUCAGUUCGUUCAAUAUAUAGAAUCAAUAUCUAACUCAAAACAAACACUUUCAAAAUAUAUUUAAUAUAUAAUUCAAUAAUAAAUAAAAAUAUACUAACCUCAAAAAAGGUGCGGCAUGGGCGACGAUCGCGAGGGCAAGGUGGCGUGGCUCGCGGGCGGCGACCGCAGUCGCAGGACAUGGGUUGCGAGGCGGCGGUCGCGAGGGCACGAUGGCGUGGCAGAAGGUCGCAUGGGAGGCAGUCGCAAGGCGCGGCCUCACAGCGCGGGACGACGGUCGCGGUCGCAGGGACGCGGAACAAAGGUCGCGAUCGCAGGGACACAGAACGGUCGUGCGGUCGUGCGGCGGCGCUCGCGAGGACGCGAAACGGCGAUCGCGCGACAGCCGGUCGCGAGAACGGGGAACGGCGAGUCGAACGGCAACGGUCGGCGGGCUCGCGGGGCGAUGCUGGAAACGAAGUGGACGACGCUGGAAUGAGAAAGGGAGGCACAGUGUGAGAAUGAAGACGAGAGUGUGAGAAAGAAGUGGGAUCCGUAUGAAAAUGAGAAAGGGAGGCAAAGGUUUUGGGCAUAAAAAAAUUACUUUUAACGACAAAUGUUUACUUUUAACAACGGUUCUGGUACGAACCCUUCAACGCCCCACUUUUAAUGACGGUCCGUCGUUAAAAGUGCAAAAAAAAUAAAAAAAUUUACAGAACUGCCACCGCCUCGUUUUUUACGAUGAUUGUCUCCAAACCGUCUUUAAAGGGUGUCAUUAAUGAAGUAUUUUGUAUUAGUGGUACAUCAAAAUAUUUUAAAAAAAUGAAUUCAAAAUAUAUGUAUAAGAAAAUUAAUUCAAAACACAUAUAAAGUGUCUGUUACAACCCAACAAACAGAAGACCUACUUAGCUACAACUUUCAGUACUAAUUGUGCUUAAAUCUAUUCAGAGUUAUUGUUGUCAAAGUCAUCUCUAAACCCAUCUACACUUUCUCCUUCUUCAUUGUCUUCUUCCCAUUCAUUUGUUUCUUCAUCCAUUUGAUUUUUAAACAAUGAUAUAUUGUUUAUGUCCAUUUUUUCAAGAUCAACCUUUAAAUCUUAAAAUCCAAAUACUUGUUCAACUUCAAUCACUUCAUUAACAUGUGAAAUUUCAUCAACUUGGUAUGGCACUUCCACUUAUACAUCAUCAGAAUCUAUACGAACUCUUGGCUUUGUUUUGAUUGUAACAGAUCAACCACACUUGUUUGUGCAUGAUGAUGGAUAUGGUACAUAAUACACUUGCCGUACAUUAUAUGCAAAGAUAAAAGCAUAAGAUGACAUAUAUCUUUUAUCAAUUCAAAUAUCCACAAUAUCAUAUUUGGUAUCCACUUUUGUACCUCUUCAUGAUGAAUCAAACCAAUCAUAGUAAAAUAAUACAACUUUCUUAUCUGAGGUUGAAGAAUUGUACUCCACCUCAUACAUGUGUUGAGUCACACCAUAAAAAUCAUCAUUACCUCCUUUUGGAAGACCCUUUACAUGAACCCCACUAUUUAUUAUUCUCUUUCCUUUGCUCCAUGCAUGAGUGUGGAAAUUUUACCCAUUCACGAAGAAUGCAUGUCAUUAUUUUACUCACCUUAAAGGACCAAGUAAUAAAUCACUAAGGUGUUGGUUCCUCGCAUUUAAAGGCUCGUUAUGAACCUAUAAAUAGAUAAGUGUCAACUUUUUAAUCAAAUGAGUAAACAAGUAAUGAAAACGUAAAUUAUAGAAUUUGAAUAGACAUACUUGUCCCUUAAACCAUAAAGGGAAGUAAGCAUGUAUAUCAGUUGAAGCAUGUGAUUCAGUAAUUUGAAUGGAAUCUAAGAAGGAGUUGUCGAUAAGUGUCUAUACAUUAGGUUAACGAUAAUAAAUGAUAAUUUAAUGAAUGAAUAACAAUGCUUUAAAAGAAUAUUUUGGUUGACACUUACUCAAGGUAUGAUUUAACUUCAUUGUAGUUGAUCAAAACAUGAACAUGAGCUAAGUUCAACUCUUUAUGACUUAACCAACUAGUGAACUCCCUCCCAGAUUGACAUCUAGGUUUGUCAAAGACUUAUAACGUUGAUGGAAGUCUUUCACUCUAAGUUUCAACUUUAUUUCUAGUAUUUUGUUGUCUUAACAUAAAGUCGUUGAAAUAGUGUGAACAAAAGUGAGUUGUCUCACAAUGCAAAUAUGAUGUGCAAAUAAAUCCUUCUACCCUAGCCUUAUUCUCCACUAAUCGUUUAACAUAUCUCAUGAAUAUAUAAAUCAAACAAAUAUGUUACGAUUGAUAAUUAUAAUUCACAAAAGUGAAGACUAAGAGCUCUUAUUAUUACCUUUCAAAUGGUACAUCCACCUAUACUGGACAUGUUCACCAAGUCUCGCUUCAUAAGCUAGAUGAACGGAGAGAUGUUCCAUAAAAUCAAAGAAUGUUGGGGGAAAUAUUCUUUCCAACUUACAGAGGAUGAUUGGAAUGUUUUGUUACAUCCUAAAAAACUUGAUGACUUUUUUACGACAAAUGUACCGUGUCAGAAGUAAUAAAUUUUUUCCUAAGGACGAAUAUCGAACUCACAAAGAACAGUUAAAUUCUCAAGUAUAAUAUUCACUAAAUAUAAGACAAUAUGUAAAAUUUUGUUGGAAAUGUUGUUUGUAUGGUGAACUUGCAAGAAAUUUAAUAAAGCAAAGUAAAAGAUUGGUAUGAAUCAAUUGAGAAAAUUGGGAUUGAGGUUCAUCCUUCUCACUCUUCUAUAUUUUUUUUCAAAAGAUGACAAUAUUCAAUCUUGAUUGAUAUUGAUGCACAUAUAAAAAUCAUUCAUAUUGAUUCCUCGCAUACAAAAUUAUUAAGAGAGUCUCCUAAAUAUUGAUUUCUCGCAUAUUUAUAAAAAAAUUUUAUCAUUAUGAACAGAUGUUAUAAAGAAAUUAACAUUUCAAAUUUAUUCUUAGCACUUAAAUAUGUUAAGAAUUAUCAUUUAGGUCAAAUCCUUUGAGAAUAAUUCAAGCUUUGAGAAUAAAAUGAUAAUACCAAUAUCAAUCAAGAAUUAAAUAUUAUAUAUAAUUACCACCUCAAUACAUAAGAGUUUAAACAAAUUACUCUCAAUCGCAAAGAGAAGAAUUAGCCACUCAUGUUGGUCAUUACAAUCAUGUAAAUCAAGAAAAGAAGAUCCAAGAUGUUUCUCCUUGACAACUGCCUUCUUUAGUGUUUUCUAUCUCUACUUAUUGGUUAUGCCUCAUGCUUCAUAUUUAACCUAGUUGGGCUUGGGCUAAGUGACAUCUCGCUUAAGUGAGUUAUUACUUGCUUAAGAGAGAUUGAUGAGAAAAAGCCCAACUUCACUGGAGUGAACUCGUUUGGGUGAGCCUUGGGUGAGUUCCUCUGGAGCGAUCUUGCUUGGGCGAGUUCCUCUAGAAUGAUCUUGCUUGGUUGAUUUUUGAGCAAGUUUGCAAUGUUCCAACUUUCCCUUUUUAUAUUGUACAUUCUCCUUUAGCCCUAUCAUCUCCAUUGUACCAUAGAAUCCUGAAAUUAACACAAAUUUGGGAAUAAAUCGUUUUUAUUUAUCUUAUAAUAACAAAAUGUGUAAAAAGGUUUAAAUUCCUAAAUUAGGAGUUGAAUUAUAGCUAUUUUAUCAAUAAAAAUCUAUAAAUUUCUAUCUUUUAAUAUGAAAUAUUAUUGAAAUAUGGCUUUUAUCAGUAAGGUCAUCCUCCUUAGGUGUUGUAGAACACAAAUCUUUGAAAUAAUGACUUACCUCGGUAAUGGGAUUUAGAACAUGAGUUGGUAACGCACUAAAUGCUAUAGGAAGUAGGCAUUCCAUGAAUAUAUGACAAUCAUGAGUUUUCAUCCCAAGCCUUCUUCCCCUAUUGACAAUAAUACAUCUUGGCAAGUUGGAAGAAUAUCUGUCAGGCAUCCUAAGAUCUUUUAGCCAUUGACACACAUGUUUUAUUUUACUCUAGGAUAAGUCUCAAAUCUAUUCCAAACUUGUGUAGGUGUCAACCAAGGUGGUGGAGGAUCCAUUGUCAACGUCCCCCUUGAACAAAUUCCUAUUUCUCCUAAAUACAUGAUGAUUCGGUAAAAAUCUAUGAUAUGAGUCAAACUAAGAAUUUCUCCCAAGAUAUAAUCUAAAUUCCUUUAAAUGUUACAUGCAAUAUGAGCAUGCAAAUUUACCAUGAGUUCCCCAACCAGACAACAUAACGUAAGUAGGAAAAUCAUUAAUUGUUCACAUUAACAUCACCUUAUCAUGAAGUUUUAUUUCCUCGAAAUAUUGUAUGUUAGGACUCCAUUCCAAAAUUUCUUUGAGUCAACUAUCAAGGGCUCUAAAAAAAUCAAUACCAACCUUUGGAUUGAAUGGCCUUUGUAUGAUACAACUAAAAAACAUGUUUAAACAUGUAUAUUUAUGGACGAUGAUUCUACAGGGUCACAAUAACUAGCCAACACGAAUAUGGUGCAUUCGAUGCCUGCGCAUAUGGGCUAAAAACAUCAGAGCAUAAACCCAAUCGAAUAUUGCGUGCCUCCAUAGAAAAACCGGGAUAUACUCUAUCAAAACACCAUUAUUGCUUAUGUUAUCAUAGUUCCAUGUCAUUUCUCCCACAGUCUGUGUUGAAGAAUGCAUUCCUUGUAACCUUGGAAUUAUUGGCAAAUAGAACAUUGCCUUUACAGGAACUAGUUUUUUGUUACUUUAUCCAAUGUUAUGGUGUCGAUACCUUGACUUAUGAAAAAACUUGCAUUCAAGGAACGCUCCAUUUUUAUCGUAUUCAUUAUCAUAGAAGAGCAUGCAACCAUCCACACAACAAUCAAUCCUCUUAGCAUUUAAUUUUAACUUUGACACUAACCUUUUUGCACCAUAAUAAACUUUAACCUUUAAUUUCAAUUGGAUUUGCAAGUUAAUAGCCUGACACACAUUGAUAAUUUGAAGUUUGAUGCCCCUUCAUACACUGACAUAUUUGCAUCCAACAAAAGUGUAUAAAAUCUUUCAGUUUUUUUAUUCAAAGGCUUUUCCAUGUUAUCUACAUUUGGUAGCUAGAAUGACUCUUGUUGCCUAAGAGCAUGAUUCACCAUCUAUGCCAUCGACAUAAAUUUGUCAUCUUGUGACUGGUUGUGUGCACAUCCAUUCCCAAACCCAUGCAAUUAUCAUCAUUAUUGAUAACACCUUCUACCAUGUGUUCUCCAUGAUCGGUCUAAAUCCAAUAAUUUGGCAUGAAACCAUAUUUGUAGAGGUGAACCUUGACAAGUCUUUCCUCCAAAAUCCUUGUGCAAUCACACUUACUACACGGGCAUCAAAUUCUCCCAUCAUUGUGAUAACAGUCUUGUUGGCAAACUUUGGUCAUAAACUUUUCAACUCACAGUAUAAAAGACUCUUUCAAGACACAUCUUAUUUUAUAUUGUACAUUCAUCCACAAUUUGAUGGAAAUUGAUUCAUAUUCUAUAUGUAAAACAAUUGACAAAAAGUCAAUCAAUUCAUUCAAUAGUGUUGAACAUUAAUCACUAUUUCCUACAUUCUUAUGUAUAUCAAUAUAAUGUUACUACAACAUUCAAUCACAACAAAAAUAUUUUGCAUGUUCAAUUCAAGACAAACAUGUUAAAGGUUUAGGUGACAUCACAUAACAAUUGAAACAAGAACCAAUGCUGAAUGGGGGCGAGGCUUUAAAACGCAGUGCAUAUAUAAAAAGCAUGGUGCAAAUAGAAAGGGGCAGUGAGUGAAAAUAUUGACAUGAUCGGGUUCAAAAAGUAAUUGAUACCUCGUGAAGAAAUAAAACAUUAAAAUGGCGUGAGCCCCAUUUUAGCUCUCUCUCUCUCUCUUGUUACCUGAAUCAUCCCUCACAUUCUAAUUCCAUGCAAUUUUUCAUGAAAGGUGCAGGGAGAAUGUUGUUGCAGUGCGUCAAUUAUUUUGUUGAACAAGCACUAAAUGUGCAUGAAUAUUGCAAUAUCGAAACUUUCAAAUCUGGUUUGGUGGCAACUUUGGAAUAAGCUAAAGAGAAGAAGCCAUGUGCCAUGUGGCAUAUGCCAUGAUAUUUUUUUCCAACACUUAUCUUUGUUGUUUGAGACUUGAAAUUCCACUAAAUAAAAUACUAUGAAUUAGUUAUGGGUUCGUAAAUAGCAGUGAUUACAUUAUAGACACAUGGUUUUCAAUGAGUGAUAGUAGUUCAAUUAAAAUACAAUCAAACAUUAACUAAAAACUCUACCAACAACCAAUCAAAACUAUAAUAUAUGUAACUGAAAAAUAGCUAAAAGUGAUAAAAUAUAUAACUACAAGAAGAAAGCAAUAAAAAAUAGUUAAAGCAAAUACACCUAAUGUACCGCCCUGGUAGUCGGAAAUGAUGACGUGGCAUCAAGCUAUGGUAUAGGCGUGUUGAUGGGACGCCUGGCUGGCGGAAGGGAAGGAAGUCGGGGGGCUCGUGUAGUCGUCAGUUANNNNNNNNNNNNNNNNNNNNNNNNNNNNNNNNNNNNNNNNNNNNNNNNNNNNNNNNNNNNNNNNNNNNNNNNNNNNNNNNNNNNNNNNNNNNNNNNNNNNCUGGAUGCAAGCCACGUGUCCAGGUGUGUAACUGCCAGGAGAGAGAAAGUGUCCAGGUAUAUAAGAGUUUCCCAACGAACUUCUGAGGUACGCACGUUCAGAUUGUCUUCUUUACGAUUGCGAGUCUUGAGUAUACUGAGAGAGAACAUUGCACGGUUCCUUGAGAGUUCUUGAGUGUUACUCUUAGUAAUUGGUGGUUCAGUCGCUGACUUGGGCGUCGGAGCGUGAUCGCCCGCAGCGGCGCCGUUCUGUUCUUUUGCAGGUUCUCGAGGUGGAUCGCGGUGAAAGACGGAGGCUGACACGGCGCACACGUCGAUCCAAGUUUGACGAGGCAAAGCUCCAGCGUUCUGGUCAACAGGAAGGAUCAUCAGGCGCCCACCGUGGGGCCGUGUAAAACCUGUUCCCAUCCACAGCGCGAGUUCUUGGAGGUUUCUGCAGAUUCUGUGUGGUUGUGUGCUGGUGCAACCAUUGUUCGCUGUUCAUCUAGGUUUUGUUCGGUGAUUUCGCGUUUUCCAACGUUCGUUUGGGUUCUUGUUCGGUGAGGUGAAGUUUUCUGCUGAUUGCGGGAGUUUCGUUCGGUGAGAUCUGAGUUCUUUGGCUCGUUUGGUUCUUCGUGGAAGAAGCAUUGGUUUUUGGUGGAGUUGUGGGUUUCUGUGGAGGUUUUCUGUGUUCUUGAGGUUUCUUUUGAAGUUUCGCGAAGUUCUGACCGAUUGAUCGUUGAAUCGAUCGUCGCUGAAGGAGGUGUUGUUCAUUGCACUCUGUGAUUUGCCAAGUUUUCAUGAGAAAAAUGAGAAGCAACCGUUCAAGUCCAGUUGCGCCCGUUGUUGCUGAAGGCGCCAUGACUAUGGCGCAGAUGGUGGAAAUCAUGCGUUCGUUGCAGGCGAAUGUGGAAGCCUCGCGUAUAGAGCAGGUGAGAAUGCAUGAGGACCUGGUCGCCUCUCGGGCCAGGAAUGACGAGCUUAGCAAAGUGACUGAAGAACUGCGUCAAGCUCUUCAGGAGCAGCGAGGGCGCCCAGUCGCUGAAGAGGUCGCGCCGUCAACGCCGCCUCGUGUUUUUCCUAUGCCUUUCGCUCAGGCGAUUACCGACACGCCUAUCCCUGCGAGUGUGGUACCUGUGAAGGCUGUUUUUACCGGCGUGGAGGAUCCUGAGGCACAUCUCACGACGUUCCAUACACAGAUGAUGCUGUCAGGAGGAUCAGACGCCGUGUACUGCAAGAUGUUUGUGAGCACACUCCAGGGAACGGCGCUGGAAUGGUUUGUGAGCCUGCCUACAGGUCACAUAACCAACUUCCAACAGUUUUCGAAAAUCUUCGUCGAGCAGUACAUCGUGAACAAGGCACUGCCCAGGGUGUCUUAUGAUUUGUUCGAUAUAAGGCAGUAUCAGGGAGAGUCCCUCAGGGACUACUUGAAUCGUUUUGGGGCGCAGAUGGUCCGCUCGCCAGCCAAAGAUGAAGAGAUGUUGGUCUACGCAUUCAAGAAGGGCGUGCUGUCGGGACCAUUCUGCGAGGCAUUGAUCAGGGCUCACCCUGCCACGUUUGCUGAGGUUAGGCGACUUGCGGUGGCCCACAUCGCCGAUGAGAGUGAAGUCGCCGAGAAGAGGGGCAGCGUGGCUCCCGCCAGGCCACGUGCCCAGACCAGGAUCCAUCCACAGAGGGUGNNNNNNNNNNNNNNNNNNNNNNNNNNNNNNNNNNNNNNNNNNNNNNNNNNNNNNNNNNNNNNNNNNNNNNNNNNNNNNNNNNNNNNNNNNNNNNNNNNNNGCGGCGGCCAGGAGGGAUCAGAGGACUCGCCAUCCUUAUGAUCCAAGGAAGAACAAGGGCAGGGGCCAAGGGCGCCCGCUACCAGCACGCCGGGAGUACAAUCGCCCGCCAAAGCACAAGUUUGUCAUGGGAUUGGCGGACCUGAUCGCCAUUCCCAAUAUAUCAGCUAGGUUGAAAGCGCCCGAGAAGGUGGGCGACAAGGUGCUGGGACCAAAGCCAAACGCCUGGUGUGAGUUUCACCAGGGCUUUGGCCACACCGUGGACUCGUGCUUGGCUUUAGGAUACCAGCUCGACGAUCUGGUCAAGAGCGGGUUCCUAAACGACUACUUGCUGGACAGAAGGACGGGGGGCGCGUCGAGCUCCCAACCAGCAGGUGGAGAGGCUCAGCAGCACGAGAUGCCUACACACGGGGAAAUCCACACAAUUGCAGGGGGUUUCUCGGGUGGUGGAUGCACCGCGUCACAAAGGAAGAAGUACGCGAGGUCUGUGAUGACGGUGGAUAUGUUUGAAGACCACUCGCCGGAUGUGGACAUUACGUUCACCAAGCAAGAUCUUCGGGACGUUGUGCCUCAUGACAACGACCCCAUAGUCAUCUCGCUGAUCACAGCAGGAAGGAAGGUCCACAGGGUUCUGGUGGACCAAGGAAGCUCGGCAGACGUGAUGUUCUGGCCGACUUUCACGCAGUUGGAGUUACCCCUUGACCAGCUGAGGCCCUAUGGAGGGUGUUUGUAUGGUUUCGCUGGUGACCAGGUGGAGGUCAGGGGGUACAUCGAGUUGAGGACUACGUUUCCAGAUGAGGCGGGUUCGAGAACAGAGAAAAUCAAAUACCUUGUCGUAAACGCCCCUUCAGCAUACAACAUUCUGCUGGGAAGACCCACGCUCAACAGAAUAGGCACUAUACCGUCGACCCGGCACAUGAAAGUGAAGUUGCCGUCUAUGGAGGGGGUGGUGAUCACCAUCAAAUCCGACCAGAAAGAAGCGAAGAAGUGCUAUGAGAAUAGCCUGAAGAACAAGAGGUCGGUGAGUUACGUGACAACCACCCCGCCUCCUGGUGUGAAGCCCAGACCGACGGUAAUGGAAGAGACCGCCAGAAGUAACGUAGUGAUGGUGGACGCUGAACUGGGGGAGGGGAACGCCGGUUUAGCGGAAGAAGAGGCAAGGAAUCGCCCUGAGGAAGCGAGGGAGCUGGGAAUCGCCAGGGCGGUGAUCGCCAGAGAAACCAGGCCAAAACCCGUCGAGCAGUGGCUCGAGAGAGAGAUCGGAGGAAAGAUCUUCAAGCUGGGAAGAUCUCUGGAGGUCGAGCUCCAGGACUAGAUCGCCAAGGUGAUAGAGCGGCAUCUGGAUGCGUUUGCAUGGUCCGCUUCGGACAUGCCCGGGAUCGAUCCCGACUUCUUGUGCCAUCAUUUGGCGAUGGACAACUUGGUGAGACCAGUGCGGCAGAGGAGAAGAAAGUUCAACGAGGAGAGGAGGCAGGCGAUUAGAGACGAAACCCAGAAGCUCCUCGCUGCAGGCCACAUCAGGGAAGUCCAGUACCCUGAAUGGCUGGCAAAUGUCGUACUGGUGAAGAAGAGUAAUGGGAAAUGGCGCAUGUGCGUCGAUUUCACUGAUCUGAAUAAGGCUUGCCCAAAGGACUCAUAUCCUUUACCAAGCAUAGACGCCCUGGUGGAUAGUGCUGCAGGGUGUAAGUUGUUGAGUUUCCUGGAUGCCUUCUCGGGGUAUAACCAGAUCAAGAUGCAUCCCAUGGAUGAAGAGAAGACUGCCUUCAUGACCGAGAGAUCGUGCUACUGCUACAAGGUGAUGCCAUUUGGGCUGAAGAACGCGGGGGCCACGUACCAGAGGUUGAUGGAUCGAGUACUUGCACCAAUGAUGGGAAGGAAUGUGCAAGCGUACGUGGAUGACAUGGUCGUGACCUCGCCAGAGAAAAGCAAGCACGUUGCGGACUUGGAGGAGUUGUUCACUACGAUCGCCAAGUUUAGGUUGAAGCUGAAUCCUGAGAAGUGCAUCUUUGGCGUGGAGGUUGGAAAGUUCUUGGGUUUCCUCUUAACUGAGAGAGGAAUAGAAGCCAACCCUGAUAAGUGUGCCGCCAUCUUGGCGAUGAGGAGCCCGGCCACCGUGAAGGAAGUACAACAGCUUACGGGUCGGAUGGCCGCCCUGUCUCGCUUCGUGUCGGCCAGCGGAGAGAAGGGCCAUCCAUAUUUCCAGUGUUUAAGGCGCAAUAACAAAUUUGCCUGGAUGAAGGAGUGUGAGGAAGCCUUCGUCAAGCUUAAGGAGUAUCUGGCGAGCCCGCCGGUUUUGUGCAAACCGCUGGUGGGAACCCCUCUCAGGUUGUAUUUUGCUGUAACUGAGAGGGCGGUGAGUGCGGUGCUCGCCCAGGACCAAGAUCAGGCUCAAAAGCCUAUUUAUUUUGUUAGUAAGGUGCUGCAAGGCCCCGAAACGAGGUAUCAGGCCCUGGAGAAGGCUGCACUGGCAGUAGUCUUUUCGGCGAGGAGGUUACGCCACUAUUUCCAUAGCUUCACGAUACUGGUAAUGACCGACCUGCCCAUCCAGAAGGUCUUGAAGAAGCCCGAUGUUGCGGGAAGGAUGGUGAAGUGGGCAGUGGAGCUGUCGGAGUUUGAUAUUAAGUAUGAGCCCCGAGGCCCGAUCAAGGGGCAGAUCUUCGCAGACUUCGUGGUCGAGCUCUCGUCUGAAGCAGCACAAGUUGAGGGGGAUGAUUUCCGUUGGGUGCUUUCAGUGGACGGAUCGUCGAACCAGCAGGGUAGCGGUGCUGGGGUCAUCUUGGAGGGGCCCAACGGCGUGCUGAUCGAACAAUCUUUGAGGUUUGCCUUCAAGGCCAGCAAUAAUCAAGCAGAAUAUGAGGCGCUGAUCGCCGGUAUCUUGCUGGCUAAGGAGAUGGGAGCCAGGGUGCUGAUGGCUAAGAGUGACUCGCUGUUGGUCACGGAACAAGUAACAGGCGAGUUCCAGGCUAAAGAUCCACAAAUGGCGGCUUACCUGGAGUAUGUACAGGAAUUGAAGAGCUCCUUUGUCUCCUUUGAAGUGGUGCAUGUGCCCAGAGAGCAGAAUGCCCGAGCUGACUUGCUAGCUAAGCUCGCCAGUUCAGGCAAGGGGGGUAGGCAGAGGACAGUGAUUCAAGAAACUCUGAAGACGCCGAGAGCAUUUGUGGCAGAUCACCUGGUUCUUCAGAUAAGCAAGUCGACAGAGAAAGCGGCGAGGAGUCACAGGUCUUUGACUCAAGAAACCUUGAGAUCGCCGAGAAUAAGAGCAUGUCGGGGGGAGAGGGUGAACAUGACGCAGGUCUGCGCUACGCAUGAGCCAGAUACCUGGGUGACGCAAUACAAACGAUGCUUGGCGGAUGGCCUUCUCCCGCUGGAUCCGACAGAGGCCAGGAAGAUAAAGAAGAAUUCUAGCAAGUUCACAAUGAUUGAUGGCGAGCUGUACAGGUUUGGGUUCACUCACCCACUCCUGGAAUGUGUGCAUGGCGAGAAAUGUACGAGAAUUAUGGCAGAGCUCCGUGAAGGGAUAUGCGGAAGCCACGUCGGGGGUCGAGCUCUGGCCGCAAGGACUCUCCGUGCAGGCUACUACUGGCCAACGAUGAGAGAAGAUUGCAAGAGGUAUGCGCAGUGCUGCAAGCAAUGCCAGCAGCACGCCGAUUGGCACAAGGCGCCUCCCGAGGAGUUAAAGUCGAUUUACAGCCCUUGGUCGUUUCAUACAUGGGGAAUCGACAUCUUGGGACUGUUUCCCCUGGCGAUCAGGCAGAUGAAGUACUUGGUGGUGGUGAUUGAAUAUUUCACCAAGUGGAUCGAAGCAGAACCAGUGGCCCAGAUCACCGCACACAAGAUCGAGGGUUUCGUGUGGAAGAACAUUGUGUGCCGGUUUGGUGUGCCCAAGCGCCUGGUGUCGGACAAUGGGACCCAGUUUGCAAGUCACCUGUUGAAGAAGCUGUGCGAAGGGGUGGGAAUUCAACAAGUAUUUGCAUCCGUCAAGCACCCUCAGACGAACGGCCAAGUAGAGUCAGCCAAUCGGGUGUUGCUAAGAGGUUUGAAGAGAAGGCUAGAGAAAGCCAAAGGAAGUUGGGCUGAGGAGGUACCCCAUAUAGUCUGGGCGUACCACACCACCGAGCAGUCAGCAACCCAUGAGACCCCGUUCAGCUUGGUCUAUGGGUGCGACGCAAUGAUUCCAGUGGAGAUCCAGGAGAGCUCGCCGAGAUUCCAGAACUUCGUGGAGGAAGACUCGAAUGAGGAGAGAAGGUUGAACCUGGACCUACUGGAUGAGGUCAGGGAAGAGGCGAGAUUGAAAGUUGAGGCGGUGAAGAGAAGGAUUGAACGAAGAUAUAACUCGAAGGUGAUGCCAAGACAGUUCAGAGAGGGCGACCUGGUGAUGAGGAAAGCCCACCAGUACGAGAUGGAGAAUAAGCUGUCGCCUAAGUGGACGGGACCGUUCAGAAUAACCGAGGCGCUCGGGAACGGCGCCUACCGCUUAGAAACAUUGGAAGGAGGGGCGAUUCCUCGCAUUUGGAACGCCACGCACCUCAAGUUAUAUUACAGUUAAGAACUUUGUAAGUAAAACAAACACGAAGAGCUUUACAAUGUUUCUGUUAAAACAGUUUGAAGGGGGCACUCUUCUUUCCCUAAGGAGGGUUUUUAAUGAGGCCACCCAAUAGAGAAGAUUUUUCAAAGCUUAAAGUUGUUUUAGAUUGCAUGCUUUCUAAAAAGUUUCUAAGUCCCCAUCGUCUUUCGACGAUUGGCGGCAUCAGUUAAAGUUAAAGUCCUCAUCGUCUUUCGGCGAUCGGAGGCACCAGUUAAAAGACCUCAACGCCCUCGCGCGUCCUGAGGCGAGAUAAAGACCUCCUCGCCGUCGAGCGAGUGCAGGUGAGGAAGAGUAAAAAGUCCUCAGUGUUUCUGGGGGAGAGAAGAUGUAACCCCUGGGGCAAUGUAGAGGCACCAGUAAAAAGUCCUCAGUGUUUCUAGGGGAGAGAAGAUGUAACCCCUGGGGCAACGUAGAGGCACCAGCAAAAAGUCCUCAGUGUUUCUGGGGGAGAGAAGAUGUAACCCCUGGGGCAAUGUAGAGGCACGAGUUAAAGACCUUCUCGCCGAUGAGCGAGUUCAGGCGAGUUAAAGACCUUCUCGCCGAUGAGCGAGUUCAGGCAAGAGAAAAUCCUUCUCGUCUUGAACGAGUUCAGGUAUGGUGUGAAGGGUGGAAGAAGUUUGGAGGGUGGCUAAGGUAGGUUCGAAGAGAACGCCUAGCCACCCGGUCUCUUGUUCUGAAGCUCAGGGAGGUAGAGAAGGAUCCGAAAGGCGCCUCUACCCCUAGAUAAAGGAACAAUGGCCAAGUUGUGAAGCCAGAAGGAAGCUGAUGUCGCCAAGAGUCUUUGGUGACCAGGAGAAAUUCAAGCAAUAGCGAGAAAGUCAAGACCCGCUUUGAUAAGGCAGAUCAGAUGAGCGGUGUCUUAAGCCAUUAGUUGAGUUGAAGUUCGUUAUUUGAAGAGCGAUUUUAUGCUAAGGUUCAUUACCUUGAAGUUACAAGUUGUUAGAGUGUUAUUGUUUGAAAGCUGAUGGUUCGUAGCGGGUAGUAUAUAAUUGCGCUUACGAAGUUACUAAGUUAAUUUUGUUGAAGUGAAUUAUGCAAGAAGAGAUAAAGCAGACAGAGAAUUAUAAGAAGAAGUACAAAGACUUUAUCAUAAGGUAUAAUCAGUUCAAGAUACAUGUACAAGAAAAGAGAAAGUUUAUUACAAGGUAGGUAUAUCUAAAGGAGAAAGCAUAAGAAUCGUGGAUGGAGGGAAGCAAUCAGUCUUCAGAAGGAACAACCUUCCCGUCCACCACCUCGUUGUUGAGAGACACCAUGGAAAGGUCCAAGUCGGGGUACAGGCAGGCGAACUGUUCCCGGGCGGCCUCGAAUCCAGCAGCGAGAAUCUGGGCAGAGCUCAGCUCAAGUUCUUCAAUCUGUUUCUUUAGCCCCUCGUUCUGCUGCUUCAGCUCUUCAGCUUGUUUCUUGAGUUCUUCAAUUGUUUCCCGAGCUUGAAGAAGGUCUUCAGUAACCUUCUUGGAUUCCGCCUGCACCUGGGCCAGCUCUGCGGCGAUCUUCCCGUUUUCUUCGUUGGCUUCGGCGAGCUUGGCCAUGGUGUCGUCUCUCUCCUUUUCCACCUUCCCCAAGAAGACCUCCCGAUCGGCUGACCUUUUCUCGAGGUUCUUUACCUUGGCGGCGUCUGCUUUGAUCAACGCCUCCAGGUCAGCCACUUUGACGCGAUAGGGUACCAGCUUGCUCUCCAGCUCAAUCUUCUCUUGAGCCAAGAGCUACACCUUAUGGCGUAGAUCGGUGGCCUCCUUGCGUGCCACCCGGAGCUCAGUGCUCAUAGCAUCUUCCACUCGGGAGUGAUCGAUCUCGGCGAGCGUUAGAUUGCAGGAUAACCUCUCCGCCUCAAUCCUUAUGGUGCGAUUCUCCGCUCGGAGUGUGAAGAUGUCAUCCUGGAGCUUCUUGGUGGAACUCUCCACAGCUUUGGAUAUGAUGGAGGGGAAAUCCUCCGCCAUCAUCUUCAGUUUUGCUGAGAAGGGCUCCCACACCCUUUUGACCUCAAGAGAGAGGUUUGCUUGUGGAGGCACUGGGGGGGCUUGUUGUUGGUUCUCGCCGCCACCUUCUUGAGUUGGUUGUGGAAUGGGUGCUUCUUGGCGUGGUGGCGACGUCGGGGAUUCAGUGAUGAGGAUAGGCGAAUUGUGAGCACCCUCAUCCCCGACUGGUGCAGCAUUUGCGGUUGAGGCGUUUGAAGGAGGACCCCCUCCAGCUGAUACAUAGGGCGUGGAGGCGCUCGGGGGGUUCUCCAUGAAGUUGGGCUCGGCGGCCUCAACCACAGGAAGUGCGGACGCCAGAGGAACUGCUUGGGCUGGCGAGGUGGGAGCUGGGGCAGGAAGCAGUGUUGGAGGUGGAGCCGGUGUGGAAGGUGGUGUUGAUGUUGGAAGAGGAGGUGGAGCAGAGGGUGAAGAAGGCGCCACCCUCUUCCUCUUGGUGAUAAGGCCAUCUUCAGUCGCCUCAUCGUCUUCUUCGUCAUCCUCUUGGACCACCUGAGGGGUUUUCCUCUUUGGCUUCCUGAGGAUGAGCUUUUUGCGCUGAUUGGCGGGCUGGGCCUCGGAAGGAGCUGGGCCUUUGGGGGGCGAUCUGCCCUGUGCGGCGGCAAUCUCCACCACUGAGUUUGGCACGGUUUGGGAACCCGACGCCAACCCAUGGGUUCGGGCGAGUGCCCUCAACUCAGCCAGCUUUCCCUUGCCCAACAUGAGGUCUGCAUAAUGCAAAGGAACAUGGGUCAGCUUAGAGAGAAAGAAAAAUGCAUAAGUCAGUAUGCAAGAAAAGGAGAUAAGUGGUGCAGAAAAUAAAACCAAAGUCUUGUGCACGGCAGACAAGANNNNNNNNNNNNNNNNNNNNNNNNNNNNNNNNNNNNNNNNNNNNNNNNNNNNNNNNNNNNNNNNNNNNNNNNNNNNNNNNNNNNNNNNNNNNNNNNNNNNUCGAGUUGAUCUUCGAAUAAACUCGAAGGAGAUGAGCGCAGUGGUAAGGAAAGUGAUGUUGAGAUCUGCCACGCUCUUCCAGAAGAGGCACAGAUCUUUGUCCAAGGCUCCCAUGUUGUCGGGGCUCCUUGGCCUCCUGAAGCUUCCCUUGGACUCUUUAUUCCCCUUGUUUACCCAAUACAAGGGGAAGCCGUCGAGCAGCGAGGCGUCCUUGUCGUUUGGGCGCACCUGGACAAACUUGCCUUUCCAAUCCUUGUAGGAUUGCUGGAAGAUAGAGAAGAUCGACCUUCCAGCAAUCCUGUUCAGACUCACCCACAGGCGAUCUCCCGGGUGUUUAGCUUCAAACAAGAAGAGAAAAACGUCCACUGACGUUGGCAGCCCCAAAUGUGCGCACAUGAUUUGGAACGCCCGCACGAAUGCCCAGCUGUUGGGAUGGAGCUGGGCGGCGGCGAUGUCGAGCUCGGUGAGUAGCUCCCUUUCAAAACGAGUGAAGGGAAACCUAAGUUUCACCUUCUUGAACAGGGUGGUGUAUACGAAGCAAAACAACCCGCCGUUGUUCCCUUUGUCGUCGGCGCACACUGGCAUGUCGGGGGGGCAAGGUAGCACCAUCAUCUUGUCGUCAUGCUCCUUGUGGAACGACAGGUGAGGCUCGUCCCCUUUCUUCAAUCGAAGAACUGCCCCAGCAGAGUUUACUGAGGAGGUUUCCUUCAACAAGGUCGGGGUGGCCCAUGGGUAUAAUUUUUUGAAGUCUGGGAAGGAACGAAGGCUCCUUCGGCGACAGGUGGAGUAGCCUGAGCCAGGUUAGGGCGGGAGGUUGCAGGCCUCUCGGCCUGGGAAGAAGAAGCACCAAGUGCUCGCGGUGGGUUGUGAGCUUGGGAUGAAGGGUUUCGUGACGAGGGAGGAGGAUUUGGGGUGAUCUUUGAGCGAGCCAUCGCGGAAGCUGCAAAGGAAAAAGAAAAGAAAAGGUGAUCAGGGUUCGCAGAGGCUGACUCGAUCGUGAAAGAAGGGUGAAAAACAAACGAACGAAGGUUUGUUGUAACGAAGACGAAGCCCUAAGUUACGAGAAAGGAGAAAUAGAAGAAACAGCCCACAGCGUAUGCACCAGACAGUUAAUGGAUGAUGCGAAUCGGUUAAAAUGCAGGAGAAAUCAGCAGGAGAAGUAAAGGGAGUACCUUUUUAUGAUCGGAAGAACGAUGAAGGAAGUUGAGGAUUCAGGAGGUUGAAGAGCGUCGUGAGCUUUUGCAGAAGAAACUUGAAGCGUUUGAGAAAGCAAAGAGUGAUGGAACAGUAGAAGUGAAAUGGGUUUAAGGGUUUUUCGAAUGGGUUUUGGAAGCGCAAACGUCAAUUAAAGGUAACCGUUGAUGGAGCCACGUGUCGAGCGAUUGGAGGAGUGUUUGGUGGAGCGUCAGGAAAGCAGAAAGUACAACCGCUUGGAAUUCUGCGCCAGCGCCACGUAUAUCGGUAUUGACGUGACUCCUUUAGUCUUUUCGCUGGACAAGUCUUCGCUUAAGACUGGGGGGCUUGUGUACCGCCCUGGUAGUCGGAAAUGAUGACGUGGCAUCAAGCUAUGGUAUAGGCGUGUUGAUGGGACGCCUGGCUGGCGGAAGGGAAGGAAGUCAGGGGGCUCAUGUAGUCGUCAGUUAUUAAGUUGGCGUGCUCCGAUCUCCAGCACACCAGAACCGGCGGUCACCGGGUUGAAGAUGAAGUCGCCAGAUGUAAACCCAGGCGACCAAGUAAUUAGAGAUCUCUGAAACAAGCACAUCAUCGAAGAUGAAGGUGGUGCAGAUCAUGAAGGCGGCCGACGAAACCACAGGGAAGGUGCGUACGAAGGCACCCGAACUCGCCAUCCAGAAGAGAUCACGCUCCAAGACAACUAUGCACUGAGUAGUAUCAUGCAUAAGUAACUUAGCCAAAGGAGAGUCAGAAGUAGCGCCCAAGUCAAGGAUGCUCCAGAUGAAGACACGUGUACAGCUGGAUGCAAGCCACGUCUCCAGGUGUGUAACUGCCAAGAGAGAGAAAGUGUCCAGGUAUAUAAGAGUUUCCCAACGAACUUCUGAGGUACGCACGUUCAGAUUGUCUUCUUUACGCUUGCGAGUCUUGAGUAUACUGAGAGAGAACAUUGCACGGUUCCUUGAGAGUUCUUGAGUGUUACUCUUAGUAAUUGGUGGUUCAGUCGCUGACUUGGGCGUCGGAGCGUGAUCGGCCGCAGCGGCGCCGUUUUGUUCUUUUGCAGGUUCUCGAGGUGGAUCGCGGUGAAAGACGGAGGCUGACACGGCGCACACGUCGAUCCAAGUUUGACGAGGCAAAGCUCUAGCGUUCUGGUCAACAGGCAGGAUCACCUAAGAAAAUAUGUAAUGGCAUACCUUAGUGCUCCUAGACUUUUACAACUGGACAAGCUUUCAACCCUUUUUCUUUUCUGACAACAACAAAUGUUUUUGGUAUAAAUAGCAUAACUAACAUGCUUGAAAUUGAAUAUUUAUAUAUAAUAAAUUGAAAUAAUAUUAUAAGUGUGUUAGAUUCAGGUAAUGGACUUAGCUAGCCUACAACUUGCUCACUAGACCAUGACAAAAGAUUUAAAUUGUUAUUAAUUAAUUAAUCAAUCAAUUUAGUGUAAUGCAUGCAUCUGGUGAAAGUUUUGCCCCUUAAAUCUUAGAUGAUGUUCAAUUUUGGUUUAGGUUGUAAAUGCUAUUCGCUAGAGUCUUUUAAUAAAAUAGUAAAUAUUAUAAUCAGUAGUGAAGCAACAUGUGAACAAUACCAGAGUAAGGAAUCUCCAAUUGGGGUACACUAAAAACACCAAACCACAGAAAACAAAACUAGUGAACAAACCCCAUGGAUGACUUUCAGAUGGGAAAAGAAACAAAAAAGACAAAACGUCCGGGCAUUAAAUUACACCGGCAUUCCUGAGUUAUGGUCACUCCUACAUCAUACACACCUUAUUAAGGUGGUCAAAAUCCAGAUCUUACUUAGAUUGGAAACAUAACCAUAAAUCUUAAAAUAGGAAAAACCUACAAAUUUUAUGAAAAUAAAGUACAUCGGUAUUUCUGAGUUAUGGUCACUCCUACGUCAUACACAUCUUAUUAAGGUGGUCAAAAUCUAGAUCUUACUUAGAUUGAAAACAUAACCAUAAAUCUUAAAAUAGGAAGAUCCUACAAAUUUUAUGAAAACAAAGUACAUCGGUAUUCCAUUGUUGGAAAUUGUGUUUUUUAACUGCAAAUAAAUGCACAUAAGUGCACGUGAUAUUUUAUUCUUCUGUUUUAAUUAUGUUUUAAUUGUUGAUUUAAUAUUUCUAGGUAACUGCUCAUAAAAUCAUUUAAGAGUUAGUUACUGCAAGUACUAUAAAUGUAAUUGUUAGCAAAGAUAAUAAAAUAUCUUCAUCUGAUUUAUUCUAAAAAACCAACAAUUGGUAUCAGAGUUAUCUUCUUGAGGGAUCUGUGAGGUUAGUAUAGUGCAUCAAUGGAAGGAGGUUUCAAUUUUUCAACAAUGGCACCACCUGUCUUUGAUGGAGACGAUUAUCAAAUGUGGGUUGUUCGUAUGGAGACCUACCUAAAAGCAUUGGAUUUAUGGGAAAUUGUAGAAGAGGACUAUGAAAUUCAAUCCCUUCCAAAAAACCUUACCGUGGCAUAAAUAAAAUCAAAGAAGGAAAAGAAGAUGAAAAGAUCAAAGGCAAAAACAUGUCUAUUUGCAGCUAUAUCUCCUAUGGUAUUCACAAGGAUAAUGUCCUUGAAUUCAGCAAAAGAAAUCUGGGAUUACCUCAAGGCCGAAUAUGAAGGUGAUGAGAGGAUUCGUGGAAUGCAAGUGCUAAAAUCUAAUCAGGGAGUUUGAACUGCAGAGAAUGAAUGAGUCAGAAUCCGUAAAAGAGUACUCUGACAGACUUCUAACCAUUGCCAACAAAGUGAGGUUGCUUGGAUCUGUGUUAAAGGAUUCAAGAAUUGUGGAAAAACUGCUUGUAACAGUUCCAAAGAGGUUUGAAGCCACCAUAACAACCCUAGAGAACACAAAGGACCUAUCAAAAAUUUCUAUUGCAGAGCUCUUAAAUGCUUUACAGGCACAAGAACAAAGAAGAGCCAUGAGACAAGAUGGAGCAAUAGAAGGAGCCUUAACAGCCAAACAUGAAGGUGGCUAGAGAAACAAAGGUAGCAAAAUCAAGCAGAACCAGCAAGAAAUGGAGAAGUUGCUGCACACAAUAACAACAAAAGGAGAAAUUACCCUCCUUGUAAGCAUUGCAACAAGUUAGGUCAUCCACCAUUUAAGUGUUGGAGAAGACCUUAUGCUAAGUGCAACAAGUGCAAUCAACUUGGGCAUGAAGCAGUCAUUUGUAGAAACCAAGGUGAGCAACAAGAUGUAAACCAAAGUGAGCAACAAGAUGUAGAUGCUCAAUUUGCAAAUGAGAAGGAGGAUGUACUUUUCGUUGCAACUGGUUUCUCCAGCAUUAUUUCAAGUGCAUCUUGGCUAAUUGAUACUGGAUGCACAAAUCACUUGACUUAUGACAAAAAACUUUUCAAGGAGUUGAAGCCUUCAAAAUUUUCAAAGGUCAAGAGAGGCCAUGGGGGUCACAUUUCAAUAAAAGGAAUAAGAACCCUUGUUGUAGCAACACAUUCAGGUACUAAAAUUAUUACUGAUGUGUUAUAUGUACCUAACAUAGACCAAAAUUUAAUAAGUGUUGGUCAGUUGCGGCAAAAAGGCUUCAAGGUGUUUUUUGAAGAUAACCAUUGUUUGAUCAAGGAUGCUAUCGGACAAGAUUUGUUCAAGGUACAAAUGAGAGGCAAAAGUUUAUCAUUAGAUCUAUUUCAGGAGGAGUCGUCUGAUCAAGGGCUUCUCAAGAUGCAAAAAUCUGAAAUGGAAGAUGAUCCACCAAUUAAAGGCAAUCGCUCUGACACAUAUCAUAGAUGUAACAUUGCAGUAUGUGAACCUACGGAUCACAAAGAACCUGCUGAUCACAAAGAAGUUAUCAAUGACCCAAAGUCGAAAAAGCAAUGGAGGAAGAGGUGUAUAUGAUUGAAAAGAACAAAACACGGGAGCUUGUUGACAUACCUCGAGAUAGAAAGGUACAUCAAAUGUAUGUCAAGUCAACAUUCCUAAAUGGAUUCCUUGAAGAAGAAAUAUAUGUUGAGCAACCUAAAGGUUUCAUUGUGGAAGAAAAAGAAGACAAAGUUUAUAAGUUGUCUAAAGUUAUUUAUGGCUUAAAAGAGGUUCCCAGAACAUGGUAUAACCGAAUUAAUGAUUAUCUUAUCAGCUUAGGCUUUGACAAAAGUCUUUUAGAAUCUGCACCUUAUGUCAAAUCAAAAGGUGUUGAAUGGAGAUUAAGCAAAGCGAGGAUGAAAGAAAAAAUAAAUUGCAAAUUUGCUUACCAAGUCACUUCCAACCAACAAAUUGGAAUUUGCAGUUCAAAAAAUCAAGGAGUAGUGUUGGAAAUUGUGUUUUUUAACUGCAAAUAAAUGCACAUAAGUGCACGUGAUAUUUUAUUCUUCUGUUUUAAUUAUGUUUUAAUUGUUUAUUUGAUAUUUUUAGGUAACUGCUCAUAAAGUCAUUUAAGAGUCAGAUACUACAAGUACUAUAAAUGUAAUUGUUAGCAAAGAUAAUACUAUAAAUGUAAUUGUUAGCAAAGAUAAUAAAAUAUCUUCCUUUGAUUUAUUCUAAAAAACCAACAACUAUAAAUCUUAAAAUAGGAAGAUCCUACAAAUUUUAUGAAAACUAUACACAAAUAUAAAAAAAUUAUAUCUUACUUAAAAUUCAUAAUUAAACCUCAUAAUAUAUAAAAGAGUACAUAAUUAAGUGUAAAUGUCUCAUUCUAUGAUAAGAGUAACUAUUUACUAGUUACAAAACAUUGAGAAAAUAAUAAUCUAUCUAAACCAAAUAAUUUUGUAAGUUAAAUUCUUAUUCAUCUUCAUGAUUUCCAUCUCCUUCAUCAUUUAAAUCAGUCAUGUCUAAGUCAUGACUAUGUAAAGAUUCAUCAUCCUAUGCUUCGAUUGGAACCAAAUUUUCAUCCAAAUCAAAUGUUUCAUUAUGCUCAUGCUCAUCUUCCAUAACCCACUCGUCAUCAGAUGAACAAUCAUCAAUAUUAAUUUGAGUUGGUUUUCUUGUUUGCUUCUUCUUAGCUAAUUUUGAAAUAGCCAAAACAAAAACAACAUCAUUUAUUGUGCUUUGCUUUAUCCUAUUUCUUCUCUUUGUGUGGACCUAAACAAAUGUAAAGACAAAUAUUAUAAACAAUUAGGGGAUUAGUAGAGUACUAAUUUUAUUCUAGAGAUAUAUUUUAACAUUAACUUACCAUCUCAAAGGAAUUCCAGUUAUGCUCACAUCCAAAAGAGCUACAUGUCAAGCUCAAUACAUGAAUGACAAUUUUUUGGCGUUUUGGAUACUCAUCACCAUAAGACUCCCACCAAUUUGCUAGAGUCUUUAAAUUGAUUAACCUAGUAGCCAAGGGACAACCAAAAAUUUUUGCUCGUUUUUUGAAAUCAUCAAUUUGAAUAUCAAUGAGAGUUUGUUCAUCCUUAUCCUCCACCAUCCUAGUUAUGCAUUCCAUUAGACCUUGUUUCACUUUCAAAUUUGCUCUAAAUCCAAAAUGAUAAUGCAUUUGAAGGUUAAGAAAAUAGCAUGCAACAUGCAAAGGCCUAUGGAGUUAUUUGUCCCACCUUUCAAAAAAUGAUGUUCCACAAAGGGAAAUAGCUAACCAAAAUAUAUUACAUUGAGUUAGUUUUUUUUUAAUUUCAAAAUCACUAUUUCGUUAAAUAAAUACAUAAAAUACCUUUUUUUUGACACCAUUGAAAUCCUUUUCUAUCUUCUCUUUAGCUUGGUCCAUUGCUUUAUAAAUGAAACCCAUGAAUGGCUUUUGAUCCGAAUCAACCAAUCAAAGCACUUCAAUGAGAAGUAAUGCACCCUUCAAACAUGUUAUGAUAUUCUUCCAAAAAUUCUGGUCUAAAACUACAUCUUCAAUUGUUUUCCAUCAUUUGUUUUAGCAAACCUACUAGACUUUCAUUCAUCACUAGUAAACAUUCUAAUUAAACCUCCUUUAUUCUCAUGGAAGCACCCUAAUGUUAAGUAAGAUGUAGUAAAGCAAGUAAUACAUGGCCUUACCAAAUGUUUUCCUUUUGUGAAAUGUUGAAGUAGAGAUAUUAAAGAAGAUCUUGAAUAGAUAAAGGUAGUAACUUUUUUACCUUUUGGAAUGGUCUCCUCGUGGAUUGAUAUUUUCUUGUCAUAAUCCUCCAACAUUAUUAAUUCAACACAAUGUGCAGCACACGGUGUCUAAAACAACUUUUUUUCUCUAUCAUCAACAUUUGACCAGUAGCUUUGUGUUGUAUUAUCGGUCACAACUUGAAUGAUAUAGUCUUCGCCCACCUAUUCAACAAUGUUAUCCAUCAUCUCAAAAAAUUUAUCUAUUGUUUUAGAUAUAGUAGAUGCAUCUAUGAAUUUUGGAACUACAAUCCCCUUUGGGAUAUUUACCAAGAAGUUUAUUAUUGUCCUUCUUUUCUUAUCAGUCCAACCAUCAGUCAUACAUCCCAUUUUCUUCCAUUUAUCCCUAUGUGAUUGUAGAGCAAGUGAUGUAUUUGCAACUUCCUCCUUCAAAUAUUUGAUUCUAAUUUCAUGAUAGGAUGGAGGUUUAAAUCUAAGAUCAUGUCUUGAAACCAAAUCAAACAUAGCAAUGCAUUCUUCACUCUUUGCCACAUUGAAAGGUAUAACAUUGUUAUAAAAGAACUUGGCAAUUUCUUGACAUUCCUCCUCUAUCAGACCUUUUUAUAAACAUGUUAAUGGUAGCUUGUCUAUUCUUAAAAAUAUUUAUGUCACUAGGGUUGUUGCUCAAAUGAGUGGGCUCCUCCUCACUGUUUUUUUCUUUUCUCACCAGUUUUUGCCAUUUCCUCAUCAUCCAUAUUAAAGCUUGAUUUCUUAUGUUGCAAACCAACAAAAAUUUCCCAUAUUUCCUUUUUAACUUCAUUAGGAGCAACCUGGCAUGCUCCAACAUCCUUUCGAGUACCAGCCAAGUGAUGCUUCAAUCAAUAAACUACCCCUAUUAAUACAUUUUGAUAGUAUUUGCAUUGAAGUUUUCUAGUAUCCCCAACAACUGAGAUACAAUGCUUCCAAGCAAUAUCACUUCUAUUUCCUGAAGCAUUUUUGGGAGUCAUCAUCACGGGUAUAGAAGUCAUUUUAAUGAUGAAUUUGGGACUGCAGUUUGGGUUACAAUGAAAAAAAUAGAGGAAAAACGAAAACUGCACUUUAGUUGCAGAGAGAAAAACAAAGGAAGAAAAAAAAUCACACUUUGAAAUGCAGUGCAUGUACAAUGAAAUUAGAUAGAUUAGAGAAGGGGAAAGCAGGAGUCAUGAGUUUUGAUUGAAACCAAUCACUAUAGUGAGAAAGUUGAAAGGGAAGGAAACAAUUAAUUGAUUUAAAAAAUUUAAUUACUGUUGGAGAAGUUGUUAGGUUUUGUUUUACUUAUUAGGUUUUGUUUCAUUUCAUUGUGCAGUAAGUAAGUGGUUUCGUUUAACUAUGUAGUAAGUCAGUAGUCUUGUUUCCCUUAUUUGGGUUUUUUAUUUAAUUGGGCCCAUCUGUUGCCUCCAUCUUAAACAUAAAGAAGCGUUGCAUGUAGACGAGUGGUUGUGAGGAACGUUGCGAGGUGUGCCACUGCGAAAACGACCACGAAAGGUGUCGCGAGAACUGUGAGAGAGGCAAUUUGCAACAUCGAUCCCACAUGAUCUGCUAGAAUUGUAGUUUUCUGGUGAUUGCAAAAUGAAAAUAUGACCAUAUGUACGAUCUUACGAUGCAACUUGCGAUUUGACUACCAUGCACCCUGCAACAUUUUUCCUUGACAAAGUAUGGAUUCAAGAUUAUGUAGCAUUUUUUUACAAGGCCAAACAUUAAGAAUAGUACCAAACUAAUGUGCAACAUCAUUUUAUACACUCUAGUCUCUAGAGACAUUUUUUCUCUUCAUUGUAUAUUUUAUCAAUUCUAACUUUUUUUCUUAGGAUUGUCUUUCAUGUAAGCUUCAUGAUUAGCCAAUAUCCUUUGGGCUACAAUGGUAGUAGUAAUAUGCUCACUCACGAUCUCAUUUGAGUGGAUUCCAAUUAGAAGAAAAUAUGCAAGCUCCCUAGCCCUCUUAAGUAUCUCAACAUGUGUAUGUGUAUGUGUCUCUUCUCUCUUUUUCUCUCUUUCCUCUUUUGAUUCAUAUGGUAGUUUUUUUCAUAUGUAGCCUUAUCUAGGUAACUUUAUAAAAUUUUAAUAAAAAAGUAUGCUCAAUUAUGAUUCGACUUUGAAUGGUUGAGUUAGGCUUAAAAUUUACUUCUUAAUAUGGUAUUAGAGUCAUUUAGAGUCUAUCCUAGCAAAAGUUUGUUGGAUUUAUCAAGUCACCCGCUAUCGAGUCACUAUCGGACCACAAUAUUUAGUCUCACGCACAAUUUGGUAGGUCUCGAUGUGAGGGGGAUGUGUUGGAGAUCUCACUUCGAUUAAAGAUAAAGACAUUUCAUAGUAUAUAAACUUGUUUUAUAAGGUUGAGUUAGGUUUACAGUUCACUUCUUAAUGAUAAUAUAGGCAACAAACUAAUAAUAGCCAAAGGUUGACCAUAGUAAUAUUACACAAAUGCAAGAAAAAAUUCCAAAGUGCCUAAUGCUUUUUACAUCGCCAACAAUGGUAGGUAUUUCCAUUAUAGCAAACAAAGCAUAAAAAUAGAAUAAAUAAUAUGAUCAAAACUAAGAAUGGGCUUCCCCUAUUUUCUAUGAACAUAUAUUUCAAAUUUUUCACCCCAAAUCAUUGUAAUUUCCUAUUACACUAUAGAUCAGAUUUUUUAGAAGUUUUGAAUUGUUUAUACAAAAUUUCACCACCAAAACUUUAAUCGUUAACAUGCAUAUACAUUUAAAAAUGUAAUUUAUCUUUGAAAUUGAGCAAGCAUACAUAUAGAACCAGAAAUAGCAUCUUUUAUAUCUUGACAAAUAGUAAAAAUUUCCUCAUUUUUCUAAUGAACCAACUUUGGUACCUAAAUCUUCAUUUACUUCGUAUCCUCCACCCAGUGGUAGAUCUCAACAAGCUUCUCCAAGUUAUAAUACACGGAGCUUAAACAUUCCUUGCCUAUAUAAAAGAACACCAAAAGAAUAUCUAAGUUUAUACUUAUAAACUUACCUAUAUGUUCCUGUCAUUUAUAAUAAGUUAGAUUCACACACCAUAAACUAAAGGUUUUUGGGUUGAUGGAGUAUUGUGGUGGAUCUUAUUUAUUUAAGAGAUUCAAGUUAUUGACUGAAUGAAAAUUGUGCUUUCAAAAAUCAAUUUUCGCACUUUCUGGAAAUGUAAAAGCCUUUUUUAAGAAAGGUUUUCAAAAUACGUUUUUAUAAUCCUAUUUAACAAAUAGUUAUGUUAUUUUUAAUGGAUUAAAAACUUGAUUCAACCAAUUGAUUGGACUUAAAGUGAAAAUAGUGGAUUAAUUAAAAUUUUUAAUAAGUUAAAACCAUAACAAUAACAACAUCCUUAAAACAAACAUAUUUCAUUAACAAAUUAAACAUCUCUACACCCAACACAAAGUUAUGAACAUUUUAAAAAUAUUUCAAAACAUGAUUCUUGGAGUUUCAUAUAUGAUCUUCAAAACACUUUCCAUAUUUGAUGAAGACAAAUCACUAAUCUUUUAGUAGACGAUGUACCAUAGUAGAUGAUGGACUAAACGCAAAUUAUAUACUAUACUAGUAGUAUGUAGUCAAAUGAUACCAAUACCAAAUAUUAGGCAAUAGAUGAUCUAUUAAGAAGCAACAAAUCAUAUGAAAUAACUAGACUAAACAAACAUCACUAGUGCCAUACAAACCAUACAAUUAAGUAACUAAAACAAACAAGUGGAUAAAGUUGCAAACACAUCACACAUAAGUUAUUCUUCAAAAAUAAAAACAACAACAAAAUUAGAAGUAUGGAACAUAUAGUCAUCCAAAAUGGUAAGCAAAUGAAAAUGCAUGUUUAUCAUUUGCAUAAUGCAGCUCAACAAGUUGCUCUUAAACAACUUUAAUUUGUUCAACCAGAUGUUGAAACUUGGCUGCAUGUAACUCAUAAUGUUUUCUUUUAUCACUAACCAUGGUGUCUAGACUAUUCAACAUUAUCUUUUCAAAUUAAGACAAAGGUUCACCAUGAUCAAAUGAAGGCAUGUAUGGGAUUAGUGCAUGCAUAGUCAUUAUCACCUCCAACAUUUUUGCUUGGACCAAAUGAAAUCCUUGCUUCAUCUCUACUAAUCCAUUUUUCUUAAACUUUUGCAAUCCCAUUUUAUGCAAAGUUACAUUGGUCAUGUCAUUCUCUAGCUUGACAAUUUCAGAGAGCCUCCUUUCAACAUCAAUUUCAGAGUAUUGAAUAAACUUUAAAACAAGAACAACAUAAGGAAACUUGUAUUCAGACAAACUUUUUGACUUCAGCAUGUGAUCCUUUAUUAAAAAAAUCAAAUUUAACUUUGACUAUAAUCACGAUGCAGUUUUGUACUGGUCGAGGUGCUCGGGGCCCGAUCCGAGCACUUAAGCACAGUAUUCUGGUCUGAUUAGUUUAAGAAGGUAAAUACUUAACUCGGUCCAAAACGAUAAUAGGUCCAAUGAUGCGUAAAGAAGUCGACCCAAUGAUGUGUUAAGGAGUCGACCCAAACAACAGACAAAAUAUAUUAAAAAGACAUGAAUAGAAAAACAACUGAAAAUAUAACUAAAUCAGUUAGCCAUAUGUAUUUAUUCUAAAUAAAAAUUAUUCUAAAUAAAAAUAAACAGUCAAAGAUAAUACUUUGCCCACACCCCUAAAAUAAAGGGAUAUAUUAACAUAAUAUCUUUAAUAUCUUUAUGGUUGUUAACUCCUAAAGGGAGGAUCUACGAGUACUAUAAAAGGACUUUAAAACCUUGAUCAAAGGGAGAGGGUCAUUCCAUACACUACUCACUGUACUCAUAAUUAUAUACUCUCACUGACUUGAUCGUCAGAGUCUUGUCAACAGGUGGAGCUCCCCUUACUAUGGAUUUCAAGCAUUUCAAGCAUUUCAAAGCAGCAACAACAGAAAAGGAAAGUUGGCCCAAAAUUCACCACCAGACCCGAUCCAAGUCCGUCAACGAGAACAAAAAUCAUUUACACAAGAUCUUAUUCAUUCAGUAUAGCAUGAUUACUCUCUCGUGGUGAGCAUUCAUGCCUUAAGACCUCCAACAUGAAAUCCUUUGAUACAUGCAUUGGGACUUCUCAAAUAAUUUUUGAAGAACUAAACUUUGUUGAAAUUAUCAACAACAUUGGUAUUACCUUUUCCAACUUGUACACCAUCAUACUUUAAGCCUGUGAUUACAGUCCAAACAUCUGGAAUAAUGACCAUGUUCACACCUUUCACAUUGGACUUUAAAGUUUCUCCUUCAAAAGAAAGGUUUGUAAGGAACACCUUAACAAGAUCUAGAAAUAUGCUUCUAGUCAUUUAUAGAAAUCAUUGUAGGUUUUAAUGUUUCAGAAACCCUCUUACAUCAUCAAGAUUAUGCUCCUUUAGCCAUUCAAACUUCAAAAGCUUUGGUAUGUUGACGAAUUUACUACUUCUCUCAUGCAUAAAAAUGGAUAUUUUCUCAUCAUCUCCAGAUAAGUUUCUAAAUGACCAGCUCUAUCAGAAUCACAUGUUGCGUGUUCAUCAGACCUUCUUCCAGACUUCCCUGUUCUUGAAAGUUUCCUUUGAGGAGUGCUUAAAGAUGACAUGAUGCUUGAUCAAAGAGAUAUGAAAAUAUGCAAUGAAUUGGUCUGAUUUUAAUAUAGACAAUAAGUUUUAAUUCCAACUUAUUGCAAUUAACCUGCUUUUUGGCAAGGGAAUCAGAAUGAGACCAUAUUCCAUAUGGCACAGAAUCAAUACAAAAUUACAACACGUUAGACAACCCAAAGACAAUCUACAAAUCUAAGAGUUAUGAAAUGCUUGUGAAAUCCAAAAUUCCCAAUUCAUUUCUUUAAAAGUUAAAAUUAUCUCUCUCUGACAUCAGCAGAAGACUUGACAAAUAACUCUUAAACUUUCCCAAGUUUCAUUCCCAAAGUUUCAAACUUGAGAAAAGUAAUCUCCCAAGGAAGGUCCUUGGUAUGAAAACAGAGGAAAAUACUCCCACUUUAGGACUUAAAAGAAUCAAGAAAACUAGCUCUAGGCCAAUUCAAUUCCAAUUCUACCUGUAAUUGUCUAACAAGGGGGGAUUUAUUGAUGUGAAGGCAUUUCCCUUCAAAAUCCCAAGCAAUGUGGGACAAAACUAAAAAAAGACUAGUUGUAGCUAUAAUUAGUGCCACAUUCAUGUGCAGCCCACAUCUCUUAGUUUGCUUCUUGAUUUGAUGUUUAUAUACAGUUCUAUUCUUUUAUUGAUUUAUCUACAUGAUGCAGCCAUGGAGGAGCCAUUUGCAGUUGUGAAUGAGGGUAAAUGCAGCCUUGGUGCACUAGAUACUCCCACUUUAGGAACUUAGGCCUUCAACAAAGCUUGGUGCAAAUGUAAAUGGCCUUGAAUAAAGCCCAUUGUUGUGACCUUACUCUUUUUUUUAUACAAGAAAUAUGGUGACUAGAUAGUUUUCCAAUGAUGCUUAUGGACCACCAUCUUUAUUGCAGAAAAAUUGAGAAAAACUAUGGAUCUUAGACAACAUUUUACAACAGUCUAUCAAAACACGUUGUCUAUACUAUUGGCGAUUCCAAACUGCGGUUUAUAAGGAACAUUUAAAUGGUGGUUCUUUUAACCAACUGCAAUGUAUAUUGAAAAUGAAAUGUGGUCAUAGCAUGCCCAAAAAAGGGUAUAGAUGGCGGUAAAUAAAAAAAACUACAAACUAAUUAAAGUAUGUUAUAACUCAUGAAUUAGAAAUUCUUAAAAUAAGAUACUUUAAGAAACAGAGCAAUUUAUGUUAAUGUACUGGUACGACCGAACCACUCAGUCGAUCAGGAACUCGACCAUUCAACCACUUGACCACAAUGAGAAGGUCACGCGACCGAUCGAUCCAUGAUCACGAGCGAUGGGUUGACCAAGUCAACAGGGUUAAUCCAUGAUUAAGGAUUGUUUAGCACAACCCUAAACACAAAUCAACCUCCUAAUUGGACCCACCAACAAAAGCCCAUUAAGGUAAUAUAAAUAACACAGAUUCCAAGAAUCAGGUACGUCAUUAUCUACGGGUACCAUCCCAGCCUGUGAGACCAGACGACCGAGAGAAGGAAGACAAAGCAGGAAGCUUAGAGUGACAACGACCGACCAAAGGUAGAAGCAGAAGCAAUCGUUCUCUACACCCCUACACUCGUUCGAAAACCGUUAAUUUUGAUAAGUUAGUUUAUAAACUAACCAAAUAAAUUAAAAGGUAAUGUAUUUCCCUUAUCGAAGUAUUUUAAGUUGAAAUUUGCAUUUUGAACUAUAGAGUCGAGCGCCUAUUUGUAAGCAAAACUCUGAUAAAAAUAUUGCUCCUUCUCGAUUAUAUAUGCUAAACAACCAUCUAAACCAAAAUACAUAAUAUUCUACCAUUCUAUCAUCUACUAUCAGGACAUUGUCUUCUCUUCCCAUUAUAAUAGUUAUAAGUUCAAACAAUGAAACAUUAUUUAAAUAUUUAAAUAGAACUCAUUCAAUUGGAACAAAUUAUAAAGAAAUUGUUUUAACCCAUGCCAAGAAUUUGUUAAGAAAACUUAUAAAGAAAUGAUUUUAACCCAUGCCUUAGGUCAAACAAUUUGUUAAGGAAACUGGAAGAUAGUAACAUUUUUUUUUUUAGUAAAAAAGAUUUAAUAAAUUUAAUUAUUUAAGAGAUAUUUCAACCCGUAAAUAAUAUAUCUUUAAAAAAAAUACACAAACACUUUCACAUAUCUCCCACACUCACAGACCUCUUGUCUACUACGUAACCAACAUUGAAGCUAUUGAACCUAAUAGAUUCACCAAUUAACACAGUUCCUAUAGCAGGAUCAAUGACAUUAUACCUACUGCAUCAUCAGCACACAUAACUCCAAAAAAUCAGAAGAAACCAGCAAAAACCUCCCCACUUAGCAUGUCUUAUUCAUUUAGUUAUCUCCUCUUACAACUGAGCAAUUCACAAUCAACAUAGGGAGUUGGUGUCUUCCCUGCUGGAUGUACUGAUGCAUAAACAAAGUUGUUGUCAUGCCCAUAUGCAACUUCCUCUGCCGCUACCACACUUUGACAUGGUUCUGGCUUCGUCCCAUUCAAAUUAUGUACUGUCAUUCCACUGCUUCUUGUCAUUGUACCUACAAUCAAAUAUCUUUCCAAACCCUCAAACUACUCAACAGCUUUGCAACUUAUAAAACAGUAUAAAGUAGAUAAAACAAAAAUGAUGCAUUUCAAGAUUUCAGUUGAACCAUCUAAAGCAAAAACCAAAUUCUGCCUAAGAACAUAAUAAUAUAUUUAUAUAUAUACUGUGACAAACCUAGUAUGCCCCUCUUAGUAAUUGAUUUUGGAUGUGUUUUAUCCUGUACAGAAUGAUGCAAUCCCAAAACUUGAAAAGCACUAACACAUAAAGUACUGGAGAAAAUCAUUGAGUGUCCAACCUCUUUCACCGAAAAAAACAGGGAUUAGCUUCUCCUCCAUUCAAUGAACAUGUUGUAUUCACUGAAAAUUACAUGUACUUCUUCAGGUGGUUUGCAAUUCCAAAAACCCAAAAUAACCACUUUGAUGCUGCCAAAAAUCUUGAAAAACAGCAGCUCGUUUGCAGCAUCUUUCUCUGCUUUCCUUUAGGCUUAAUUCCCUCCAGAUAUAAUAUAUCAAUGCAACCCUUUUAAACCACUUGUACAAAAUCACCACUUGCUGUCCAGAUAUCACUGCUUAGAAAUCCUGCAAACUAAAAACACUUGGACUUUUCCCAGUCUUUUAGUGCAGAAUAAUCAACAAUAAUGAUAAAGCAUUCACAGUACCUCCAAACUAAGCACGUAAGUUUAAAUAAAAUUUUAGGUUAAGAAUCCAAUCAGAGAAACCAAAAUCAAAUUCAAGUAAUUUAUGUUUCAACCACAACCAAGUUUUUAAUUGAGUUUGGUGAAAAAGAAUAACAUAAAUUGUACUUUAAGCUAAACAAGUCAUAGAUUUAUGAUAAACUUCUUAAUUUAUUAUACACUAUUAUUCUCCUCUACAUGAGUACACAAACAAAGUUAACAAACCAUAACUUCAAUGCAAUCCAAUAUGAAGGCUUUUCUAUUUACUAAUUAGGCACCUUAAUAUAUCCCACUUGUUUGGAAUUGGCCACUCUAGCAAGGGUUUGUAGAUCAUAAGCUAUCCAACACCUAGAGUUCUCCCUGUGGUAGAAAUAGCCAACACACUUGCAAUCCUUAGUGCAUUUGUUUCCACAGGUACUUUCACUCACUUUACUUCCCUCAGCGUAUUUGCUCAUGUAAUGUCUAACCCCUUCAACUUUGUAGUAGUGGAAAUCACUUGCCUUGCAUGAUGUCACCUUCUUGGCUGUGCAGUUGUUGCUCCAUCCAAGUAGUCCAUUUUCCAAUGGACAAGCCACACAUUGCUCAUUCUGACAUAACCCAAGAUUCCCACACUUCUCAGGCCAUUGGCACUCACUCUCAUCAUGAGAAUCUCUGUCAAAGAGAGUGUAGGUCACUUCCCAAACACCAGAACGCACAUUGAGGAAGUAAGUGUGCAGCCUAAUAUUGCCAUCAAUUCCAAGCCUAAGGUAUGACAAGGUGCUGUUGUUCACUGGCAUUCCCAAGACUCCAACGGGAAUGUUGUUCAAUGGUUCCGCCAUGGUUCUGUAGUCACUGGUGGAAGAACUAAGCGCAUAGGUGAAUUCAACUUCAAAAGUGUCUGGAUAAGAAGUGAGGGUGAUAUUUUCCACUGAACCUUGUUGAGUGAAGAUCCUAUACCAAUAAGGAUUUGGUCUAGGAGAAUUCUUGCUCUUGUAGUACAAGGCCAAUCUUUUAGGCUCCAAAACCAAACUAUAAGGACCAUCUACAUUAUCCCUCUCUGAAAGCCUACUAACCAACUUGGAUGGCCCUUUUGCUCUAAGAUAUUGAUCAAUCAAAAGGGUAUCUGUGGGAUAGUCAAAACUUUGCCAAACAAACUUUCCUUGUGCAUCAAGGAGGACCAUGUUCCCAUUUGGAAGUAACUUGAAGGCCACAACACCCUUGUUGGCAGUGUUGGUUUGCCAAGCGAUUCUACCAUCAGCUUCAGCCAACACAAGGUUGCCAUCAGUGCCAAGCGAAAAAGUGGCAUUCUCUCCAACUGGGUUGCCUCUAUUGGCCUCCCAUACCCAACGAAAAAGUUGCUCUGAGCGUCUAAGUCCCAUGCGCAAAGCUAGAGUGAAGGCAUUUGGGGUGGUGUUGUAGAAUG